rnacentral:lncRNA from 1 species
AUGCACCACGAGGCUCUCCAGGAGGCCCUUCCUGGUGACAAUGUUGGCUUCAAUGUUAAGAAUGUUGCUGUGAAGGAUCUGAAGCGUGGGUAUGUGGCCUCCAACUCCAAGGAUGACCCUGCCAAGGAGGCGGCUAGCUUCACCUCACAGGUCAUCAUCAUGAACCACCCUGGGCAGAUUGGCAACGGCUACGCCCCAGUGCUGGACUGUCACACCUCACACAUAGCUGUCAAGUUUGCUGAGCUUGUUACCAAGAUUGAUAGGCGAUCUGGCAAGGAGCUUGAGAAGGAGCCCAAAUUCCUCAAGAACGGUGAUGCUGGUAUGGUGAAGAUGGUUCCCACUAAGCCCAUGGUGGUGGAGACCUUCUCUGAGUAUCCUCCUCUUGGUCGCUUUGCUGUCCGGGACAUGAGGCAAACGGUGGCUGUUGGAGUCAUCAAGAGCGUGGAGAAGAAGGACCCAACUGGAGCCAAGGUGACCAAGGCUGCCGCUAAGAAGAAAUGAGGUGUCUGCUAGCUGGUUCUGUGUUUUCUCGAGGGAUACCUAGUUGAAACUUAAUAUAUCGUCAUUGCUGUUAUCGCGUGAGCAACUAAACUGUGCUGGCAAUGUUUGUCUGGUCGAUUGAGUAUUGUUAUUUUCGUUAAAACCAGGGUACUAUUAAGACUCAAUUUCUGUUAUUUUUGUAUCGAACAUCGGGUGUUGGCCAUAUGUGGUUAUGAGUUUUGUUACUACCCUUGUUGAAGUGUUUGCCUGUUUACUUAUUUUGCUCGUCCUUGCCAGUCUGCUGGGUUCAAAUUUCUCCUGCUCUUCGUUGGCGCAUAUCGAGUAUUUUGAAAUACUUGCGUUCAAUUAAGUACUCAAUAUAUCUCAAAUUGUAAGUUGUUUGACUUUUUAAAUAUUAAGUUUGACCACUCGUCUUAUUCAAAGUUUUGUAUAAAAUAUCAUUUUUUUUUGUAUUGGUUUAUUAAUAAAAGUUCUUCAAGAAUAAUUUAAAUUUGACUAUAUUUGUAUAAAUUUUUUGAAUAAGACGAGUGGUUAAAUUUGGUUUAAAAAAAGUUAAACGAUUUAUAAUUUACAAUUUAGGAUGGAGGUAGUAUUUUGAAAUAUUCUUCCGAAACGUCUUCGAUGGCUUCAAAACCUAUACUGCUUUCCUUAGUUUUAACUUUUGCAUUCCAUUAUAGCUUCCCUUUAGUUUCACCAUCUUUAGCCUUGAUUAGCUGGGUGUGUGAAAAAAAAUUUGGUACCGUAGCAUUUAUGUUUAUAUUUGACAUUUAUUAUCAACCAUGACUAAUCUCAUGAUUUAUAGGUAAGAUUUACGUAUUUAGUGCUCUACGUAUAUGUUAUAUGCUGAGAUUCGAUGUGACGGUAAAUAUUGAAUAGUUUUUGGAUUUUGGAGAAAACUAAACAAGGUCUUUGUCGCUUGCACUUCUAAAAAAACAAUUGUCAGUAACUAUAUAUUAAAAAAUAUUAAUAGUUAUAAUAAUUAAUUAGUAUCAUUAGAAAGAUUUUUGAAUUUAGUGUAACAAAUUUAUUUGGAAAUAUAAAUGUGCACGUAUUUUUUAUAAAUCAAGUUAAAUUUGUGGCACGUACACCAAUGUCAACAAUUUAAAAAGGAUAGAGAAAGUAGAUGAUAGAGGGAGUAGAUGUUAUGAGAAAACAGACAAAUAGAAAAACAAGAAAUGACGAUAGAAUCAAAUAAAUUAUAGAGAAUAAUAAUAAAGCUUUAGUACUGAUAAAUAAAUCAUAGUAAUAAUAAUAGUUUUUGUUUCCUCUAUAAAAAUACUCCAUUCCUAAGUCGGUUGUUCCAAACAAGCACGAUCCUUUGCUGAACGGCCUGCAGCCUGCUCCUACACUCGUCUGCCGCCAGCAUGAUGCUGUGCGCGUCGCGGGCGUCCUCGUUUACCACGUCCGGCGCGGCGCUCGCGCCUCCUUGGCUCCUUGCUGUGCUUCACCGCCACUCGCCAUGCUCCCCGCGCUUUGCCGAUGCCACCAGUGGCGGAGGGAAGGGGGGCCUGAGGGGGGCCUGGCACCCCCAAACUUCCCAUAACUCCCUUAAUACAUCUUAUAGAUUAGAUGUUUAAUUAUCUAAUUACUUAGUUAAUGAUAUUAUCUGUACUAAGAUUUUUAUUCUUAUUUUAUAUUAAUCUCUAAUAGUUUCUUAUACAAAUAGAUAUUUCUAAUAUUUUCUUCAUAUCUUUUAUUUUUAUUAUUGUCUAUCAAACAUCAGUUUGUCCCCUACCACACACUCUAAUUAGCUAGUUAAUUGAAAAUCAGCGUUUUUCUUGUUUAAUCCUUCUGAAUUGAUCUCCAACAAUGGAAUCUAUAUUAUUUAGCAUUAGUCUUCCUAUUAUCUUUCUUAUCUCCUAUGUUUCUAUCAUUAUUCGUCUAAACUCUAAACAAUCAUUUAGCCCGUUGUACUCAACUUUUAAAUACUAACAGUGGUAUGGUGUUUCUGUUUAACCUUCUAUUUAAAUGACCAUUUUUACCUGUUUAAGUGAUCAUUUUGUCUAAGACUAAACGAUAUGUAACUAAUUGUUUGUCAUUUGAUGUUAGGAUCUAGUACUAAUUAAUUUUGCCCCCGUUUAACUACUUGUUUUUAUUGUGAUUUUUUUUCUGGGCAAAGAAAUAGAAUGAUCAAGUGAAGGUUAGAGGCUUGAGACUCGUUAAAUUUUUCUUUUAUUUUUUUUAUUUUUUCUGCUUUUUUGCAUCGCAACACAAAUGUUUAUUUUGGUGCUAUGUAUACAUUUGUCAUAUAAUAUUUUGAUACACAUGAUUAUUUUUGGUUUGCACGGCCCCCUAUAUUUAAAUCCUAGCUCCGCCCCUGGAUGCCACGCGCUACGGACUACGGUGUACGCAUGAUGUGGAUGGCGUGCCGCCUGCGUGAUGGCGCACGUCGUGACCUGCUCACUAGCGUCCGUGUCUUUUCGCAAAACGUGAGAAAAAAAAGUAACGCUUGACUCGCAUUAGCGCCCAAACUAUCCAGACGCGAACGCCCGGUAUGGGGUGAGAACCAAGGUGCAGCGCCUGGUAGACUGACUGGACGGAGAAGCCCCGUUUUUAAAUUUUAUAAAUAAUCUAUAUCUAUUACUUUAUAUAUGUGUCUAAAUAUUUUAUGUGAUAAGUGUUAAAAAAACAAUUCGAACCCUAAGUUCUUCGGUGGGAGAGAAAGUGAAUUUAAAUCUUCACGUACGGUGGACCAAUGGGAGGAAGGAAAGUAGAGGAUCGUCUUGCAUGCUAGGAAAAAUCAGGCUUUUUUUUUUCACAAAAAUUUUCAAGAUUCUCUAUUAAAUCGAAUCUUGCGGCAUAUGCAUCAUACAUUAAUAUACAUGAAAAAAAUUAAUUAUACAGUUUAUCUGUAAAUCGUGAAACGAAUCUUUUAAGCCUAGUUACUUCAUUAUUGGAUAAUAAUUGUCAAAUAAAAACGAAAAUGUUACUAUGUCAAAAUCCAUUUUUUUUUUUGCAAACUGAACAAGGCCUCAAUAAAGAAUUUACUCAGCGUGGGAAGAAUUAACCAUUUUUUAGUGGCGGUGCCAAAAAUUAUACAGAGGAGUAUAGGCUGAGCGUAGCUCAUCUGUUAAGUUUUUUCAAGGUGCAUUGGUUGCACUUACACCUUUGACUAUACUAGUUAAGUAUACGUUUAAUAAAAUAUAAUGAAAUGUACGUACACAUUUAGUAGAACCUAAGUGUUUUUAUGUGAUUUUAUUGUCUAGUGACAUAAAAAAUGUACUCCCACCAUACUAGAAAUAAAGUUAUUUUGGACAGUGGCACAGUCUCUAAAGCAUAACUUUGACUUUUUGUUCUUAUAAAUUUUUUUAUCAAAAAAUAAUAUAUGUAUAUUUUUACGAAAGUAUUUUUGAAGACAAAUCUAUUCAUAUGGUUUUCACAUUUCCAAACUCAACAACUUAAAAGUUAUUCAUGAUUUAUAUUCCCAAUGUUUAACCAAACCUUGUCCAAAAUAACUUUAUUUUUAGUAUGGAGGGAGUAUAUAACAAGAAUUUUUUAUUAUAUCUUGCAAAUAUAAACAUAUCAUAUACGCUUAUAAAGCAAAACCCUACUAGCAAUUUUUUUGACAUCUAAGGUACUACAAGAAAUGUGUUAUCUUAUGACGAUUAUGGCAUGACAUGUGAUUAAAAUGUCACUAAAUCAAUCAGUUUAUGACGUUCUUUUGAAAGCCAUCUCAACUUAGUGACAUAUAUGAUUUCAUGUCACAAAAAAUAUCUUCAAUGUAGUUAAACUCCAUAUCGUGACAAUGUUUGCCAUGUUAGGGUUGUUUAAUUCCCAAAAAAUUUGCAAAAUUUUUCAAGAUUCUUCGUCACAACAAAUCUUGCGGCACAUGCAUGGAGCAUUAAAUAUAGAUAAAAAAUAACUAAUUGCAUAGUUUAUCUGUAAUUUGCAAGACAAAUCUUUUGAGCCUAGCUAGUUAAUCCAUGAUUGGACUAUAAUUUUCAAAUACAAAUGAAAGUAUUGUAGUAGCUAUUUUGCAAAAUUUUCGGUAACUAAACAGGACCUUAAUUAACCCCUACAGUCUUGGGUUAUUUUCCGUUUCUCCCAUAUAAGACCUUGUUUAGUUCAAAAAGUGAAAAGUUUUCGGUACUGUAGCACUUUCGUUUGUUUAUGACAAAUAUUAUCCAAUCAUGAACUGACUAAGAUCAAAAGAUUUGUCUCGUGAUUUCCAGCUAAACUGUGUAAUUAGUUUUUGUUUUCGUCUAUAUUUAAUAUUUCAUGCGUGUGCCAUAAGAUUCGAUGUGACGGAGAAUCUUAAAAACUUUUUGGUUUUCAGGGUGAACUAAACAAGGCCUAAGAAGCUAAACAAGUCAGCAAAAUUGUUUUUGACAAUCUAAUUUUCAUCUUCUGACUCCGUGCAUCAUCAUGCCAAAGGCUGGUAGCCAAAAAUAUCUGGGCUUUUAUCCCAUGCCUCCCUCCCAGUAAAGAACAUCGAUCCCUCCUCUUCUCAUCGACAUCCUAUCCACCGCCUCCCCUCCCCGCCUGACCUUGACACGGACGGAGCCCCUGCGGCUGGCACGUCGGCAGCCCCCUCCGCCUCUGCUUCCGCUUCCAUCUCCGCCUCCUUCCUCCCUCUCUCUGCCUCUCCCCACGCGACGGCGCAACCAACUGGAUAGGACGAGGCACCAACCGGCGAACGGCUUCGGUGAGACGGUGGCGGUGCGCGGGCGCUGGCGAGCCCCGUAGGUGGCCGCCGCUGUGGAUGCCACCCAACGCGGCUUCCUCCUUAUAGUCCAUGUGUGCUCAUGGGCUCGACGAAACAACAAAACCCUAGGUGCCUGUGUUCGGCGGCGGCCAGAUCUGGAGGUAUCUCAUCCUCUUAUUCUCUUUCUACUCCAUCCCAUUGCUCGUCACCCAAAUCCUCUCCUCCUCAAUCCUCCCCUUUGUGCAAUGCAGAGCACCUGAGUGUGAGGCACUGACCAACAGGGAGGCAGUAGUAAAUGAGCAAGCUACAAUAGCAAGCACGAAGUACUUGAAAUUUUAAAUGUAGUUCUCCAUUCUCUGGAAUCACUAAUUAGCCUUUGUUUACUUGCAUAUUGCAGAUUUUACAAUUUGAUUAAUUAUUCAAGCCCCUGUUAACAUUGCUUUGUUUUUUUAGAGGACCUAAGAUAUUUUAGGUCUGCCCUAAUUUUUACUGGGUCCUAAGUAAAUUAGAAAUUUAUGUACACUGAAAAAUAUAGCUACUUUAAUGGUAGAAUGAAUAUUAAUAAGAAAACUAGGCAGGAUAUAGUCAGAUCGGAUCAUAAAUGUCCUAUUUUUGUGACUGGGUGUUAAAACAAGAGACAUGGUUAGUUCUGUCCACUAGAUAGAUAUUCUGAGCGGAGAUUUGUCUUUUCAAAGCAUCACUAUUGAUUUGAGAUUUAUUUUGAAGCAAAUGACUGAUUUAAGAUUGUUGUACUGUUAUUACUUGCUAACCUGAAUUUCUAUGCUCAACUCACGAUAUUUGUUAGGUGGGCAAUAUGUCAAGUUUUGAAAUACUUGAUAGAAAUAUCAGAACCUAAAAAACCUAUGUCUUCAGUUUGACAACAUCACUAUUCUCGGCUCAAUUGGCUACACUAGUUUCAUCUGUGAUCAAUUGGCUACACUAGUUUUAGUUGGCAGAUGCAGCAACCUGAAACCGAGAUAUACGUUAAAUAGGUGUUUGCUAUUGUCACAUUUUUUUGCCGCUGUCUUACCAUGUUAUCUGAUUUGUAAACAUGAAACUGCUAUUGGCAGAUGCAGCAACUUUUUGUUGAUCUAGUUGCUGAUUUGGUGCUUCGUGUUAACCAGCAAGGAGUCGGGCAGAUAGAAUCUUCUUUUCUUCUGUUGCUUGUCUUGGUUUUCUAACACCUUUGACAGGUAGACAGGUAUAGUACCUCUUGAUCCAAGUAUUUACUACUUGUAUUAGUUUUUUAUUGUUUUAUGUUUCGUUUUCAAUUGUCCAGUUCAGUUUUAGACUUAGAAAGUAGACAUGUAGUGUAGCUCUUGAUCCAAUUAUUUCCUGCUUGUCUUUUAAAUGACUAAUAGCUAGUUAAUUCAUCUUCCCUUACAACAGUUUAAGAAUCCUACUUGCUUCUUGUCGAUCGUAAGUGUCAUCUACCACUUCUCCCUUCCGAAGGCGUCGGCUGCUAGAUCCUAUAGCCAAGCGAGAUUCAAGGAUGAACCAUCGUAUCCAUGGUGGGCAUAUAGAACCAUGACCUGUCAGCUGCUCCUGCUGUUUGGAGGUGCAUGAGUCAUUCGUGCGUUGCUCCAUUGUGGGCUCUUCUUCUAGGAUUGGACCAUGGAGAAGAUAUGUUGAAAGACACAUAUAUAGGUAUAAGAUUUAUCUUAUGACUAUUCAUGCAUUUAUUAGAUUACAGACAGGAUAGAAGCCGUUAUAUUACAAACAUGAUAGGAGCCGUUAUUAGAUUACAAACAAGAUUUAUCUUAUGACUAUUCAUGCUUCUAUUAUGUAGUCCUAAGCUGAUCUAUCUAAUUAAACUAGAACCAUUAUAUCUUGUUCCAUAUUCAAUAUUAUUUUAACAGCUUAUUGCUUCCUUAUUUUAGGCAUAUAGUGCACAUAGUUAAUUACAAGUGACUGUAACACAGGUAUCUAUUGGCUAAGUCAAUAUUUCUAACGUGGGUGCACAUGGAGAUUUGAGGCUUAAUGGAGAAUUGGUCCACUCAAAGUUGAUAGGUUGGAUUUCAGUGAUCUUGUUUCUUCCAUGUCCACGUAACGUUGAAUCAGGAUGGUGAUUUUUGAAACAUCUGCGUAUAUAUAAAUGUGAAAUGAAGGUUACUUUGUAAACUUAAAGUUUCCUUUGUUGACAUGUUGUAUAGUAUAAAGAAUUAUCCACCAUACUUGAGAAUAUACAUGCUCAUGACUUUGCUAGAGAUUAUAAGUAUUAUCAUAUUUUCUUUGUAUGCUAGCUUUAUUGAAUUGAUAAACAAAGAACUAUAAUAAAUUUGCAACAGUAGUGUUUUAGGUGGCAGCUUACUUACACAUGACUAGUUGUGAACUUAAUUGAUAUAGUCUAGAGUGUUGUUCAAACAAUGCAUGAUGUUGGUGUUGUGAGAUCAUAUAUGCAUAUAUUAUUGUAAUUGUUGUUUGAUUUCUUCUGACUUAUAAAUGUAAAGUUCCCUUUGACUUCUCCAAUUGUUUCAACAAGUGAUAUUUGUUUCUGAUCGAUCUGUUUUCUACAGAGCAUGGAGAAAUUCAGAAACCUAAGGUACUCACUCAUGCUCCUGACACCAAGAAUACCUAGCUGUCAGCACCUGUUGAACUAUUAGUUUGGUGAUUUGUUUCAACAAGUGAUAUUUGUUUCUGAUCGAUCUGUUUUGUUUUCUACAGAGCAUGGAGAAAUUCAGAAACCUAAGGUACUCACUCAUGCUCAUGACUCCAAGAAUACCUAGCUGUCAGCACUGAGGUAACUUUGUGACUAAGGUCACUCGUUGAACUAUAGUUUGGUGUUUGUGAUGAAUGUAGUAAAUAAGUUGUUGAAUGACUUGUGAACCUGUUGAUUUGGUUAUGAAUGGAAUAUAUUGUUGGACCUACCUAUGUUAAUGUGGAUUAUAUGAUGUGAGUGGGGUACGUGAUGGUAUGGAUCAAGCCAAAUCAAGAAUUAUCCUACGUGACAAGGCCUACCAAUCUAUGACAUAAAAGUAGAAGUCAUAAACGCUUGUGACAUCUACAACUAAUGUCAUAAUAUUAUGACAUGAACACUUAAACGUCACAAGUUGUCAUUAAAGACACACAUCUUUUGACAUUUCAGUUUUCGUCAACUUAGUGUCAUAAAUGGUGAUCUGUGACUUAUUUUACAUGAAUUAUGACAUAUAACAAAUGUCAAAAGAUGACACAUUAUAAUAUCCACGUCGGUAGGACACAUCAUCCACUAACAUACAUUUAGUUAUCCGCAUCAGCAUGUCAUGUUAUCCACUAACAUUAGUUUAUAAUAGUUAGUCUCUUACUUAAAAAAAUAUAUGAAUAGUUAAAUUGCAGUCCAAAUCAUUAGUUUCGCAGCAACGCGUCGGAUGUUCUUCUAGUAUUAUUAAAUCUCUAAUUCAGAUUCAGGAUCAAGAUCCUCUUCUAUUUCGAGCGGAGUAAUAAUUAAACAAAUAGAGAAAAUCCUAGGGAAAGGAUAAUGGUCUCAAUUCUCAUAUGUCUUAAACUUAUUCCUUCCUCCAUCACGAGAUGUUAGUCUUUUGAUUAAAAAUAUAAAAUAGAUCUUAAAAUUACAAAAUAGAUUUCAACCAUUAUCUUUUAAAAUAUGUUGUUGUUUGUAAAAAAAAUUAAUAUUAAAUUUAGAAAUAUUUUUAAUAUAAAUUUAUGAUACAAGUUUUAUCUCUAUAUAAAUUUGUAUGUAACUGGGAUAAUUAUUAGUUAGAAAUUAUUUAUAAUAUUUGAUUUUUAUCAAAAUAAGAUAUGUUAAUUAUUUCGAGACGAAGGAAUACGGUGACUAGGGCCGGUAAUUUUCAGUGGACAAACAUAGCGGUAAUUUUCAGUGGACAAGCACAUGAGCCUCGAGCCAUCGAUCCCAGCUCCAACGCUGCACUAGGAAGCACCGGCCAGAAAAGUGAACCGCCCUGCUUAACGCUCACAGUGUUGUUUGUGCCUGACCUAUCCUGCCACUCAUGACGACCUUGGGCCUAGCCCAUCCUACCAUCCAUGAUGAUACCGGUGAUAAGAAAAGUUCACAUUACUUCUCUCAACUUUCAUAAAAGUAUAUUUUUUUUCUUAAAACUUCAAAAUCAGGCAAAAUAUCUUCCUUAAAUUUUAAAACUGUUGAUCUUACCUCCCUGUCCUUGUUAUAAGCAGUUUCGAAGGCAGUUUGGUCUUUUUUUUUUCUUUUUUGCUAAAUCUUUAAAAAAUCAUAGUAAAACAUAGGAAAAUCAUGAAACAGAAAAAUCCAAUGUUAUUGAACUUAACAUGAGCAGAUAUACAUAGUAAACAUAUAUGAUAGGCUUUAGAAUAAAGUUUUUGCUCUAGUUUUAGAUCUAUGCUUUUUUAUAAUUGAAUGAAAUAAUUCAUAGUUGCAACUUCUAUGGUCCAAUGGCGAUGAAAAUUUUAUGGUGAACUAAUUAUUUUAUGCUUAAAUUGUAGUAAAGAAUUUAUAUUCAUUGGAUCAUGUAUAACUUAGUUAUAGAUUUUAUUUAGGUUAUUGCUUGUUAGAUAUAAAUAAAUCUAUAACUAAGUUAUACAUAAUUCAAUGAGUAAAAUUUUGUACUACUGUCCAAUCAUACAAUAAUUAACCCACCAUAAAAGUUUCAUCAUAAUUGGACUAUAGAAACUGCAGUUGUGAAUUAUUCCAAUUAAUUAUUAAAAACACAGAUCUAAAGACACAAAAACUUUGUAGUAAAACAUACCAUAUUAUAUAUUCACUGUGUAGAUACUCAUAUAGAGUCUAACAAAAUUGGAUUUUCUAUUUUAUGAUUUACCAUGAUUUUCAAAUAUUAAGAUGAAAUAAAUAAAAAGGGAAAGAUACAAAACUAUUUUUAAAACUACUUGCAACAGGACCAGAGAGGUAAGAUAAACGGUUUUAAAGUCGAGGAAGGUAUUUUGUCUGGUUUUAAAGUUCUAAGAGGAAAAACAGAUUUUCACGAAAGUUGAAGGAGGUAAUGUGGAUUUUUUUGCUAUUUUGACCCAACCGCACAUAGCUGUGCUUUUCAUGGUGUUGACAAGUGUAUCGGGCUGAUACUGCACAUGCAUAUAUCCUGUUAUUUGGACUCAUCAUUGGAUCAUUCAGUUAUACGUUAUGUCCAUCUUUUAAUCAGUCAAGACCCCAACUAGGUGAAAAUUUAAGACGUAGCUACUAGCAAUUUUCAAGGAUAAUCACAUCGUAAAAGAACAUAUAUAGUUGUCUAACAAUAAAUAGGUAAUUUGUUCAUCCAAGGCAGUUACUGUAGGUUAAACUUCAUACUCAGCCACUAUUUGGAAAGUAUUCUCAUCUUAUGCAUCCUUAUUGUUCUUGUGAGAUGUUGUAGACCCGACAUAUUCAUUUAGCGCUACUGCUGAUAUUUUCCUUUGAUAAAUUAAUACAAUAUGAACAAUAGUUAUUAACAGCAGGAACAAUGUUGCAGCGCUUAUAAACCUUGCCUACGAAAAGCGUCCACGACAAGAAGUACUAAAAUAUUUCUGUAUUGAUAAGGUGAAGACAUAUCUAACUAUCUGUUAUGAUUUGCCAAUCAAAUUAAGUCUAGUACUAUAGUAGAGUAGUUGCUCCUUCCCUCCAAGCUAGAAAAGCUAUUUUGGAAGUAAUUUGGUAAAGCAGAAAAUGCAAAAAUCAUAACAGGAAUCACAACCUUAGGGGAAUGAAAGAGGUACUAAAACACCAUCCAAUGAUAUCUCUAUUGUAGUAGUGCCAAAUCUUGCAUUUGCACAAAUAGGAAUGAUAAUUUAAUUACCAUAGUACAAGGAAUCAAAUAAUGUUGCAUUCCAUAUAUCUGAACCUUGAAACCCAUUUCUUCAUUUUCUUCGGGUUAUGUGUGGGCUAAUACAAAGUUGAAGUUUUCUAAAAGCAACCGUUCAACAUGGGAGUAGCUAGUUUCAAAAUAGUUGAAUCAGAUUUCAUGAGGAGGUGACCUCCUACGUUUUCAAGGAUCUGCCUACCUGAAACCAAACCCAAAAGCAUACCUGACAACUGUUGGUUCAAUAUAAGAAAUAGAAGAUUUUAGUCACAUUUAGACACACUUAAAUUAUUUUUUAUCUAUCAACAUUGAAUAAUUUCUAUGUAAAGGAAGAGUUGAUGGUCUUAAAGGUGGCUUGAUGGACUCUGACACCAUUUACAGACCACUAAGUUUUGAUACAAAAUGAAAGUCGCACACAUCAAGUAUAAAUUCAAACUUCUUAAAUCUCGGAUCUCCCGUGUCUCCAAAAUCUCUAUGCAAUUGAAUUUUCUCACGGUGCCUCGUCCCUUGAUGUUUUUCUCCAUCUUCCUCUAUGCUCUAUCGCAUAGUCCUACUCGCUCGCGGUACCCGUGCUAGUAUACUAUAAAUUUAAAUUUUUCUGAGCGACUAAAAUACUUUUUUGAAUUUAAUUUUCAUGUUUCGUUUGAGUACGUACGUGGUUGGCCACGAGGCAGGGGUCGGGGCUUGUGGCGUGGUUGGCCACACGGAGUUUUAUUUUUCCUUUUUUUUAUUUUAAGAAAAUGUAUAGCUCACGUAGUACUACGGUAGUAGUAUGUGUAGGUCGGACGCACUUUUUAAUUCAUUUGUGGCCCAUGAAGUGAUUUUUGGGCCCAAUAGCCCAUUCAUCCGUGUCCUAACCCUAGUCUGCCAUAUAAAAACCUAACUCCAUCCGGUUCUCAAACCCUAAGACGCAGUCGGCCGCCGCACACCAGGAGAAGCCGACGCGCCGCCACCGUAUCCGCGGAUCAGCGGCGAGCCGUCACCACGCCACACUGCUUGCCGCCCGACGAGGUAUUCUCCCGCACGCGCGCGCUUCUCUUCCUUCUCUUUUCGUUGUGCUUUGAGCUUGUUCGUUUGAUGCGCUUCGAGCUUGUUCGUUUGAUGCCCAGAUCUACUAGGUUUGUCGUCUAUGUGUGAUGAGCUGAGCCGAUUCAUGCACUGGAUUUCUUAUCAAGUGUUGUUUCCGUCUCCGCUACCUUUAUUUAGUGUCUAUGUAUGAACUUGGGUGCAGUUUGCAAUUGAUUUGUCGAGCCAUAAAUUAUAAACGUUUCGUUGUUCUAGACUGAUCCAGAUUCCGAUCUAUGAUAUUACAUGGCUGAGGCACUUCUACGCUGUUUUAUGUGUCUGAACUGAGCCGAUUCAUGUGCUGAGUAAUAAUCAAAGUUUUGAUUCCGCCUCCUCGUCUACCUUUAGUAUGUACUCCGUAUAUAAACUUGAUUGCAGUUUGCAACUGAUUCUCGGCCAUAGAUUAUCACUGUUGCGUUGUUCAUUAGAUCCAGUUUCUGUGGUAUUAUGUGGGUGAGGUAGUUCCUCUUUGGAUUUUUCCUAUCCUUGAGAUUGUUUGAUUACUGGUUUAUUCCCAUGUUUGUUUAUUUCUAACUAUUUUUAGAUGAUGAUUUCUAAAUUCUAACUGUUUUUAUCUGCUAUUUUUUAUGUAAGCAGCAGCGUAACAGUUUCCUGCAGCCAUGGGUAAGGAGAAGACUCACAUAAACAUUGUGGUCAUUGGCCAUGUCGACUCUGGCAAGUCGACCACCACUGGCCACCUGAUCUACAAGCUUGGUGGUAUUGACAAGCGUGUGAUCGAGAGGUUCGAGAAAGAGGCUGCGGAGAUGAACAAGAGGUCGUUCAAGUAUGCGUGGGUGCUUGACAAGCUCAAGGCUGAGCGUGAGAGAGGUAUCACAAUUGAUAUUGCCCUGUGGAAGUUCGAGACCACCAAGUACUACUGCACGGUCAUUGAUGCCCCUGGCCACCGUGACUUCAUCAAGAAUAUGAUCACUGGCACUUCUCAGGCUGACUGUGCUGUUCUUAUCAUUGACUCCACCACUGGUGGUUUUGAGGCUGGUAUCUCCAAGGAUGGCCAGACCCGUGAGCAUGCUCUCCUUGCUUUCACACUUGGAGUGAAGCAGAUGAUUUGCUGCUGCAAUAAGGUAUGAUUCCAGGAAUUCCUAUCUAGUCUGGUUCAUGAUCUGAGAUGCCUGUAAAUAUGCGCUUCAAUAGUCUAGGCUGCACUCAAUUAUACUGCCUUCAAGUUGAAUACUGAUUGAAUAACUAAUGUUGGUUGUACUAUAAAUUUGGCAAAAUGAUACUCUGUUUACUUUGAAUAAUCCAUCUGCUUCCUACAUAUAUAUGAUAGCAUUUUUUCUGCAUAACUUUGCAUAAUCCAAUAUAAUAUUUUCAGGAAGUUUUUCCCGAUAGGUGAUGUGACUUUGUAACUCCACCUGAUUUUUGAAAUUCUCUCAAGUUGUUGGAAUGCUUGCAAUGCAUAUGUAAUUAAAGGAUAUGGGUUUGCUUAAAUGUCUUUAUAUGAUUGCAGUAGUUAGUUUACUACUUUACCUUGUAAAUUAGUAAUGGAACACUGAUUGUUUUCAUUGAAUACGCCAUCUACUUUAUACAUGUUUAUGUAUGAUAGCAAUUUAUUUGCAUUACUUUGCAUAGUAUAAUUUGAUUAUCCAGGAUAAUUGUCCCCAUAGGUGAUGUAAAUUUUUAAUCCCACCUUAUUUUAGAAAUUUUCUUAAGUUGUUGGAAUGUUUGCAAUGCACAUGUAACUAAAAGUUAUGUGUUUCUUAAAUGUCUUUAUAUGAUUGCAGUAGUUAGUUUACUUUGUCAAUUAGUAGGAUUUGUUGGCAUGCAUCUGUUAAGGUCAGUAUUUUUGGGCCUUGUUUAGUUCCCAAAAAAUUUUGCAAAAUUUUUCAGAUUCCCCGUCACAUCAUAUCUUUAGACGUAUGCAUGGAGUAUUAAAUAUAGACGAAAAUAAAAACUAAUUGCACAGUUUAGUCGGAAUUGACGAGACGAAUCUUUUAAGCCUAGUUAGUUCAUGAUUGGACAAUAUUUACCACAAACAAACGAAAGUGCUACAGUGUCGAUUUCCCAAAAAUUUUUGGAACUAAACAAGGCCCAUGUAUAUGCCUGGCGGUUAUUUGUGUUUUCCCCCCAACAAAUCUCAUUCCUUGUGCAAGUGCAGUUGACCAGUUAGUUCUGAUUAUUAUGUUCUUUCAGUUUUACUGUUUGCUUGCUGUUUAGGUAACUUAUCUGAAUCAACUAAUGAUAUUGUUUGGGUUUUGCUGCUUUACAGAUGGAUGCCACCACACCCAAGUACUCGAAGGCCCGUUAUGAUGAAAUUGUGAAGGAAGUCUCUUCCUACCUGAAGAAGGUUGGAUACAACCCAGACAAGAUCCACUUUGUUCCCAUCUCUGGUUUUGAAGGUGACAACAUGAUUGAGAGGUCCACCAACCUUGACUGGUACAAGGGCCCAACCCUGCUUGAGGCUCUGGACUUAAUCAAUGAGCCAAAGAGGCCUUCAGACAAGCCCCUGCGUCUCCCCCUUCAGGAUGUGUACAAGAUUGGUGGUAUUGGAACUGUUCCUGUGGGACGUGUUGAGACUGGUAUCAUCAAGCCGGGUAUGGUUGUCACCUUCGGUCCUAGUGGCCUUACAACUGAGGUUAAGUCUGUUGAGAUGCACCACGAGGCUCUCCAGGAGGCCCUUCCUGGUGACAAUGUUGGCUUCAACGUUAAGAAUGUUGCUGUGAAGGAUCUGAAGCGUGGGUAUGUGGCCUCCAACUCCAAGGAUGACCCUGCCAAGGAGGCUGCUAGCUUCACCUCACAGGUCAUCAUCAUGAACCACCCUGGGCAGAUUGGCAAUGGCUAUGCCCCAGUGCUGGACUGCCACACCUCACACAUUGCUGUCAAGUUUGCUGAGCUUGUUACCAAGAUUGAUAGGCGAUCUGGCAAGGAGCUUGAGAAGGAGCCCAAAUUCCUCAAGAACGGUGAUGCUGGUAUGGUGAAGAUGGUUCCCACUAAGCCCAUGGUGGUGGAGACCUUCUCUGAGUAUCCUCCUCUUGGUCGCUUUGCUGUCCGGGACAUGAGGCAAACGGUGGCUGUUGGAGUCAUCAAGAGCGUGGAGAAGAAGGACCCAACUGGAGCCAAGGUGACCAAGGCUGCCGCCAAGAAGAAAUGAGGUGUCUGUCUGGCUGGUUCUGUGUUUUCUCGAUGGAUACCUAGUUGAAACUUAAAAUAUUUCGUCAUUGCUGUUAUCGACGUGAGCAACUAAACUGUGCUAGCAAUGUUUGUCUGGUCGAUUUAGUAUUGUUAUUUUCGUUAAAACCAGGGUACUAUUAAGACUCAAUUUCUGUUAUUUUUGUAUCGAACAUCGGGUGUUGGCCAUAUGUGGUUAUGAGUUUUGUUACUACCCUUGUUGCAGUGUUUGCCUGUUUACUUGUUUUGCUCGUCCUUGCCUGUAUGCUGCGUUCAAAUUUCUCUUGCUCUUCGUUCCUUUUGAUCUUUAAGUUGCCAAAAUUGCAUAUCGAGUAUUUUGAAAUACUGUCGUAAAAGAAAGUAUUUUGAAAUAUUCUUCCGAAACGUCUUUGAUGGCAUCAAAUCCUAUACUGCUUUCCUUUAGUUUAACAUCUACAAUCCAGUAUAGGUUCCCUUUAGUUUUACCAUCUUAGGCGUUGUUUAGUUGGCUGGAUGAAAAUUUUAGCUUCCCUUUAGGCUUUGUUUAGUUUGCAAAAUUUUUCGUUUUUUGCUACUGUAGCACUUUUAUUUUUAUUUAACAAACAUUAUCUAAACAAGGAGUGACUAGACUUAAAAGAUUCAUCUCACAAAUUACAUGUAAACUGUGUAAUUAAUUUUUAUUUUUAUCUAUAUUUAAUGUUUCAUACAUGCGACUAAAGAUUCGAUAUGAUGGAGAAUCUUGAAUUUUUUUCGAACUAAACAAGGUCUUAGUUUUACCAUCUUAGGCGUUGUUUAGCUGGGUGGGUGAAAUUUUUUUGGAUUCUGUAGUAUUUUCAUGUGUAUUUGACAAUUAUUUUUAAUUAUGGAUUAACUAGUUUAAAAGAUUUGUUUUACGAUAAAAUUGUAUAAUUAAUUUUUAUUUUUGUCUAUAUUUAGUGCUAUAUGUAGAUGUAACAAAAAAUCUUAAAAAGUUUUUAGAUUUUUUGGAGGAAACUAAACAAGGCCUUAAUAUGCCUUAAAACAUAGGAAUGGGGUAUAGAUGUCAUGAGAAAAUAGAGGAAUAAGAAAAACAAGAAAUAACGGUAGAAUCAAAUAAAUUAUAGUAAUAAUAAUAAAGCUUUAGUACUGAUAAGUAAAUUAUAGUAAUAAUAAUACAAGCUUGAAUCAGUUGUACUGAAUAAGUAAAUUAUAGUACUUUGCUAAGAUUAUAGAUUAUAGUUUUCCUUUAAAAUAAGAAGCCUGCAACAAUGUUCCAUUGGAAAGGAACAUGACAAUUCAUUGCUCCUGGCCUUGUUUAGUUCCGAAAAGAUUUCGGAUUUCGGUACUUAGUACUUUCGUUUGUUUAUGACAAAUAUUAUCAAAUUAUGGACUAACUAGGAUCAAAAGAUUCGUCUCGUGAUUUCCAGCUCAACUGUGUAAUUAGUUUUUGAUUUCGUCUAUAUUUAAUGCUUAAUGCAUGUGCCACAAGAUUCGAUGAACUAAACAAGCACAUCACCUCUGCUGAACGGCCUGCUCCUGCACUCGUCUGCCGCCAGCAUGAUGCUGUGCGCGUCGGGCGUCCUCGUCAUGCUCCCGCACUCCGCGCUUUGCCGAUGCCACGCGCUACGGUGUACGCAUGACGUGGGUGGCGUGCUGCCUGUGGGAUGGCGCACGUCGUGACCUGCUCGCUAGUGUGUCCGUGUCUUUUUGCAAAACGUGAGAAAAAAAAAGAGUAACGUUUGUGUCUACGGGAGUAUUUGGUUGAGGUAGCACAUUUAAAUUAUAGUAAUUAGUAUCUAAUUAUAAAUUAAUUAGAUUUAAAAAUCAUCUUAUAAAUUAUUCUUUAAUUGUGUUUUUAAUUUUAUAGAUAAUCUAUAUUUAGUAUUUCAUAUAUAUGUCUAAAUAUUUUAUAUGAUAGGUGUUAAAAAAAGGUCGGAACGCUAAGCUCUUCGGUGGGACUGUGGGAGAGAAAGUGAAUUUAAAUCUUCACGUACUGUGGACCAAUCGGAGGAAGGAAAGUAGAGAUAUCGUCUUGCAUGCGAGGGAAAAUCAAUAAAGAAUUUACUCAGCGUGGGAAGAAUUAACCAUUUUUUAGUGGCGGUGCCAAAAAUUGCACAGAGGAGUAUAUGGGCUAAGCGUAGCUCAUCUGUUUAGUUUUUUUCAAGGUGCAUUGGUUGCACUUACACCUUUGACUAUACUAGUUAAGUAUACGUUCAAUAAAAUAUAAUGAAAUGUAAGUACACAUUUAGUAGAACCUAAUUUUUUUAAUGUGAUUUUAUUGUCUAGUGACAUAAAAAAUGCACUCCCUCCGUACUAGAAAAUAAAGUCUUUUUGGAUAGGGACACGGUCUCUAAAGCAUAACUUUGACUCCUUGUUUUUAUAAAAAAUUUUAUCAGAAAGUGAUAUAUAUAUAUUUUAAUGAAAGUAUUUUUCAAGACAAAUCUAUUCAUAUAGUUUUCACAAAUGAAAGUAUUUUUCAAGACAAAUCUAUUCAUAUAGUUUUCACAUUUCUAAACUCAACAACUUAAAAUUUAUUCAUUAUUUAUAUUCCCAAUGUUUGACCCGAACUUUGUCUAAAAUAACUUUAUUUUUUAGUGUGGAGGGAGUAUAUAACAAGAAUUUUUUUAUUAUAUCUUCCAAAUAUAAACAUAUUCUAUACUUCGACAGUCCACUAUCAUUUGUAAUUAAAGUUCACUAACAAAAGCAAUUAUAAUAUCCACGUCACUGGGACACAUCAUCCACUAACAUACAUUUAGUUAUCCACAUCAGCAUGUCACGCUCUACUAACAUUAUUUUAUAAUAGUUAGUCUCUUACUAAAAAUGUAUGAAUAGUUAAAUUGCAUUCCAAAUCAUUAGUUUCGCAACAACGCGCGGGAUGUUCUUUUAGUGUUAUUAAAUCUCUAAUUCAGGGAUCAAGAUUCUCUUCUAUUUCGAGCGGAGUAAUAAUUGAACAAACAGGGGAAAUCCUAGGAAAGGAUAAUGGUCUCAAUUCUUAUAUGUCUUAAAAUUACUACUUCCUCCAUCACGAGACGUUAGUCUUUUGAUUAAAAAAUAUAAAAUAUAACUUAAAAUCACAAAAUAGAUUUCAACCAUUAUUUUUAAAUAUGUUAUUAUUUGUUAAAAAUAAUAUUAAAUUUAGAAACAUUUUGAAUAUAAAUUUAUUGAUACAAUUUUUAUCUCUAUAUAAAUUUGUAUGUAAUUGGGAUAAUUAUUAGUUAGAAAUUAUUUAUAAUAUUUGAUUUUAUCAAAAUAAGAUACGUUAAUUAUUUCGGGACGGAGGGAUACGGUGACUAGGGCCGGUAAUUUUCAGUGGACAAACAUAGCGGCAAUUUUCAUUGGACAAGCACAUAAGCCUCCAGCCAUCGAUCCCAACUCCAAGCCUCCAACGCUGCACCAAGAAGCACCGAACCGCCCUGCUUGAUGCUCAUUGUGCCAUUUGUGCCUGACCCAUCCUGCCACUCAUGACGACCUUGACGACCUUGGGCCUAACCCAUCCUGCCAUCCAGGACGAUACUGGUGAAAAGUCCACGUUACUUUUCUCAACUUUCACAAAAGUAUAUUUUUUCUUAUGAAACUUCAAAAUCGGGCAAAAUAUCUCCCUUAAAUUUUAAAACCUUGAUCUUACCUUACUGUCCUUGUUAUAAGCAGCUUUGAAGGCGGUUUGGUCUUUUUAUUUUUUAGCUAAUUCUUUAAAAAUCAUAGUAAAACAUAGGAAAAUCAUGAAACGAAAAAGGCUAAUUUUGUUGAACUCCACGUGAAUAGAUAUAUAUACUAAACAUAUAAUAUGAUAUGCUUUAGUAUAAAGUUUUUCAAUAGUUUUAGAUCUAUGUUUUUUUAUAAUUGAAUGAAAUGCAACUUAUAUGGUCCAAUGGUGAACUAAUUAUUAUAUGCCUAAAUUGUACUAAAAAUUUCAUAUUCAUUGGAUCAUGUAUAACUUAGUUAUAGAUUUUUUAAGGUUAUUGCUUGUUUAAUAUAAAUAAAUCUAUAACUAAGUUAUACAUAAUUCAUUGAGUAAAAUUUUUACUACAAUCAAAUCAUACCAUAAUUAACCCACCAUAAAAAUUUCAUCAUAAUUGGACCAUAGAACUCGCAGCUGUGAAUUAUUCCAAUUAAUUAUUAAAAAGCACAGAUCUAAAGACACAAAAAACUUUAUAGUAAAAUAUACCAUAUUAUAUAAUCAUUGUGUAGAUACUCAUGUGGAGUCUAACAAAAUUAGAUUUUAUAUUUUAUGAUUUUUUGCGAUUUACCAUGAUUUUCAAAUAUUAAGAUGAAAUAAAUAAAAAAGAAAGAGACAAAAUUGCCUUUAAAACUACUUACAACAGGACCAAAGAGGUAAGAUAAACAGUUUUAAAGUUGAGGUAGGUAUUUGUUUGGUUUUAAAGUUUUGAGAGGAAAAGUAGACUUUCGCAAAAGUUGAAGGAGGUAAUGUGGAUUUUUUUUUCCUAUUUUGACCCAACCUCACAUAGCUGUGCUUUUCAUGGUGUUGACCAGUGUAGCAGGUUGAUACUGCUGAAAGGAUCAAGAUGCUCAAGACGAGGGGUGAAUUGGGCUUCUCUAAAAAUUUAAGCAACCUAUAAGCCUCAAUUCAAUCCUUGUGCCUAAUUGUGUUCUAGAGAGCUACCGGACAAAAGUUUUGCAAUCUACUUCCAAUCCUAUUCUAGUAUGGCAAUUAUAGAAAAUAUAAAGUUCUGAAUUUAAGUACUAGAAUGUGAAGGGUAAGAGGAAGAGAAACGCCACGAUGUUUUGUCGAGGUAUCAGAGAGUCGCCAUUCCCCACCAGACCUCAUUGGAGCACACAUGUAAGGGCCUUGCUCCCCCUUGAUCCGCGCAAGGACCAAGUGCUCUCUACGGGUUGAUUCUUUGACACUUCGUCGCAGUGAAUCGCCCACAACCGCUCACAAGCUUGGCACGAGCUACCCACAAGAACAUCGGAUGAUCUUCGUGGCUCCAAUCACCACCGAACCGUCUAGGUGAUGACGAUCACCAAGAGUAACAAACAAUAAACUCUCACUUGACCCACACAAGGCUAAAGAGAGUGGUGGAUGCACACUUAAACUCUUGAUCUCAUUAGAGAAGGAUCACUCAAGAAAUCACUCAAAUCUCAAUUAUGUCUAGGCUCUUACUUCACCCUUGCACCAUAAGGUGUUUUUGAGCCGAAUAAAUGGGCAAGAGAGGUUUCUUGGGCAUGGUGGAGAAGUAUAUAUACCUCCCACCAAGUCCAAGAGUCGGCCAUGUGCACCCGACACUCUUGAUGUUGCAACGGACGCUUGCGCAGAGAGUCGAGUGCCUCAACAACAGCUAGUUGCGGUAUGAAAACCCUUAUCACACCGGACGCGUAGGGGCGUCCGAUGCCCUCACUCUGGAUGCAUCUAGUGCGGAAACUCUUUUGACAUGCUCCUUGGGUAAGGGAAUAGACACACCCGGAAGCGUCCGGUGCUGUGUCCGGUGCCAUACCCUAGACACGUGGCACGCUGGCUCAUCACCUGCAUACACCGAACGCACAAACAGUCCUAUUGUUGUGUUUGAUGCCAGCGUCCGAUGCCUAAAGUCAAUCAACACUUCAUCGAAACGCGAACUUUCCAAAACAAAGUUUGAUCCUCUCGAUCUAAGGACUCUCUCUAAGUUGCCUAGUGCUAGAAUUAACAAGUGUGCACCACACCUAGACCUAAAGUCUUGCCUCGGUUAAGCUACCCGUUUGUUGCCCCCUUAAUAGUACAGUCAAAAGGAAAAAUAAAGUCCUAAACUACUCUAAACACCCUUCAACUCCAAAUGGCACUUAGACCUAGUCUAAUCCUGACGAUGUCCAUGAUCCUUUAAAAACUAAAACGAUUUCUGCCAUCAAAGUGGGCACGAACUCAAUAGUCCAUUAAUCACCAUUACCAUGACCUAACUCAUAUGAUUGCCGCUGCAAAACAUACGUUAGUCAUAGUAAUCAACAUUGUCAUUAAUCACCAAAACUCACUAGGGGCCUAGAUGCUUUCAAUCUCCCCCUUUUUGGUGAUUGAUGACAAUAACCUCGAGUAUGUGAAAGAGAGUGAGGUUUUCAGACAACUUGGUUCAUAUAAGCAUGAGACAAAAAGAGCGAAAAGAGAAUUAGUCAAGCUUAUAUCAACCAAGCCAACAUCCUACAUCCAAAGAUGUGAGUCGAGUUCACCAGGAGAAACAAGUGGCUCAUAUGAAAUCAGAGUAAAACGCGGAAGCAAAAUAAUAUGAGCCAAAACACAUGACAUAGAGAGAUAAACAUGUAGCACACAUGACAUGUCUAGCAUCCAACAAGCAUAACUGAGGAGUGUAUCAUACAAUGCAUAAAGGUAAAUAUGAUGCAUGAAGUAUCACACAAAGAACAAAAAUACAGCUCAUAAGCUCCCCUAAGUCUAACAUACUCGCUCUCUCUCUCUCUCUCUCUCUCUCUCUCUCUCUCUCUCUCUCUCUCUCCCUUUGGCAUAAAGUACCAAAAACCUAAGAGUCUAUCGGUGGAGACAGAGCGGAUGAGUCGCGAGGAAUGGCCUCAAACUAGGUCAAGUCAACAUCUAAGUCCUCAUCGAUCGUUCUCUAGGAAGCUGUGCUAGGCUGAACAUCUACUUGACCCUCAGUAUCGUCACGUGUAGGUAAAGCGGUUUGGGUCGGCUCUACAAACUCUAGAACUGUCUGAUGUGUUGUCUCAGUCUCAACCUAUGACUCAACUCUGGUGGAGGUGGCUGGCAUAGACUCUAUAGCUAUCGCUGAGGCCUCUAGGAGAGUAGAAGACUGGACAAGCUGCUCAGAUGAAGCAAGUGAGGAGGACAGAAGCUCUGUAGUCGUAAUAGGAAUUAUGGAGGUUCCUUGAGCCUACUGUGGAUGAGGUGUCGGCAUGCUGGUAAGCUCACUAUAAGAGAAAGAUAACCCCUGUCCAGUCGAAGUCUCACGCGCUAAGUAUGACUCAGUGUGUGUCUGAGGAGUAAAGCCUGUACAAAGCAAAGUGAACUAUGGUGUCUACCCAAAGCUAGUAGAGAUCACACCCUGAGAGACCUGCUAAGGUGGAGUCAUGAAGGGCUGACUCUGAGCUGGAAGCUGUAGCGGCUGCUGAGACUGACUCUAAAGCCCACCAGGCUAUAACGCUAGAGUCGUGGUGGUAGAUGGACCGAUAGGAGGAACACCUAGAAGCUGAGACUGUGGAACUGUGACCCCUUUCGCUGCCACUAGAGCUACUAGAAGUGCGGCCUACUGAGCCUGAUAGGCAAGCUGCUGCUUUUAAAAGGAAAGAAGUUGUCGCUGGAGCUUGUCCUGGCGAGCCUGAAGUGCAGCAGCUAUGGUAGCCUGCUCUCUGUCACAUCUGGCCUAUUCCUCAGCCAUCCUCUACUGAUCAGCCCUCAUCCUAUCACGUAUAGCAAGUAGUGCUAGAUUUAUAGAGGAACUGCCAGCCAUGCGUUCAUGUGACCGAGGUGGAAGGUUAGGAAUAGGCUGGUGAUAGUCAUCAUCUGAACUGUCAAAGGUGAACUCAAACUCACUCUCUGCCUCUGCCUCUACCAUGGCUUCAAUAGCCAUGUGCUGCUCCUCUAUCUCAAGUAGAGCCCCUGAACUGCGUGUAGCUCUAGGUGUAGGUGCUGGAGAUGGUGCUCGUGGUGCAGGUGCUGCCACUGGUGAUCUCAAAUCAACAUAGGUCCUCAUCAUCUGGCGAAGGUCAUAGUGAGGAAACAUAGUCAUUGGUCAGUCAGCUCUCUCUAGAUCUAGGGAGGAAGUGGUGAAAGCCCUAGUUUGGUUUUGGAUAAUUGAUGAAACCCUAGUACUAACCUCUAUACUAAGUGUGUGUAGACUUAAUGAGGUUGGUACAUGCCAAGUGAUGGAGCAAGUGAUGAUCAUGGUGAUGAUGGUGAUGACCACAAGAUGAUCAAGUGCUCAACUUGGAAAAGAAGAAAGAGAAAAACAAAACCCUAUGGAGAUCAAGGCAAAGGUAUUGCUUAGGGUUUUGGUUUUGGUGAUCAAGACACCAUAGAGGGUGUGAUCACAUUUAGGAUAGAUAGCCGUACUAUAAAGAGGGGAAUUCUUUGGCUAAGCGGUUAUCAAGUGCCACUAGGUGUCAUUGUUCAUGUGCAUGCAUUUAGAACCUAGUGAGCUAACUUAACUCCUUCGAAGAAAAAUGUUUGUGAAAAUGCUAACACACGUGCACUUGUUGGUACACACUUUGUGGUGUUAGCACACUUUGAGAAUGAGGUGGAGUUUAAAGGGUAGAGAGAGGAUGGGUAGUCGCAUAUUUUGUGAAAAUGCUAACACACGUGCACUUUGUGGUGUUAGCACACUUCGGCGCUUUUCGAGAAAACGAAGUGCAUAUUUUCUAUUGCGCCGGUGGGAAAUUUGGAGUAGUCGCGGGAGUGUUUCUCGCUGAGAAAACACUCACCGGACGCUGGCUUCUGGAGCACCGGACGCUCAGACGUCCGGUGCAGACAGUGCCUGGCCCAGUUAGGGUAAGGCACCGGAUGAUAGGCACCGGACGCUGGCUUGAGCGUCCGGUGGUGCGCGUCCGGUGUGCGGGCGUUUUGCGACCCUCUCUGCGCAUGAGUCCGGUGUGCACCGGACGCGUCCGGUGCCAACCUGCUCAGCGUCCGGUGCUCUGCAGGUUACCGUUAGACUCUGACACGCGGCUGACGUUGGAGCACCGGACGCAGGUGUUGAGCGUCCGGUGCCCCUUUAAGAGCGUCCGGUGACCCCGAGUUAGACCCAGUGAGAGAGCCAAUAGCUCUAUUUGUUUGAGGGGUCUAUAAAUAGUUGUUAGCCGGCUUAGGGCUUACACUCUUGGCAUUCUAACAUACUUGACAUCCUUAUGAGCCUAAGCAAACACCUCCCACUCAUCUCCUUCGUAGAUUAAACAUCUUUGUGAGAUUGGGAGUGAUUCUAAGUGCAUUUGCUUGAGUGAUUGCAUCUAGUGGCACUUGGGGAUCGUUCUAGCUGCGGUUUUCUUGUUACUCUUGGUGGUUGCCGCCACCUAGACGGCUUGGAGCAGCGGAGGAGGAUUGGCACGAGUUGGUGAUUGUUCGUGGCCAUCUCCCGGUGAUUGUGAGGGGUCUUGUACCUUCCCCGGCGGAGAGCCGAAAGGUAACUCUAGUGGAUUGCUCGUGUCAUUGAGUUACCUCACUUGUGGGUAGGUUCUUGUGGUGUCCUAGUGAGGACGAGGUUCGUGCUACACCUCUUAGCCACCGAACCACCAAGUGUUGGUCGACACAACGGGGACGUAGCGUGCCGGCAAGCACGUGAACCUCGGGAGAAAAAUUAGUGUCUCAUUUGUGUUUGAUUGGCAUUCUCCCAGUGCUUGAUUGUUUAUAUUGGUCAUUGGUGCAUCCCCUACACGGCGGUAUAAAUAUCUCAUCCUAUCUUUACUUACCGCAAACUAGUGUAAUUAGUUUAGUUCCUUACUUUGACUUGUGUAGCUUAGUUCUCUAGUGUCACUUGUAGAGACUUAGUUCUUGUGUGCAUAGAGAUCAUAGCAACUAGAAUUAUUGGGUAGGUGGCUUGCAAACAUCCCUUUAGAGCUAGAGCAAAAAGCUUCGCUUUGUUAUUUACUAACCUUUUGCUCUAGUGAGUUUGUAGAUUUUUUAGAACAGGCUAUUCACCCCCCCUCUAGCCAUAUUAGGACCUUUCACCAGCCCAAUACACGAGAGGGGGACUAUAUAAGAAUCAAUGGAGCUGUCACUACCACGAACUACCCCGCGAUCUGGCAUAUAGGGUACAAUCGCAGAUAAAUACGGUAUAAGCACCACGCCUACACAAUAUCUAUCAUUUACCCAUGGAUCAGAUGGAUAAACGCUAUACGGUCCUAAACAUGUAUAUAAUUCCAAUCUAACUAAGCCAAGUAUAUAACUAUGAUAAACUAAGAACAAUAUAAUUGCGAAUAUAAACAAGUAGAGCAAAGUCAUAAUCAAUAUAUUGAAGUAGAACAAAGUCAUAUUCAUAAUAUCGAAGAACAAAGAUGAACAACUGAAGAACAAUAGAGAAUUACCAAGAAUCCUCUUGACAGAUCCAGAAACCAAUCGAAGAUUGACUCCUUCUAGUUCUAAUCCUAUGUAGCUAUGCUAAUCUAGAUAUCUAAUUGAUGUGGUGGCUCUAGGAUUGAUCAGAGGCUUCUUCUCCCUUGAUGAAUAAUGAAUUAGGGUUGAGAGGUCCUCUCCUCCAGGGGCCAGGGGGUCUAGUUUUAUAGUCCUUCCAAGUGAAUAUGGACCGUCGGAUCAAACCGACAUUGAUUGAACGGUUAUCUUUGAUCCUUUAGGUCGGUGGAGCGUAAUCCCAAAAGAGAGUCCUGAUUGGACUCCAGAGGGGGCGGGCGUCCUGGUCCCUAGGGCGGGCGCCCUGGGCCAGGCCCUGUUCUGCCUCCGCUUCGUUCCCGUGACUUCUGGAGUCUUCUAGAUGUAAGAUAAUUGCGCGGCACGUUAAUAUCUCUAUGACCCGACGUGUGGGCCUUUCUUCCGUAUUUCCCGAUAACCCCCUGCAGAAAUAGACAAACACCAAAACUCAUGGAAUUCUGUCAGAUAAAACCCUAAGUCUGGAUGUUGAUUGCAUUUGGAUCCUUUUCUUUGUUUAUUUGAUAGUUAAAUUUGAUACUUAAGGACCGUCAACAAACUCCCCCAAGCUUACCUCUUGCUCGUCCCUGAGCAAGGAUAGACUUAGCGAUAGACAAGAAGUUGUUGCAAUGCCUUUAAAAGUUGACGGUACACAUGCUUUUAAAUGAGGUCUCAUCCCUAAGUUAGAGUAAACUGUCAAGACUUAAAACUUACUUACUUUACCUUUCACCAUGGGACUGGUAACCGUCACUUCUGUCUUGAGUAGUUAAAAGAUAGAACAGUAUAGCCAAGUGCCAUGUCUCUUAUUCUUGAUCAGCUAUAGCUCUGGAGUUUUUGUAGAUUUUCAAAUAAAACUCAGAGAUUCCUUGUAUGACUCUCUCAGAUCUCUCUUUUGUGGUAUUUCUGGAUCCUUACCAAGGCAGUGAUGGUAUAUGCCUUCUCUCAAGUAUGUAGUAUUUGUGGUAUAAGGCAUAGUGACAUUGCCUUCUCUCUCACCCUACUCUAAUAAGGCUUUAAUAUCUAGAGCUCAUAGGUGGGAUAUAAAGUAUACAUACUCACAAGACAUUUAUUGUAUAGUCAAACCAUAGAUCUAGAGAAACAAGUCAAUAAGUCAAAUCAAGAUGUGCAUAUGAAGCAAAUGAAUGGUGUAUGACGAUGAUGGUGAUAACAAUGGUGAAAGUCUAAUUCUACUUUUGCUCUUUUGAGGGGAUAUAUACCUUCCUUGCUCUUUUGAAACUUUUUGAGGAGAAUGAGAUGCUCUAUAUUUUCUUUAUCUUUCCUCUCAGGUGGGUAUUUUGUACCCCUAAUUCUACUGUCGGACACUUGUCCAUUUUUACCUCUAGUCUCACUUUUUCUUUUCUUUCGAGGUUCCGGGCACUUGCCCCUUUUUAUUUCCUCGUAUCGCUCUUUUCUUAGAGCACUCAUGUAAGUGCAUUCGCUCCUGAUGUGGGUUUUGAUAAUUAAUGACAACCAAAUUAGGGACUAACAUGUUUAUCGAGCAUAAUCUACAGGUGUUAGUCCAUUGAUGGAAUUGAACAAAAACAUUCGGUGAAUUAUAGCACCCCUAAAUUUCCAAUGGAUGAACGGUGUUUUGACUCAAGUGGCUACAAAGUUUUUAUUCUUUGCUUGAGUUAUAGGAAACGCCGCACUAUCAAGAGGGAUGCAAAUUGAGUUGGUAAGAUGAGGAUAAAAGUGCUCAGGUCAACUUAGCUCUUGCGCUUGAGAGACACACUUGCACGCACGAACCACUAGGAAAUUUCUUCUCUGCCAGGGUGUGCCGGUAGUACCGACCCUCAGGGCCGGUGGUACCGGUAGUGCCAGUCCUUCUCCUGAGUUUUGCGAGAAAAUGAACUACCGGUAGUACCGGGCUCGGGCCGGUGGUACCGGCCAGCACCAGUAGUACCGGUGUGAAACGCCGGUAGUACCGGCAGGCCAAAUCUGCGCUGACUUUGGUUACGGAGAUUUGAAUUGCUGGUGGUACCGGCCUUCCACCGGUGGUACCGGGAAUGGUCGGUAGUACCGACAAAAGCCCGGUGGUACCGGUAGGCUUAUUUCUCGCAAAUCCUAGAGACUUCUUACCGUUAGAUCUGAGGUAGCCGGUGGUACCGGUGGUUGCCCUGGUAGUACCGGCAGUUGUUCAGGAUCUGUGUAUAAAUAGCUCUUCCCUCAUUUCUGACCGUUAGCUCUCCCAUUCCUUCAACUCUACAUUUGAGAAAAUAGUCUCCAAGCUUUGACUCACCCACUCUCUCUCCCUCUUUGCUCCUAGACUUCACUCCUUGAGAGAUUCGAGCUAGAGAAGUGAGAUUAGAGAGUUGGGAGCUUCGAUUUGUGACUUGAGCACUUGGUUUCUUCGUCUUGCCGGUUUGGUUUGCAUUUGUUACUCUUGGGUUCUUGGAACCCUAGCCAGCUAGGCGUUCUUCGUGGUUGCCCGUGUUGAUUCAUUUGUGAGGGCACCCCGAAGUGUUUGUAUAACCCUUUGAUUCUUAGUGGAAAUCUUGAGCUAACCUGUGUGGUUGCUUGAGGGAGGAGACCUAAGUGGUCGGACCUUCGUGGUCACCUCAACAGUGGGGAUUGCCGAACCUCGGGAAAAAUAUCUUGUCUUGCUGUGGAGGUAGCAUCGACUACCCUUGUUCUUGUGUUCUUCGUGUUCUUCCUCUGUACUCCCUUUCAUAGGUGAACAAGGGCCGAUCUACGUUUUGGAGAAGAACCGAGCCAAGGGAACUUCAACAUCAUCCUCUACUACAUCUUGGAGAGUGGGGUAACUCUCAGAUCUGAAAUCAAAACUCAAUCUACUCUGAUUUCAUAGCUCUCAUAGGGCGUCGGUAGUAUCAACAGUUGCGUCGGUAGUACUGGCUAUCUUACACCGGUAGUACCGGCCCAAACUGUCGGUAGUACCGGCAGGCAUUUAACUUCCGCAACUUGAGCUUUUGAGUUUCAGGUUUUUAAGAUACGCCUAUUCACCCCCCUCUAGGCCAAUUAGAUCCUUUCAACUCAUCUCAUAAUAUAGCAAGUGGUAGUAACCAAGAUAACUUGAGCAUUUAUUUCACAGGGGAAAAAUAGAAAUAUUUUUGGCUAUUCUCUCCCGAAUUAGGAGUAGAAUAUUUUUGGGUGGUUCUGGAGAUGGAAAUGAGUGGAUAUAUGUGGAUGCGUAUUUCCGGAGUAGAAGCAGCAUAUGUGAGUGAACGUGCAAGUGAAUCUUGAUUUAACCACAAGACAAUCUCCUAAGGGUCUACACAGCUUGACCACACUCAAUGAUCAUAAGUAGUAAAAAAUAAAUGUGUGGCUCAAAGUCUAGCAAGCAUGUAUAUAUGGCUGUGGUAGGAAUUUAAACUCUCAUCAUACAGGAACUCAUCAUGUGAUAUUUUAAAGAUUUUUUAAAGAUAAAAUUCUCCAGAAUUCUAGCAUCUCUAGGAACAGAUAAACAGCAUCUCAACCUUCCCAUAUCAUAUCCGUUAACAACUUAGACUUUAGAUCAAGUUUUCUUCCCACAAGUUCAGGUUUAGAAGCAAGCUUUAAAUUAUAACAGUUAUGUCUAAACUUGAGAAAGAACUCAAAUUUGAAAAUUAGGCAGAGCAACUAUUCAUCAUAUCCAUGCUAGAGUUUUAUUAUUAAGAUUCAGUUUAGCAUAGCCACUUUAUUUAUUUAUUAAGCACACUAAGCAAAAGAUAUAUAUAUAUAUAUAUAUAUAUAUAUAUAUAUAAGCACAAAAUCUUUAUUUGGUUUUCCAUAGUUAUGUAUAUUUAUAUUUUAAUAUAGUAUAAGUAUAAAGAUAGAUAUAAAUACUUAGCGGGAUAAAUGGGGGUGCUCUCCCCCAAGCUGAAUUUUGAUAUAAUUUCUUCUGAUGUAGCUAGCAGGUGGCAGAGGUGUAUUUGAAAGUCGGCAGUAUCCUGACAGCGAUUAGAAUGUCCUCCGUCUGCUAGUCUUCUUGAUUCUUAAAUUCUCUUGGCAAGGCGUUCGGUGUUUUUAAGUCCUCCGAACAAGACUCUCCGUUUUCUCAGUUGUCCUGGGGUUCAUUGGGUGGCGUAGUCGGUGCUUCCGGUAGCGCCUCUUCUUUAUAAUACCCGAUUUUAAAGACAAAACUAGAUAUGCACCAUAUGUGAGUUUUAGAAGCCAAAUCCCACAUAUAGCUACAAAUAAAGGGUAAUAUCAAAAGAGAAUGCAUAAAUAUAUAACGUACUUAGUAUAAAAGAGAUAACCUUUGAUAGCAAACAGCGCAUAGACUACUCCAACUUCGGGUAUUAACUUCUCUCUACAGGAUCCAACUGACUGGUUGAUAACAAGCCUAAACUUCUCCUGAAGGGUGGGGGAAAUAGCAAGAGUGAGUCCAUGUCGAACUCCACAAGUAUAGCAACUAGAUUGUAUAGCUCUCACAAUCUCAUGAUCAAUGUGACAUAAAUAAUGUAAAGCAUUAAAUAAUAAAUAAUGAGCAUAUUUAACACACAAGAAUCAUCAUCGUCGAUGCAAGAAUCCCUAAGGCCGCUUUUGACCGUGAGCAUGACUAGUAUACCAGUUUUAACACUCUGCAGAGGUUGUACAUCUUUACCCAUGAGUCAUGAUUUACCCUUUCGCCCGAGGUGAUCAGCCACUUAACCCACUUCCAAUGAAGGUUGGUAGGGAUCACUAUGAAGCCUUUCAAAAGUUCGUCUAACAUGUUUGAAAGCCCUAGUUUGGUUUUGGAUAAUUGAUGAAACCCUAGUACUAACCUCUAUGCUAAGUGUGUGUAGACUUAAUGAGGUUGGUACAUGCCAAGUGAUGGAGCAAGAGAUGAUCAUGGUGAUGAUGGUGAUAACCUCAAGAUGAUCAAGUGCUCAACUUGGAAAAGAAGAAAGAGAAAAACAAAACCCUAUGGAGAUCAAGGCAAAGGUAUUGCUUAGGGUUUUGGUUUUGGUGAUCAAGACACCAUAGAGGGUGUGAUCACAAUUAGGAUAGAUAGCCGUACUAUUUAGAGGGGUAAUCUCGUUGUGAAAACGGUUGUCUAAGUGCCACUAGGUGAUUGGAUUCCUUGCAUGUGCAUUAGGACCUAGUGAGCUAACUAAGUAACCCUUGAAAAAUGUUUUUGAAAUAUGCUAACACACGUGCACAAGUGUGGAGAAACUUUGGUGUUGGCACAUGGAAGCAAGGAAAGAAGCUGAGUUCUUUGUGUGCAGCGCGUUCAGGCCGGACGCGUCCGGUAUGAGGUCGGACGCGUCCGAGUUGAGGCACCGGACGCGGAAAGAGUUUUCGCGUAGAGUCCGGUGUGCCUCGUCCGGUGAGUUCGUUUCUCGGUGAAACUCUCUGAGUUUGCGUCCGGUGUGAACUAGGACGCGUCCGAGUUGGCGUCCGGUGCAAGCUCCUCUUGCAGAGCUCUCUGGGUGUGAGUCUGGUGCACACCGGACCGUCUGGUGUGUGCGUCCGGUGUGGCGACCGGUGUUGGCUCAAGUUUGCGACGCUCUCUGAGUUUGGGUCCGGUGCACACCGGACGCGUCCGGUGUGAACUAGGACGCGUUCGGUAUUUCAAAAGUGAGCGUCUGGUGCCUUGUCAGUGUCAGAGACAACGGCUACUUUUCUAACGGUCAGGAGCACCGGACGCUGGUCUGGCUCAUACCGGACGCGUCCGGUGUGAACUAGGACGCGUCCUGUGUGAACGCAGACAGUGGGAUUUCCUGCCAACGGCUAGUUGAAGCUUGGGACUUCUAUUUAUAUGCCUUGGCUGGUUCUUGCUCACCCUCUUGACUCUCUAACUUGUUGAUACACCUUGUGAGCAUACUCCCACACUUCCCACUCACCUUGUUCAAGAUUUGUUCAUCCAAAGUGAGAUUAGGAGAGAUCCUAGUUGCAUUUGCUUAGAGUUUGAGCAUCUAGUGGCACUAGUGAUCGUUGAGCAGCGGGUUUGCUUGUUACUCUUGGUGGUUGCCGCCACCUAGACGGCUUGGAGCUGCGGAGGAGCUUUGGCAUGAGUUGGUGAUUGUUCGUGGCCAUCUCCCGGUGAUUGUGAGAGGUUUGUGCCUACCUCGGCGGAGAGCCAAAGGCAACAUUAGUGGAUUGCUCGUGUCAUUGAGCUACCUCACUUGUGGGUAGGUUCUUGUGGUGUCCUAGUGAGGACGAGGUUCGUGCUACACCUCUUAGCCUCCAAACCACCAAGUGUUGGUCGACACAACGGGGACGUAGCGUGCCGGCAAGCACGUGAACCUCGGGAGAAAAAUCGGUGUCUCAAUUGUGAUUGAUUGGCAUUCUUCCGGUGCUUGAUUGUUGAUAUAUUUGGUGAUUGGUUCAUCCCCUACACGGCGGUAUAAAUAUCUUUUCCUCUCCUUUCACUUACCGCAAAGUAGUGUAACUAGUUUUAGUUGCUAGUUUUGUCUUGUGUAGUUAAGCUCACUAGUGUAACUUGUAGAAGACCUAGAGCUUGUGUGCUUAGUGAUCAUAGCAACUAGAAUUGUUGGAUAGGUGGCUUGCAAACACCCUCUUUUAGAGCUAGAGCAAAAAGCUACGCUUUGUUUUUUACUAACCUCUUGCUCUAGUGAGUUUGUAGAUUUUUUUAAUAGGCUAUUCACCCCCCCCUCUAGCCAUAUUAGGACCUUUCAAGUGGUAUCGGAGCCGUGGUCACCGUUUGUGAAGGCUUAACAACCUCGGUGCUCAAAUUAUGGCUCAAAUAGUGUUCAACCAUGUUGGGGGCAAACCACUGUUUUUUGAUGGCACAAGUUCUUUUGACUAUUGGAAGAGAAAGAUGAAAAUGUAUCUUGUAUCAAUCAAUGAUAGAGUGUGAGAAGUCACGGAGAAUGAUUUUGUGAUCCUUGACCCCGCUAACCCAACCGACAAUGAGAGAGCAAACAAGCAAUGCAAUACUAUGGCUCUCAACACAAUCUACAAUGGCAUUGAUUCAAAAGUGUUUGAACAAGUCAAAGAUCUUGAGAAGGCAAGUAAAGUGUGGACAAGGCUAGAAGAAACAUAUGAGGGCACUACAACGGUAAAAAGUGCCAAGUUGUAUAUGCUCAAGGACAAGCUAUCCAACUUCAAGAUGAAGGAUGAUGAGUCAAUCCCGGAGAUGUUCUAUAGGCUCCAAGUCAUCAUCAAUGAUCUCAAGGGACUUGGUGAGAAAGUGAAGGAUGAGGACUUCAUUCACAAGUUCUUGAUGUGCUUGCCCAAGAGGUUCAAGACAUUGAGAACCAUCAUAUUUAGAGGAGGAUUGACGGGUGUAUCUCCCAAUGAGGUACUUGGAGAUGUCAUGACCGAAGAUCAAUAUAAUGACAAUGAUGAUGAUGAGGUCAUGAAGAAGGAUGAUGAUGACAAGAAGAAGAAGAGUGUAGCAUUCAAAGCUAGCUCUUCAUCCAAGAGCAAGAACAAGGACAAGGCCAAGAAGGAAGAAUCAAGUGAUGAGGAGUGCUCCAAUGAUGAUAGUGAUGAUGAAGCACUAGCACUCUUUGUCCGCAAGUUUGGCAAGAUGAAGAAGAAGAAGGGCUAUCACACAAGAAAGAGAAGAGAUCACUUCAAGAACAAGGAGCAUGUGAGGCUAUGCUACAAGUGCAAGAGCCCCGAUCAUAUUGUGGCGGAUUGUCCUUACAAUAGUGACAAUGAUGAGCAUGACAAGAAGAACAAGAAGGAGAAGAAAGAAAAGAAAGAGAAGAAGAUGGUCUUCAAGAAGAAGAAGGGUGGAUCCUAUGUUGUGACAUGGGAUAGUGAUGCUUCCUCGAAUGAUGAUUCUAGUGAUGAUGAUAAGGCAUCCAAGAAGAAGGCACUUGCAAGCAUUGCUAUCAACAACAAGCCAUCACUCUUCGAUACUCCUUCAUGCUUCAUGGCCAAGGGCCACAAGGUACAAUAUGAUGAGAGCGAAAGUGAAAGUGAAAAUGAACAUGAUAGUGAUAGUGAUGAUGAAAAUGAAUUCACUAAUGAACAACUCAUGGACAUGCUAGAACAAGCCGAUUCACUUAUUCAAUCUAAAAACAAGAAGUGCAAAGAAUUGGCCAAGAAGUUAAAAGCUCUUGAGCAAUCCUUUGAUGAGCUCAAUGCUAAUCAUAAGAGGCUAGUGGAAGCCCAUGAGAAGCUUGGCAUGGCUCGCACCAAGCUUGAAAAAGCUCACUCCUUGUUAUUAGAAGAGAACAGGGAAAAGGUUGUUGUAUCAUGUGAUGUGGGCACAACAUGUGACUUAACUAAAGAAUCACCCAACCCACCUAUUGUUGUUGCCACUAACUCUUCAUGUAGGUCUUCAUCCACCACCACCAACUCUACCUCUACUUCUAGUGUUAGUGUCACUUGUGAUGCUUCACUAAAGAUUGAGAAUGAGACUCUCAAGAAAGAGGUGGAUGAGCUCACUCACGCCCUAGGCAAGGCCUAUGGUGGUGAGGCCCGCUUGCUAAAGUGCUUGGGUAGCCAAAGGUUUUCUCUCAACAAAGAGGGAUUGGGCUAUAUCCCCAAGAAAGGCAAGGCGGCCUUUGCAACUCACAAACCUAGCUUUGUGAAGAGCAAUGGUCGGUAUUGCAACAAAUGCAAGCAAGUUGGGCACCUAGAGCUUAAUUGCAAUAAAAUGAACAAGAACAAGAAAAAUGCUAAUGCACCUUACAUUCCUUUUGAUUCUUGUUAUGUGCUUACCAAGGGUGAGAAGGGUGUGCAUGCUAAGUUUGUUGGUACACCAAUUGUGGGUCCAAAGAAGAAGGCCAUUUGGGUACCAAAAAGCUUAGUCACUAACCUCCAAGGACCCAAACAAGUAUGGGUACCUAAGAAACAUUGAUUUGUUUUGUAGGUAAACUAUAAAGCCGGAGGAAGGCAUUGAGUGCUUGAUAGUGGGUGCACACAACACAUGACCGGUGAUUCAAGAAUGUUUAAUUCAAUCAAUCCAAAUGAUGACAAUGGUGUUGAUAGUAUCACAUUUGGUGAUAAUGGCAAAGGCAAGGUCAAAGGGCUUGGUAAAAUUGCUAUAUCCAAUGACUUGAGCAUUUCCAAUGUGCUACUAGUAGAGAGCUUGAACUUCAACUUGUUAUCCGUAGCUCAACUUUGUGAUCUUGGUUUCAAAUGCAUAUUUGGAAUUGAUGAUGUAGAGAUCAUAAGUGUAGAUGGCUCAAACUUGAUAUUCAAAGGUUGCUAGUUUUGUCUUGUGUCGUUAAGCUCACUAGUGUAACUUGUAGAAGACCUAGAGCUUGUGUGCUUAGUGAUCAUAGCAACUAGAAUUGUUGGAUAGGUGGCUUGCAAACACCCUCUUUUAGAGCUAGAGCAAAAAGCUAUGCUUUGUUUUUUACUAACCUCUUGCUCUAGUGAGUUUGUAGAUUUUUUAAAUAGGCUAUUCACCCCCCCCCUCUAGCCAUAUUAGGACCUUUCAAUGUUUGGGCCGCAAGGUUUCCUUUGGCACAAUGACUCGCAGCCUAUACACAUACAGACAGAGGCCACACUAUACCCAAAACGGUUCAGCCCCUCCGACCUUUCGGGUAACCUCUAACAAGCUAGAAAAGGUCUUCAUACUGAGCUAAAGCCAGAUCCAUUAUAGCCCUUAUGGUUGCACUGUUGUCCCGGUUAUCAUUUACAGAUAAAUCAAGUUCCUAAAAAGUUAUUUUUAUCAUUUAUUACUUAACAUUAAUCUAGUCACAGGAUCAUGGUCACAGAAUAAAAUUCAAAUGUUAUACUUGCCUUAAUCCAUUUGCUCUUGCUGAUCCUUUUAGUUCUGCUGGUCUUACUUGUUGCCAAAGCUCUGAUCUUGAUCAGCAAAAACUGCUUUCCGUCUAAACUCGAUCGUCGAUCGCACAAACAAGCGGAAACAAACAUACACGAAGCAAACAAAGCUACAAUUAGAACAGUACACCAAACAUAUAAAAAUAGUAUGAAAAGUUUAUAAAAUGAUUCUACGCAUCGCUACGAUUUCAAAGGCGUAAAGUUCACGAAAAUCGGAGUUAAAACGGUGAAGUUAUGAAUUUUCUAAGAUUUCCUAUAGAUAAAUAAUUAAUUAAAUGCUACUGCGAAAAUAAAAAGUUUCAAAAUAGAGAAAUAAUACUUCUAACAUGUAGAGCUCGUAAAUACAAAUCUAACAAAAUUUGAAUGGACAAAAACGGAGUUCAAAUGAUUAAACUGCGCAUGAUUAAAGGUAGACCGAUUAAAUAAUGGUGGAAGAUUUUGGAAAACUACCAUAACAUGCCUAGUUGCCGCUCGAUGUCCAGGAGACUCAUUGGCCAUAGCUUGCAAUGGCCAGAGGACAGCUGCAGGCAGCACGUGCGGCGCACAGGCAACAACGAUGAAUUAGACGACAUCAAAAGGAGAUGGGCUUCGCUUCUUACGUGCAGCAAGUGCAGAUAAAAAGGAGGCAUCCUGUUCCUUCGUGACUUGAUGUUUAGCUUGCUGAACGAGAGAUCAGGUACUGAAUAGAAAGAAAAUAAGAAGCAAAACAAAUGAUGAGUACUGAACAAAGAGAGAGUCACGCACCAGAAGAGACGAUGAUGAUGAGCACAGGCGAUGGACUAGAGAGAUGACAAAAAAAUAUAUAAUUUACUACCGUGGAAUUUCCAGACUAGGGGCUCUAUUUACGGUAUUUUUUGUGUUUCUCCUAAAGGGUUGGCACAUAUAUAUAUGGAGGAAAACUCUCCACAUCUACAUCAAUUAACAAUAUGGUACUAAUUGAUGUUGCCCCUUCCACCUUUACUAAUAAGCCUAAUUAAUUAUUAAAGCCCACUAGUAAAUAAAUACAUUGGCCUUUGAGAUCAUGGGUUCAGCGUUUGGGUAGAAUGAAAGAUUUAUUAUUUUCGAAAUUAAUUAUUUUUGUGAAUAGGAUAUUUUUAGAAAAGUCCAGAAUUAUUAUUUAAUUCAUGAAAAAUAUUUCAAAAGCUCUAAAAAUUCGGGAAAAAUUCUCGGAGUUAUUAUGAAACAUGAGGAACCCAAAUAAAGUAUUUGAAGCUCAUGAUAAGAUAAUUCGGAGCAUCUAAAAAUUAAAUUAUGCUCACAGUCAAGUGGGAAAAGUUUCACAAAAAGUGUUGGAAUAAAUCUUGGUCAGUUUUUAGAGAUUGAUUGAUGGUUGAGGAACUGAAAGGAAUGAUUUGGGUUACAAAGAAAAGAUUUUGGGAUACUCGAAACAAAAGCAUAGGCUAGAAAACAAGGAAUUUGAUUGUAGAAAAAAAAGAUAAAUCCGUGCCGAAGAAGGGAGAUCGACCUAGUAACGUAUUUUAAACACUCCACUCACUGUCAACACACAAAGGAGCAAUAAGCAAACAUUACAUCAAAUCUUAUGCACCAGCAUGUAUGCACAACAAUAUUGCUAUGCCUUAUGAUAAAUUUUAAUUUACUAAAAAAUGUUAUUUUUCCUAUAUUUUCAUGAGCUCAAAAAUACCAAAUUAAAUUAUUUUAGCUCUAUUUUGAAAGGACCAAAAUUUGGGGUGUUACAUUCUUCAUGUAUAGUUAUCUUCUCUCUCCACAUUUUACUCGGUGGUAUGGUUUCCUCAGGAUAAUCUUGUUCAAGCUGUAUGUCUUCAGAUCUUAUCACUUCUCCUUCAUAGUCUGCCCAUCCAUCCUUGAUGAUUUGCCUCUUCUGGUUGCGGUUGCAUCGUCUUCUUCUUGUCCUGACUUGCUUAGAGUCUUCAAUGAUAUAGUUAGGGUCAGUAAAAUAGCGGCGUACCUUCUCUAAGGGUAAGUGCAUAUGGACUUCUCCAGUUCCAAUGUAGAUGAUUGCUUUAACGGUGUUGAGGAACGGUCUUUCAAGGAUGAUGGGUGGAUCGUACUCGUCUUCUCCCAUGUCAAUAACCUGAAAGUCUGUGUAGACAAAAUGAUCGUCUAUCUUGACAGGGACAUCAGUUACUAUACCUUUAACCUCUCGAAAUGUCUGAUCUGCCAUCUGGAGCUGAAUGUAUGUUGUUUUUAGGGGCAUGGUUCCGAACAAGAGCCGAUAGGUGACUGAAAGGUCCUAAUAUGGCUAGAGGGGGGGGUGAAUAGCCUAUUAAAAAUUCUACAAAACGCUAGAGCAAGAGGUUAGUAAAUAACAAAGUGAAGCUUUUUGCUCUAGCUCUAAGGGGUGUUUGCAAGCCACCUAUCCAACAAUUCUAGUUGAUAUUAUCACUAGGCACACAAGAGCUAUGUCUCUACUUACACUAGAGAGCUACCUAAAGUUUCUACACAAGUAAGUAAGCUACUCUAGUUUGCAAGAAAGUAAGAGAGAAGGUUUGAUCUUUAUACCACCGCGUAGAAGGGAUGAACCAAUCAAUAAUAUAAAGUCCAAUCACCGGGAGAAAUCCAAAGUACAAUCACAAUGGAGACACACGAUUUUCUCCCGAGGUUCACGUGCUUGCCGGCACGCUACGUCCCCGUUGUGUCGACCAACACUUGGUGGUUCGGUGGCUAAGAGGUGUAGCACGAACCUCGUCCUCACUAGGACACCACAAGAACCUACCCACAAGUGAGGUAACUCAAUGACACAAGCACUUUACUAGAGUUACCUUUCGGCUCUCCGCCGGGGAAGGUACAAGACCCCUCACAAUCACCGGGAGAUGGCCACGAACAAUCACCAACUCGUGCCAAUCCUCCUCCGCUGCUCCAAGCCGUCUAGGUGGCGGCAACCACCAAGAGUAACAAGAAAACCGCAGCUAGAACGAUCCCCAAGUGCCACUAGAUGCAAUCACUCAAGCAAAUGCACUUGGAAUCACUCCCAAUCUCACAAAGAUGUUUAAUCUAUGAAGGAGAUGAGUGGGAGGUGUUUGCUUAGGCUCACAAGGAUGUUAUGUAUGUUAGAAUGCCAAGAGUAUGAGCCCCAAGCCGGCCAAACACGUAUUUAUAGCCCCUCAACCAAAUAGAGUCAUUGGCUCUUUUCACUGAGCAAACUGCGGGGUCACCGGACGCUCUUAAAGGGGCACCGGACGCUCAACACCAGCGUCCGGUGCUUCAACGUCAGCCGCGUGUCAGAUUCUAACGGUAACCUGUAGAGCACCGGACGCUGAGCAGGUUGGCACCGGUCGCGUCCGGUGCACACCGGACUCAUGCGCAGAGAGCUUCGCAAACUCGCAAGGUCACCGGACGCGAGCCACCGGACGCACCCUGAGCGUCCGAUGCUCACCGGACUCAUGCGCAGAGAGGUUUGCAAAACCUCCUCACACCGGACGCUCCAAGCUGCGUCCGGUGCCUAUCGUCCGGUGCCUAACCCUAACCGAGUCAGGCUGCCUGCUCACCGGACGCACAGGAACAGCGUCCGGUGCUUCUGAGUCAGCGUCCGGUGAGUGUUCCUCAGCGAGAAACACUCCCGCGACUUCUCCAAUUUUCCCACCGGCGCAAUAGAAAAUAUGCACUUCAUUUUCUCGAAAAGCGCCGAAUAUGCGACUACCCAUCCUCUCUCUACCUUUCAAACUCCACCUCCUUCUCAAAGUGUGCCAACACCACAACGUGUGUACCAACAAGUGCACGUGUGUUAGCAUUUUCACAAAUAUUUUCUUUGAAGGAGUAAAGUUAGCUCACUAGGUUCUAAAUGCAUGCACAUGAACAAUGACACCUAGUGGCACUUGAUAACCGCUUAGCCAAAGAAUUCCCCUCUUUAUAGUACGGCUAUCUAUCCUAAAUGUGAUCACACCCUCUAUGGUGUCUUGAUCACCAAAACCAAAACCCUAAGCAAUACCUUUGCCUUGAUCUCCAUAGGGUUUUGUUUUUCUCUUUCUUCUUUUCCAAGUUGAGCACUUGAUCACCUUGUGGUCAUCACCAACAUCACCAUGAUCAUCACUUGCUCCAUCACUUGGCAUGUACCAGCCUCAUUAAGUCUACACACACUUAGCAUAGAGGUUAGUAAGGGUUUCAUCAAUUAUCCAAAACCAAACUAGGGCUUUCAGUGACUGCGGCCAUUAUGUUGAUGCCCGAUCCGGUAUCGCAAAACGUCUUGUAGAAGUUGCACCCAUUGAUGGAGCAAUAGAUGCUUAGCAUUCGUGGGUCGUCCUUCUUGGUCAGAAACGGUGACUUAAGUCGAUGAUCUUGUCCCUCAUGAACUGCAGUGACCAUCUUAGCUGAUUCGGUCCACACUUGCUUGUUCAUGUUCCUCCUGUUGGUCCUCUUCCUUGAUUCAUGUCGAGAUUGCUCUGGGAUUUGUGUAGUCUUGUUCUUGAAGAAAAACGUCUCCUUUCUCCCUUUGAUGUAGAAACUGAUCUUAGCAGCACUAGCGUAGAUGACAGCUCCUGAGGUGUUUAAGAAUGGCCUCCCUAAGAUGAUGGGUGCCCUCUCAUCAUUACUGGUCUCUAUCACUACGAAGUCUGCUGGGGCAUACAAGGUACCAACUCGGACACAGAGGUUCUUCAAUAUUCCCUUUGGAAAACUUAACGCCUGAUCUGCAAACUGCAAACACAUGGUUGUUUCUAAUAAAGGAUAUGUAAAGAAUUUUUCAUAGAGUACCCUGGGCAUAAUGUUGACGCUAGAGCCAAAGUCGCAGAGUGCUUCUGGGAAGUCCAGCAUGCUGAUGGAGAUCGGGAUGACUGGGCGUCCUGGAUCGCCACUCUUGACCGGCAGAAGGUCAGUAGUAACUUCAGUGACGGGGUUACUCCAAUAGUUACCUGCAUCAAACAUCUCUACAAGAUUUGCAUAUUUUAAUCCUUCCAGUUGUGAUGGUAUACCGGGGUUAGUAGCAGGAACAGCAGCAGCUAUUUGAUUUAAUUGAGAUUCAAUCAUUUUAUUAAAGCUAAUUUGAUUCUUGAUGGCAGUAGAGAAAUUAUCCAUUCUAUUAUUUAUAUUUUCUAGCAUUUUAUUAUUAGAUGCCAAUUUCUUAGAUAGGUUAUCCAUUAGCUUUCCUUGAUUAGACACUAACUCUCUCAGAGGUGGAAAAUUAUUUUUAUUAUUAUUGUAAGAAUUGUUACCUUGAUAAUUACCUGAGUAGUUAGGCCUUUGUUGAUUCCAACCUUGAUUUUGUUGAGGACGGUUGUAGUAGUAGUAGUUGUUGUUGAUGAUGUAGUUCACAUCCUCAAGCAUCUCAGGGCAGUGAUUGCCUGAGUGUCCAGUAUCUCCACACUCCUCACAAGUCAUGUGAGAGUCGUAGAUGUGCAUAACUUUUUUCUUAUCUCCAGCUCUAUCAUCGAGCUUCUUCAUGAGCAGGUCUAGCUUUGCAGACAGCAUGUCUACCUCCUUGAGCUGAUGCAUACCUCCUCCUUUCUUGCGUGUCUGGGUUCUUUCUUCAUUCCAGCCUUGGUUGGACGCCAUCUUCUCCACAAGAGCUGUGGCUUGUGGUAUGGUGAGUGAUAGGAAUGCUCCUCCAGCUGCAGCAUCCAUGGUUUCUCGGGCACUGUUGCCGAGCCCAUGAUAAAACGUCUGCGUUAGUAGCCAGCUCUCCAUUCCAUGACGGGGACAUUCUAGGAUAUAGUCUUAGAAGCGCUUCCAUGGUUGUGGAACGGAUUCAUCAUGUUAUUGCUGAAAACUCGUAAUCUUUCCUUAGAGAGGAUUGGUCUUGCCCAUGGGAAAGAACUUAGCCAGAAAGUUCGUGGAGCAGAGUGCCCACGUAGUAUUCUUCUCCUUUGUAGCGUAGAACCACUGCUUCGCUCUCCCUAACAGUGAGAAUGGGAAGAGGCGAAGUAGUAUAGCAUCUCUGGGGACUCCUGAUAUGGUGAAUGUGCUGUUGGUCUUGCCCAUGGGGACUCCAGAAAGUGUUGGAGAUGAGCACUAGCAUCUUCGUGUGCUUCCCACAGAACUGGUUGGAUUGCACCAUGUUGAUAAGUCCAGGCUUGAGCUCAAAGUUACCAUCGAUCUCUGCAGUAGGUCCAGUGCGGAUGUUGUCCGUAGUGGGAGCUGAGAACUCACGGAUCGUUUUGUUCGCCAUGGGUUCGAACUCUAAAAAUAAGUUCCGGUGAUCUUCUUGAUUGGAUGAACCUUCUUGCUGAAGUGUUGAUGAUCUCUUCUUGAGCUUGGCUCUUGUUUUUCUGAAUAACACUUCGGGAUUGUCAACAAAAUUUUCUGGAAGAUGUCUUCUAUUCAUACAUUACCCUGCAUAAGAUAAAAUAGAAAAAUAUCAGGGUAAAACUGUAUGAGAGAAUUGAUAAGCUCAAUCAUAUUAGUGAUGCGAAUGAUGACUCUAAAUCCUAUAUUCAUUCCUGAUUAGUAAUCAACCUUCCCCGGCAACGGCGCCAAAAAUGCUUGUUGGACAUUCUUAACGUCACUACCAAAAGUAGACUUAGUUUUUUAAUUCUGAUAAUGGCGCCAAAAAUGCCAAACAUAUCCCUCAUGCCACUUAAGCCAAGUUGUCAUCCCCAGCAUGACAUGAGAGACGCGGUAUUGAAAUAUGCAAUUGCUCAUCUAAAUAAAUAAUAAAUGGGAUCUGCAAGCGCACAUAUUAACACCGAUGUAGCAUUUUAACCGGGAAGUAUUCCACGUAUCGUUAUUUAUAUUUUUACCACUGGGAAGGGAUUAGUAACCAUCAAUGUUGAUUAUAGAAUGUAAUAUAGAAUUGAGUAUCUAUCAUUGCAUGUAUAAUUGAGAACAUGUUGAUGCAAAACCUAGUCUGCAAACACAAAGGGCUAAUACCCGAUCCAAACGUUAAGGCGUGCCAGCCGAUUUGACCUUACUAUCGGCAAAGGUGGUAACUCGAAUACUUUAGUCCUGACAACAGCGAUGCGCCCGGAUGUCACGGCUAAGAGGUACUCACGCGGAACUGGAGGAUACGCCGAGCUUGAGUCGAUGAAUUCCUAAGAACUCGUAAUCAAAAAGAAAACGUAUGACGAAGUCGUCGAAAAGUAAAUGCUGGAAUAUGAGUAAAAACGUGUGUUUGAUUGAUUGAUAGAUGAUGUUGAUUACAAGGUCCUAGGGCUUAUAUUUAUACCCUGCUCAAAGAGCUACGACCAGACACGAUUAGAAUUCGAAUUCCAAAUUACACGGAACCCGUAUACAAAACGAUGCGAAUAACUAAGGAAAUAAUAAAACCAUCCUCCGUGACAAACCGAAAACUCCUCCACAUGACAACUGGCAGCUUCCGGACUCCUCCUUCGCAUCAUCGGCAAUCCCCUCGCCAUAGUCAUCGGCAGACCUUUUUACUUGGUCAUCGGCACCAUAUUACUGCCUGAGGACUUAGUCACAUUCAACCUUUCCCUCAUCGGCAACCAUCCUUAUCAGCAACCCGCAUCGUACUGCCACCCUAUUCUGCCAUCCUGGACACGUGCCCAAAAAUGGUGUCAACACAUGCCCCCCAGUUUCGGAGUAUAAAACUAUUAAUGCUCCGAAAUUCUCUGCAGUAAUGAUGUCUUCUCCGCAAUUAAUGCUCCUAAUCUGGUAACCGACAACCUCAAUCUGGACAACUCUGAUCCUAAUCCUCCGCAGAUCUCUCGAAAUCCCCAACUUCCUAAACGGGCAUCUCUUUUAGUCGUACAUCGGCAACAAUACCGUUACAAAGAUCUGCCGAUGCUCUGCCCAGGAGAUUCGCAAAAACGGUUACCUCCCCUCUAUCCGCCCAUCGGCAGGACGACCGUUAUAGAAUAUCACCGAUGGACCGACCAGGAGAUCGCGCACAGUAAAAUAUCUUUAGAUAAUGACCGCUUCCUGUCAAAUCACCUGCACAAUCCCUGGAUUAUCGUGCGAACAGUUACCAUAUCCACUUGAGUACCCUCGGGCCUCUCGGAUGCGGCAAAGAAAUAAGUCAGAUUUGCCCUUGUCCAUCUUGUCCUAUAAAUAGUUCCUUCUUGGGUACUCCUCCCCCAUUGCAUCAUUCCGCCAUCCAACUUCACUUUUCCAGCGGCGGCGCCAUUCUCAAUCCUCAAGAUCUCCGACAAGCAUUCUUCUUCAUCAACUCCGGCGCCCUCCAGCGUCCUCUUCACGACAAGAUGGCCGUUGGCUUCGUCGUCCCUGAGGUCAGACUUCCAUCUCAUCUGCUGUACCUUUUUCUUGCAUUCUUGUUCAUCUACGAUUCAUUCUCACCGAAUAUUUUCCUUUUCCUUUUUCUUCGCAUUUUUAUUCCCCAAAACACCAGGAGUUAUCCAACAAAAUUGUCAUCCCUACCGAUCAACCACAUCUUCAAUGCCUCGGCCCUCUAGGGGAUCCAGAUCCAACCGAUCUUAUCAAUGCAGAAACCAACAGGAUUCCCUUUAGAGCUGAAAACUUUGCUUUAGAUCUAUGGAAAGACACUUUUCGCUCUUGGCCCAGCCCUACUGUAGGGUGGAAAGACUGGUUCUUGAGGGUCAGCAACUCUUAUGAAGUUCAAUGGGGUGAGAGGAAAUUAGCUCAAUGCAUUAGGCUGUCCAUUGCCGAUAUGCACAGGAACGAGUCAUUGCUGAUAGCUGCAUCUUACUUUUGGUCAGACACCCUCAACGCUUUUGUUUUUGGCCACGGCCCUGCUUCUCCUACCCUUGCCGAUGUAGCCAUGCUUACUGGGUUAGAUAUAUCUUCUGCCGAUAGCACCCAUUUUUUUUGAUACCGCCCCCAGUGCCAAAGUGGAGACUCGCGCUAUCGGCGGUUGGUCAGGGUACAUCCAGAAGUACCGCGGGAGAGGACCUGUCACCAUAAAGGAGCAAACCACCUUUCUGAACAUGUGGCUAGACAAGUUUGUAUUCUGUGGUCGAUCGGCAGGACCGACUUCUGUCUAUCUAUCGGCAGCAGAAAGACUGGCUAGCGGCGGCCAAUUUCCUCUCGGCCGUUAUUUGCUCGGCGCUCUUUAUCACCUUCUUCAUCAGGUAGUCCAGAAACUCCUGCUUGGCCAACCUAUCGGCAACUUGGGAGGUCCUUGGUGGUUUAUUAAUAUGUGGCUCAAUCUGCACCUGCACAAGCGCCUUGAUCUCAACUUGUUCUCACAGCACUUCCCAAGAGAUAUAGCCGAGAAUCAUGUGCUGGGUGAAGAGGAAUCGGCAACACGUGCCCCCCUGAACUUUGGCGAAGCUGUUAUAGUCUUACCCGGUUCAGGGAACACUCCGGAUCAGAUCGGCCGAUUCUUCGAGACGCUGUAUGAAGGUCUGGCUAGAGAUGAACGACCAUGGCUGGCUUAUGACGACCCAGACAGCAUGCUCCCUCUGACCUUCAAUCCAUUUGAUGAAGCUAUUGACAGGGACAAUGAGGUGAUGAUGGCAAUCGUGACCCCCAGAGCCAUACCAGUGAAUUUCUUCGGCAGCACGAAAACCUCUCCCCAAACCUAUGAAUUUUAUAAUCCAUCGGCAUUAGCUCGCCAGCUAGCUUUCGGCCAAUUGCCGAUUGCACUUCCUUAUGCCGAUGUAAUAAAGCCCAGAGAGCCCAUCGCCAACCUCCUCGAGUGGACUCGAGUAGCCCAACUACUACCAAAUGCCGAUACGGAUGUAGACCUGUCAGAAUGGGUUCCAGCCGCCUUUAUCACUCAGGCAUACAAGCUAUGGUGGGCAGAAUGGAAAGAGAAUCUGUUCUGCAGAUCAGCCCUCUCAUACCGCGGCAUGAUCGACCCCGAAUAUGAAGUCCCUGAUGAUACUGUAAGUAUUUUAAACCGAUGUCUCAUUUUCCAAUAUCACUCCCAUCGGUAACUCACCCCUGUAUUCCUUUUGCAGAUUGACAACACCCCCCCAUCAGUUAGUAGGAGUGGCAAGCCGAUCGACUUAUUCCCAUCGGGCCCGAUCUCCUCAAUCGGCCAUAAUGCCCCCACUCUGGCUUCCAUCGUGCACAGGGGUGCGCGCCUCAAGAAAGUUACCACCAGGAAAACUCAGACAUCACCACCGGUAACUGCUUCCACUCUGGCACAAGCUUUCAAGGCAAUCUGUUAAAACCCUUUUUUCAUUUACGCUGACUUAUCUUUGUAUCGGCUAUCUGUACUUAUAAACUCCUUUUUGUUGUUGCAGCAAACUGGUGCAUCGGCAAAAGUCAAACGCCAAGGCGCCGAUGCUCCCCAGUCUAGCCAGCCAAAGAGGAAGGGCAUCCACGGUGCUAAGGCUGGAACAAAGCGCCAGAAAGUGGCAACUCCUCCUCCUCCUCCGGUGUUUCCAAUCCCUGUGGAAUCUUCCCCUUCUCCUCCAGACGUCCAGGCACAGCAAGUACUAUCUCCACAACCAACACAGGAAGCACCACAGAUGGAAGAACCCCAGCAGGAAGGACCUCAAACGGCAGUUAUAUCAGCUGAUGUAGGUGAACAAACAGCUGGCCCGGCAGGUGCAGUUACAUCAUCGGUGGUUUCCUCGAUUCAGGCAACUGUUGUUUCUCCUCCGGGUAACAUAUCUCAACAAUACUCCUACCUAUAAACUUAUUCUCAUUUAUUCUUAUAAUCUUUCCUGUCUUCUUUCAGGCGAUAUCGCUCUAUCGGCAACAUUUGCCGAUCAACCUGCAGCUCCAUCGGCCUCUCUGAGUCAAAGGCAAGAAAUCGCCUUGAAGCAAGUAAGUCAUCCACUUUUCCAUCAGUAUCGUCUGCCGAAGUCCUGACCAUAAAAUUGACCUACUUCAUUUUUAUUUUCAGGAACAAGAUUCUCCCAACAGCUUGUUCUCCUUCGCUAUUGAUAUCUUCGAAGAAGAAGGCGAGGAAGCAAGCUCCUCUCGGGCAGUUGGAAUUGUAUCGGCAGAAGCCAGAGCUAAGCUGGAGGAGCUAUCGGCCAUACUUCAUCAAGACACAACUCAACUGGUCAACGAUUCUGACCCAGCCAAAGCCCUGUUCAAGACCCUUAGAGGCCAAAUUCCUGCCGAUGCUGAAGAAACACUCUUCCAUGCUGCACAUCUAGAAAGCCGUCAGCUUCAGUACCAGAGAGCUACUCGACGCCUUGCCGAUAGAGCUGCUCAAAUCCAGCUUUCUGAGGAGAUGAUGAAAGAAAAACUCUUAGCCAAUGAGAAACAUAAGAACAUCGGCACCUUAAAAUCCUCAGGUGAUGCACUGAAGCAGAAAGUGUCUGAUCUAUCGGCAAAAAGAGAAGCUCUACUGGCUGAACUCAAGCAGGUAGAAGACGCUCUGUCCCAAGCUCAGCAAGAAGAGAGUCAGCUGCCGGAGACCAUCAAGCAUCUUGAACAAGAACGAAAUGUCCAUGGUCGCAAAGCGCUGCAACUGAAGAGGAAACUGAAGCCGAUCGAAGGUUCUGCCGAUGAUGAUAUCAAAGAGAUAGAGACAGCCAACCAAAUUCGGUUAACACAAUGCCGAUUCCUGCUCCCCGAUCACAGGUAGAUCCAUCAAAGAAGAGCGUCCAGGGUGCAAUUUCCAAGGUUUCCACUAGGCCGCAAUGUUGAGUCACCAAAUCGGCCAUAACCUGCCCUUUGACCGCCUUAGCCGAUUCGUAACGCAAAUCGAAUUCCGACAGCGCUAAAAUCCAUUUACCGAUCCUUCCACUCAUAAUCGGCAUAGAUAGCAUGUAUCGGACUACGUCAUCUUUGCAAAUAACAGCACAUUCGGCCGACAAUAGGUAAUGUCUUAGCUUGAUACAUGAAAAAUAUAAGCAUAAGCACAGCUUCUCGAUGGCCGAAUACCUGGCUUCAGCAUCAAUCAACCUCCUACUCAAAUAAUAAAUUACUCUCUCUUUCCCUUCAAACUCCUGAACCAAAGCUGAGCCGAUAACCGAUCCAUCGGUAGAUAAGUAUAAUUUGAAGGGUUUCCCUUGUUGAGGUGGAACUAAAACUGGAGGAUUUACUAGAUACUUUUUGAUUUCAUCUAGAGCCAACUGCUGUUCUUCUCCCCAAACAAACUCCUGAUCGGCUCUCAAUUUUAGAAGAGGACUGAAAGCACGAAUUCUCCCAGAUAAAUUCGAUAUAAAUCUUCUGAUAAAAUUCACUUUGCCGAUCAAAGAUUGGAGCUCGGUUUUAUUGGUAGGGGCCACUAUUUUAUUGAUGGCAUCAAUAGAUCUUCGACUAAUUUCAAUACCCCUCUGAUGUACCAUGAAACCAAGAAACUGUCCUGCCGAUACACCAAAUGCACACUUGUUGGGAUUCAUCUUCAAUCCAUGCUUCCUUGUGCACUCCAACACUCUUCGUAAAUCGGCAAGAUGCUUUGAGAAAUCUCCAGACUUGACCACCACAUCAUCAAUAUAAAUUUCUACGAUCUUGCCGAUGAACUCAUGAAAUAUAAAAUUCAUAGCCCUUUGAUAAGUAGCACCGGCAUUCCUUAACCCAAAAGUCAUGACUAUCCAUUCAAAUAGUCCAACAUGACCAGGACACCUGAAUGCGGUUUUUGGAAUAUCCUCUUCUGCCAUGAAUAUUUGAUUGUAACCCGCAUUACCAUCCAUGAAGCUGAUGACCCGAUGGCCAGCCGCAGCAUCAACCAGUAGAUCGGCGACAGGCAUUGGGUAUCCAUCCAUCGGCGUAGCUUUAUUGAGAUUCCUGAAAUCAAUGCACACCCGAAGCUUCCCGUUCUUCUUGUAAACCGGGACGACAUUGGAAAUCCAUUCGGCAUACCGACACUGCCGAAUAAACUUAGCUUCAAUAAGUUUAGUGAUUUCGGCCUUAAUAUCAGGUAGAAUGUUAGGAUUACAUCGGCGGGCUGGUUGCUGAUGUGGCCGAAAUCCAGACUUAAUGGGUAACCGAUGUUCAACAAUUGAUCGGUCUAAACCAGGCAUCUCUGUAUAAUCCCAAGCAAAGCAAUCUUUAUAUUCCUUUAACAAACUAGUUAAUUGCCGUUUACACUCAGGAUCUAGUUUAGCACUAAUAAAAGUAGGCCUAGGCUUAUCACCACUACCUAUAUCUACUUCUACCAAAUCAUCGGUCGAUGUGAAUCCCUGGCCUAAUUUUCCAUCAUCGGCGAAUCUAUCCAUUAAAAACCGUCGUCAGAACCGACUGCUUGGAUCGGUGGAAUCUCAUAAUCGGCAACUUUGAGAAAAUCUUUCUCCCAAACUUCUCCUGAAAUGCACCUAGUCUUUUCAUAAGUAUCCGCUUCUGCCGAUGCGAUAACAUAAGAAGAAUCCCCUGGGACGAUCUCAAUCUUGUCACCUACCCACUGAACCAAGCACUGAUGCAUUGUAGAUGGGACACAACAAUUGGCAUGAAUCCAAUCUCUCCCCAAUAAUAAAUUGUAGGCACCUUUUCCGCUGAUCACGAAAAAGGUUGUCGGCAAGGUUUUGCUGCCGAUGGUCAACUCCGCACAUAUCGCCCCCUUGACCGGAGACACGUUUCCCUCAAAGUCUUUGAGCAUCAUAUCGGUCUUGGUCAAAUCUUGAUCCCCUUUCCCAAGCUUCCGAUAUACUGCAUACGGCAUAAUAUUAAUAGCAGCCCCACCAUCAACUAGGAUCUUAGUCAUUGGCUGCCCAUCAACCCUUCCUUUGAGGAACAAAGCUUUAAGAUGCUGCCUCUCGUUAUCGGCAGGUUUCUCAAAGAUAGUCGUCAUUGGAUCCAGAGCCAACUGAGCUAUCUGAUCAGAAAAUCCCAACUCAUCGUCACUGGCUGGUGCAAGAAACUCCAUCGGCAACAUGAAUACCAUGUUGACGCCUGCCGAUGGACCUUCCUUCUUAGCGUCUGCCGGCUGCCGACUUUCAGAACUCUCUCCUUUAUUUAACUCCUCUUGCCUUUCUCGUUGCAACCUCCUUUUCUGUGUCUUGGUUAAUCCUUGAGGGCACCAUGGAGGAAGUGGCCUUUGCCUUACUGCCGGGCGUCGGUUCUCCCUUGACUCCGUACGAUGUGUGUUAGCAUCUCUGCAAAAUAUGAACUCAUCGAGAACCCGCGCAUUAGCCAUUUCCUCAAGCUCUUCCUGGUUCCUGGGAAAAUACUGGACACGGUCACCGAGCCGAUCGCGAACACUAAGCCUGCCCCCCAGCCGAUCAUGAACUGACGCCCUUCCUCUGAUUGGCCCAUUAAAUCACCGUUCAUCAUCAUGAUAACGCCGAUCGUUCCUAUCGUACCGAUCAUAACCGUUACAUUCAGGGCAGUCUCUGACAGUAGGAAGCUUGAUAUUUUCCUCCCAACAAUGGAUGAAGAAUGGGCAAUUCCAAUGAUCCCUGUGCCGAUUCCACUCCUGUCGGCGUCUUUCUUCUUCCCGUUGAUAAUCUUCCUGCUGGCGCCGAUAUCGAUCUUCCCGUUGUUGCCAUCUCUCUCGAGGCCUUCUAUGAGUUAUGACAAUACCAGACCGAGGAAGUCUUCCUGAGCUAGCUCCUUCCUGGACCAAGCCCUUACUUCUUGCAUCGGCGGUAGUAACUUGAUGCUGAGGAUCUACCGAUGCACUCUUCUCAGCUGUCUCCGACGUUAAGACCUUAGCCUUCCCCUUAGCGUCCAACAUGUUUGUCGGGAAAGGAUGUUGGUCUAUCUUCAUCGGCUUCUGGGCUUUAGAACUAUCAAACUUGAUUCUCCCCGACUCUAUAGCCGAUUGCAGCUGUUGUCUGAAUACUUUGCACUCGUUGGUGUCAUGUGAAGUUGCAUUAUGCCACUUGCAAUAUCUCAUCCUCUUCAACUCUUCUGCCGACGGGAUCACAUGGUUAGGUGACAGUUUGAUUUGACCUUCCUGAAGUAGAAAGUCAAAUAUCCUAUCGGCCUUGGCGGUGUCAAAGGCAAACUUCUCUGGUUCUUUCUGCCCAAAAGGACAAGACAUCGGCUUCUUGUUUUUUACCCACUCUGCCAAACCGAUUACUGGUUCCUCGUCGGAAUCUGAGCUUGUUGCUUCGUCAACAAAUGACACUUUCUUAUUCCAUGCCCUCUUAGGUUCGAAAGGCUUGAUGUCUUGAUCAGAUAUCCUCUGCACCAAAUGACUUAAACUCUCGAACUCUUGAGAUGCAUACUUAUCCCUGAUAUGUGGCAACAAACCCUGGAAAGCCAAAUCGGCUAGCUGCCGAUCAUCCAGAACCAGGCUAUAGCAUUUAUUCUUGACCUCUCGUAUCCUCUGCACAAAUCCCUCAACCGACUCAUCAUUACGUUGCCUCAACUUAACCAAGUCGGUAAUUUUCUUCUCAUGAACCCCCGAGAAGAAGUAUCUGUGGAAUUGCUUCUCUAGAUCGGCCCAAGUAAUUACUGAGUUGGGAGGUAACGAUAUGAACCAAGUAAAGGCCGAUCCAGACAGAGAUGACGAAAAUAGACGAACCCUUAAUUCGUCCCUGUUGCCAGCCUCUCCACAUUGAAUAAUGAACCUGUUGACAUGCUCCAUGGUUGACGUGUCGUCCUGUCCGGAAAACUUUGUAAAAUCUGGUACCUUGUACCGAUGUGGAAGCGGGAUCAAAUCAUACGCUGGAGGAUACGGUGUCCGAUAAGAAUAAGUGUUGACUUUGGGUUUUAUCCCAAAUUGUUCCCUCAUUACUUCAGCAAUCUUAUCGGCCCAAUAAGCAUCGGCAUCUUGCCGAUGAGGCGGCUGUGGAUCCGGCACUUGGUGGCGAACCUCCACGUGUCUGUUUGGGACGUGACCUGUAUGGAACAUCGUAUUGGUCACCUGUCCUCCAAUCUGCGGACUACCAAACUGCUGUCCACCGAUUGGCUGUCCUCCGAGUUGCUGUCCAAAAUUUAUUGGCUGGUUGGGAAUUCCCUGACCUUGGAACCCGGGAUAAACCUGCCCUUGCUGGAACCCCGUAGUCUGAUAACCCUGCUGGGGCGACUGUGGAAAGGCUUGCUGUCCAAGCCAUCCAUUAUUAGCGUUCAUCGGCAUGGGUGCUGCCGAUGAUUGGUAAUUGGGUAUCGUCGUUGAAUUGACAUACCCUGGCUGGGCCAUAGGCCUCUGUUGCAUCAGCAUUGACUCUGCCGAUGCGUUGGGCAUCUGGAACAUUGAAUCUUGAGGAUUUCCAGUGUGAGGCCUUGCAGUAGUGGUUGUGGUAUACCGAGGACUCUGGUUCACCGGCACAUUGGAAGGUGCCGAUGUCAUAGGAGUUUUGCCCCUCAUGUCAGUUAUUUGUGAUGUUCCUGGCGUCAACUCUGGAGGCAUACCAUAACCCCACCAGUUGGGAGGAAGAGUUAACCCCGACAUUGCCGAUGCCAACAUAUCUGUUGUCAGUUUAUGCUGCCCGACUGAAAUUUGUGGGUUGGUUGCCAUCGGCAUAGAUAGUGCACCAGUAGUCCCCAAUGUACUUGGAGGGACGGCAGACUGUACACUUGCACUCGUCAAGACAGCCGAUGGAGCCGUGACUUCUGGUGCCGUGGGCUGAUGAUGGGAAGGGCCCACAUAAUCCGGCGGGAUUUGUCCUUCCUUGAAGGUUCUUGCCACGGCGUUGAAAACCGUAUUAGACAGUACACCAGCUUGGUUGAUCAGCGCUCGAUUGAUAGCAUUGUCAACCAUGUCUUGAAGCUUGCCAGGAUUGGCGUCAAAAGUGACCUGCCGUGGUGCCGGCAGUGCAUCUUUCUGGACCACUUCGCCGCUCCUGUUUAUGCUAAAAGACUUCAGGCAUUGCUGCUUGAACUCUUCCAUGGCUUGGGCAAUAGCUUGCUUCUGCUCAUCCUUGAGGUUGGCUUCCGUCACGGGGAUGACGUUGUCUUGAUCGAGGUCAGAGAUCGACAUGCUGAUCUUGAUCUUGAAUCUGUCCCACUGGGCGUGCCAAAAGAUGUGUUGAUGCAAAACCUAGUCUGCAAACACAAAGGGCUAAUACCCGAUCCAAACGUUAAGGCGUGCCAGCCGAUUUGACCUUACUAUCGGCAAAGGUGGUAACUCGAAUACUUUAGUCCUGACAACAGCGAUGCGCCCGGAUGUCACGGCUAAGAGGUACUCACGCGGAACUUGAGGAUACGCCGAGCUUGAGUCGACGAAUUCCUAAGAACUCGUAAUCAAAAAGAAAACGUAUGACGAAGUCGUCGAAAAGUAAAUGCUGGAAUAUGAGUAAAAACGUGUGUUUGAUUGAUUGAUAGAUGAUGUUGAUUACAAGGUCCUAGGGCUUAUAUUUAUACCCUGCUUAAAGAGCUACGACCAGACACGAUUAGAAUUCGAAUUCCAAAUUACACGGAACCCGUAUACAAAACGAUGCGAAUAACUAAGGAAAUAAUAAAACCAUCCUCCGUGACAAACCGAAAACUCCUCCACAUGACAACUGGCAGCUUCCGGACUCCUCCUUCGCAUCAUCGGCAAUCCCCUCGCCAUAGUCAUCGGCAGACCUUUUUACUUGGUCAUCGGCACCAUAUUACUGCCUGAGGACUUAGUCACAUUCAACCUUUCCCUCAUCGGCAACCAUCCUUAUCAGCAACCCGCAUCGUACUGCCACCCUAUUCUGCCAUCCUGGACACGUGCCCAAAAAUGGUGUCAACAGAACAUUUAUCUAACUCUUUCAUACAGGGAUAAGUGUCACAUAAAGGAUAUAUAAAGUAAUGAAUGGUGACAAAGAUAAUUAAUCUGAUCAGCAUAACUUAGCCACAUAAUAAAUAUGAUAAGCACCUCAAUUUUAUAUUGUAGAAAGUCAUUAGCAUGGAAUUAGGAAGAACUACAAGAAUAUUUCCUAAGUUAUUCUUAACUAUAUAGUCUAGCAUAUCAUAGUUAGUGCAAUUAUACUUAGCAAUCAUUGUGAGACAAGAUUAUGCCCAUGCAUAGUGAUAUUAUCAAGGAAUAUGAGAAACAUAGCAAUCACUCCCCUGUAAUAAUGUUGCUCUACCAACCCAAUACACGAGAGGGGGACUAUAUAAGAAUCAAUGGAGCUGUCACUACCACGAACUACCCCGCGAUCUGGCAUAUAGGGUACAAUCGCAGAUAAAUACGAUAUAAGCACCACGCCUACACAAUAUCUAUCAUUUACCCAUGGAUCCGAUGGAUAAACGCUAUACGAUCCUAAACAUGUAUAUAAUUCCAAUCUAACUAAGCCAAGUAUAUAACUAUGAUAAACUAAGAACAAUAUAAUUGCGAAUAUAAACAAGUAGAGCAAAGUCAUAAUCAAUAUAUUGAAGUAGAACAAAGUCAUAUUCAUAAUAUCGAAGAACAAAGAUGAACAAUUGAAGAACAAUAGAGAAUUACCAAGAAUCCUCUUGACAGAUCCGGAAACCAAUCGAAGAUUGACUCCUUCUAGUUCUAAUCCUAUGUAGCUAUGCUAAUCUAGAUAUCUAAUUGAUGUGGUGGCUCUAGGCUUGAUCAGAGGCUUCUUCUCCCUUGAUGAAUAAUGAAUUAGGGUUGAGAGGUCCUCUCCUCCAGGGGCCAGGGGGUCUAGUUUUAUAGUCCUUCCAAGUGAAUAUGGGCCGUCGGAUCAAACCGACAUUGAUUGAACUGUUAUCCUUGAUCCUUUAGGUCGAUGGAGCGUAAUCCCGAAAGAGAGUCCUGAUUGGACUCCAGAGGGGGGCGGGCGCCCUGGUCCCUAGGGCGGGCGCCCUGGGCCAGGCCCCGUUCUACCUCCGCUUCGUUCCCGUGACUUCUGGAGUCUUCUAGAUGUAAGAUAAUUACGCGGCACGUUAAUAUCUCUAUGUAAUCCCGACGUGUGGGCCUUUCUUCCGUAUUUCCCGAUAACCCCCUGCAGAAAUAGACAAACACCAAAACUCGUGGAAUUCUGUCAGAUAAAACCCUAAGUGUGGAUGUUGAUUGCAUUUGGAUCCUUUUCUUUGUUUAUUUAAUAGUUAAAUUUGAUACUUAAGGACCGUCAACAGCCAUCGUCACCACCUGAGGCACCUGCUAGAGCUCCACCAACAUUCUUGCAACGUGCCAUUGCAAGAUCUCAAGUCAAGACUGCCAAACUACUUACAGAUAGAUGAUGAACUAACACUUUUGAGGCUUGGCCUCAAUCUGUACUCGCGGUCGCAGACUUGGCCCCAAGUUCAACUGCCACUAACAACCGAUCCCAAUGCGACUCACCCGCUGCAAUAGAUGGAAUAGAUGAGAUAUAUAUAAGCAAUUAUUACAUCUAGAUAAGUGAAACCCUAAUAGAAGAAAGCAUAGGAUAAGAGAUCAAGAAAGAGUUGGCUUACUGAAGGGUCGAGAUGGCGGACUAGAGGGGGGGUGAAUAGUCCUUUCUAAAACUUAUCGCACCGGCUAACCGAAACAAAUGCGGAAUUAAAACUAUCGGUCUAGCCAAGACUACACCCCUCUAUCUAAGUUCUCUAGCACCUUUAAAAGAUCCUAAACAAGCAAACAAGGUGCUACCUUAGCAAGAGCUCAUCUAACCAAUUCCAGGAGUAAGGUCACACAAACCUAGGCCAGUAGUACUUUGCAAACCGGGGAGCUCCUACACAACUAGUAAGCAAAAGCACAAAGCUCCUAAGCUCACUAGCAAUGCUCAAUAACAAGGCAACCAAUGCCAAAUUAGAGAGCGCAAGUUACUUAGCUACACAAACUAAGCAAUAUGACUAACAAGGUUACACAAACCAAAUUAGUCACGCAAAGGGACUACUUCUAGCUACACAAGCAAGAAGGUAACUAGCAAGCUACACAAGCUAACUAAUAACAAGAGCAACUACACAAGCACAAAUAAAUGAAUGUAAAAACAAGCUUGUGUUAGGGACUUGCAAACCAACGGGAAGAACAAAGUUGACACGAUGAUUUUCUCCCGAGGUUCACUUGGUUGCCACCAAGCUACGUCUCCGUUGUGUCGACCAACACUUGGUGGUUCGGCGGCUAAGAGGUGUUACACGAACUUCGUCCCCACUAGGACACCGCAAGAACCUACCCACAAGUGAGGUAGCUCAAUGACACACACGAUCCAAUAAAGUUGCUCUUCGCGAUCCCCGCGGGGUGAGCACCGUACCCCUCACAAUCUCUUCUCUAGAGCACCGCACAAUCUCCUUACAUGCUUCGACGGAGUCACAAGCCACCAAGUCGUCUAGGAGGUGGAAACCUCUAAGAGUAACAAGCACCACUAGCUUGCAACACGAACACCUAGUGCCACUCGAUGCAAUCUCUCAAUGCAAUGCACUAGAAUCACUCACUCACACAAUCGGAUGAUCACUAUCAAGCAUAUGUGAGUUAGAGGCUUUACUAGCACUCUCCAAGCAUGGACACUAAGUCCCAAGGGUGCUCAGCACUAGCCAAGGCCGGCCACCACUUCUAUUUAUAGCUCCAAGGGCUAAACUAGCCGUUACCCUUCACUGGGCAAAAGUCGACCACACCGGAAGCGUCCGGUAUUGACUAGACCAGCGUCCGGUGCUUCUGACCGGUAGAAAACUAGUCGUUGCCUUCAACGCUGACAAGGCAUCAGACUCUCUCUUUUGAAUGCACCGGACGAUCUCAAGAGGGACCAGACAAAAACACAGAGAGCUUCGCAAAGCAACACAGCACCGGACGCACAACUCGGACGCGUCCGGUGUGCACCGGUCCUAAACUUAGAGAGCUCUGAAAAAGAGUUUGCACCGGACGCUAACUCGGACGCGUCCGGUGUCACAUCGGACGCGUUCAGUGUUCACCAGACGCAAACUCAGAGAGCUACUCGAGAUAGCGUCUUCUCCGGACGAUUUACACCGGACUCAACACAGAGAGUCCGGUAAAAUUGAGCUCACACCGGAUGCUAAACUCGGACACGUCUGACCUCAUACCGGACGCAUCCGGCCUCACAUUGGACGUGUUCGGCCUAUACGCGCUGCACGAAACGAUCUUCAACUUCUUCCCUUGCUUCCAUGUGCCAACACCAAAGUGUCACAACACUUGUGCAAGUGUGUUAGCAUUUUCACAAAUAUUUUUCCAAGGGAGUUAGCCUUUCAAACUUGCCACGCCACUCGAUCCUAACACGUAUGCAAAGUUAGAUCGCUCAAGUGGCACUAGAUGACCGAUAUGCAAACAAUUUUGCCCCUCUUGAUAGUACGGCCAUCUAUCCUAAAUCCGGUCAUCAUCUUCUCUACACACCUAUGACCGGUGAAAUAGAAAAGCCCUAGGUUAUACCUUUGCCUUGCGCUUUCCAUUCCAACUCCUCCAAUGUUGAUGCAACACAUGCAUAAACCAAUCACCAAAUGAUAUGAUCCACUUCAUAUCAUCACGUGACCGUAUUGGUUCAUUGAUCUUGACCUCACUUGCUCUUCACUGUUGCCUCAGUCCAUUAGCGCCAAAUUUUGCUCAAGCUUCACCGUCACAUGCGGUCCCUCGCUUCAAAGCCUCCGACUUGCCCUUCACUCUUGCAACCGGUCCAUCGAGCUAAGCCUCAUCUUGAUCUUCUCCACCUUGGUCACAUGACUCCAUGUCAUGUCUCAUAUGCAAUGAGCUCCUCCAUCAUCACAUCAUCACCUGUGGACUAAUCUCUUGUGUAUCUCACAUAAACACUAUUAGUCCACCUAAGUUGUCACUUAAUUACCAAAACCAAACAAGGACCUUUCACUUACUACCUUAGUUGAGAGACAAUCCUUGUGAAAAGAGGAGAUACGACGUCAACAGGGCACAAGAAGUUUCAUGCCAAGUCACUGCAAACAAGAAUCGAAUGAAAACAGUGUUAAAACGACGUUCUAAAUGGUUCGAGAACUCUAUCGAACACCUAGCGUGCGUGGAACUCAAGAUUUUACCCUAAACCCUAACUGUGGCGUGAAAGGAGGUGCCUUGCUGUGCGUGCAUGGAGAAGGACUCGACGACGGUGGAGGAGGAAGGACACACGCGUGAGGAGGACUAGCCGAACGGCGGCGUGGUGCUGGCGGCGGCGGAUCGACGCAGAGGGUACGACGAGUCAUGGUGAGAAGAUCGCGAAGGACAGACUGACCCAAUGGUUGGUUUUAUCUGAACUUAUAUCAACCCUCGCAGACACACCAGACAUGCUUAAGUGAGCACCGGACUUGUACGUAGGGAGGAGGUUUUUCGCGCAAGGUCACCGGACACGGUCCACCAGACGCUCUCCUGUGUCCGAUGUCGCGGGCGCUUCUAUAGAGGCACACCGGAAGCACAUCACUGAACUCACUCACAUUACUAUGCAUGGGUCUAGUGUGUACACCCCAGCAAGUAACACUCACCAAACGCACAGAGCGUGUCCGAUGCUGCGUCCGGUGCAUCACCGACUUCAAAUUUUCAACGAGACUUCGCGGCACCUUCACUCAACCAAGUUCCAACUCAAAGAAGAGCCAAAUAAACACCAAUUGGAACUGUUAUGAGUGUUCUCUCUCAAACUCCCAAAUUUUCACAAGUAAUUUGUCAUAGGCUAUGUAGUUUUUAAGAAAAUAGGCGAGAGAAAACACCGAUGAGACAUCAUGUGGCCAUUGGCUAGGGGACUUAACCAAGAUGAGCGUAGAAUGCUCCCCAUAUCAAUGGACGAACACAACAGAUGCUCAAUGCUUAAUCGAAAAGAAAUGACAAAGCAAAAACCAUGCAUAUGCUAUGCAAUGCAAUGCAAUGCAAUACUUGAAAGUAAACUAAUGCUUGUCAAGUUUGAUUCAAGGUUAAGCUUUUUGACACGCUUUAUGGGUGGUUAUCUUAACCAUGUUAGACAAGCCCUACAUGCAUCCUUUUUGGAUUUUUAGUAAAGCAUGACAUAUGAUACAAAUGCUAUGUACAAGGACAACACACAAACUCAUUUUUAAUGAAGUUAGAGAGAUCAAGCACAUUGAGUUCAUUUCACAACAUACAAAACCUAGCUUCAUCUAGUGGUUUUGUAAAGAUAUCCACCAAUUGAUCAUCUGUCCCCACAUUCUCUAGUGAUAUGUCACCCUUGGCAACAUGAUCUCUAAGGAAGUGAUGACAGAUGUCUAUGUGUUUAGUGCGGGUGUGUUGAACCGGGUUGUUUGCAAGUUUUACAGCACUUUCAUUGUCACACAACAAAGGUACUUUGUCUAAAACUACUCUAUAGUCUAGUAAAGUUUGUUUCAUAUAAAGAAUUUGUGCACAACAAGCACCGGUGGCAAUGUAUUCCGCUUUGGCCGUUGAUAAAGCAACACUAUUUUGUUUCUUUGACAUCCAAGAUACUAGUGAUCUCCCUAAGAAGUGGCACCCUCUAGAUGUGCUCUUUCUAUCAAUGCGGCACCCGAUAUAAUCCGAGUCAGAAUAGCCUACAAGUUGGAUUAUUGCACCUUUGGGACACCACAAGCCUAGGUAGGAUGUGUAUUUUAGAUACGUAAGAAUUCUCUUAACCACAAUCAAGUGAGAUUCCAUAGGCAUAGCUUAAAAUCUAGCACACAUACACAUACUAAACAUGAUAUCGGGCCUAGUUGCGGUGAGGUAAAGUAAACUAUCUAUCAUAGAACGAUAGAGAGUUUUGUCAAUCGUGUUACCUCCCUCAUCUAUAUCGAGAUGCUGUCGACGAAAGCUGGUCGGCAGUCUACCUUGGGGUAUACCCACGGUAGUAGUUUAUCGGUAGACGGUGCGCAAACUACGAACUCGAUGGUGACGCAAGACACGGACAAGCUUUUUAUCCAGGUUCGGCCGCCGAGUUGGCGUAAUACCUACGUCCUGCGUCUGGUUGUAUUGGAUUGUGUUGAGAGAUAAUCUGUCCUAGGGGGGUCCCUUGCCCCUCCUUAUAUAGUCUGGAGGGCAGGGUUACAGAUCUAGAAACUAAUCCUAGCCGGUUACAAUUGCCAUAGAUAAUUCGAUAUCAAUUCCUAUUCUAACCGACUAGAAUCCUGCUUGAUCUCCACGUCUUGUUUCCUUGCGCGAAACUCGGGCUGUCGGAUCAAGCCUUGAACUCGUCUCGUAGUGGGCCAAGCUUCCUGGCUGAAGUCUAGCCGUAAGGGUAUAGGGGUUUAUACCCCCACAGCUAGUCCCCGAGCGCCAUGUAUUGUGAUGCAACACGCCGUCUUGAGCUUCUUCGAUCAGCGUGGCCUGUCGUCUUCAAUGAGCGAGGAAAUCGCCCAAACGGUUCAUUGAUCAACGUUGUCAUCGAAGAAGCAGGUUGUUCGAAGAAUGCAUGGUGCUCUAAAAAAAUUUCUUUCCUGGUGAAGUGUGCCCACUUUGCCCUUCUUGAAAGGCUGCAGCAUCCAAAAAAGGCAAGCAAAUUCACCGCCAGGUGAAGUGUGCCCACUUAGUCCCCGAGCCUGGUAGUAGGUGACGUAGGCACGUGGUGCCAGGGUCAAGAGAAAAUUCCCCAAAGUAGUUUUGAGACUGAGAUGCAUCGCUAGAUGCAUCGUACCGAUGUAGUCCCCGAGCUUGCUGGAAGGCGAAGUAUGAGCCUUGUAGCAAGGUCUAAAAAAUUGAAUUUAACAGUCCCCGAGCAUGUCAUGCUCAUCUGCAAUCGAAAAGACCAAUCGACCAGUCCCCAGGCACUUAGUGCGCUGCCUGGAAUUAUAUGUUUCUAUACUACACGACCAGUCCCCGAGCGUCGAGUGCUCGGUGGUCGGUGCAUGCUUUAAAGCUUUGAGCUGAUAGACUGAGCGACCCGUCCCCGUGCGUCGAGUGCUCGGUGGUCGGUGCAGUCCUUGAGGUUCCGAGCUGAUGGACUGGGCGACCAGUCCCCGAGCGUUGAGUGCUCGGUGGUCGGUGCAGUCCUUGAAGUUCCGAGCUGGUUGACUGGGCGACCAGUCCCCGAGCGUCGAGUGCUCGGUGGUCGGUGCAGUCUUUGAAAUUCCGAGCUGGUUGACUGGGCGACCAGUCCCCGAGCGUCGAGUGCUCGGUGGUCGGUGCAGUCUUUGAAAUUCCGAGCUGGUUGACUGGGCGACCAGUCCCCGAGCGUUGAGUGCUCGGUGGUCGGUGCAGUCCCCGGACUGCUUACUCACUGGCGUAUGUGUCUUCUUACUUUUGAAAAAAUCUUUCUCAUUAAAGUUGACAUGACGGGGUCUCCUGACGAUAUGUCAGACGGAUGCAUAAAAAGCCGCACCUGGCAACUGUACAACCGCUCUUUGCAUGGUUUGAGAAAAGGAAACCAUCAAUUGGUACGAAAACUCCGCCGCAUUAAUUGCCUAUAAUCAUUGUAAACCGAAACGCCGCGUCCGCCGCAUGGCCUGCCCACUUCCCGAGAAUACAGGAAGUGGGAGAGGUGGGGUCGCGGGUUUAUAAGGGCCUAAUAGGACCGCCUGUACCGCUUCUCCUGCCAUUGCCUUCAAGUCUUCCGCUCUCAUCUUCUCCAAUCUCCUGCAUUUUCCUAGCUCCAGCUCACAUUCGCACCUCUAAUGGCGAAGAGCGAUUCCAGGAAGAGGGCCGAGUUGAUGGCCAAGGAGUGGAAAAAGUCUCGCAGCACCACAAAGUCUCUUGGCGACCUCGUCGACAUGGGGCUUCUGCACGGCGCAGAGCUCGGCGGCUGGAGGGCGCCGGAAGGGGAGAGCUACCCCGACCCUCGCGCCGGUGAGAUCGUCGCUUUUGAGGAUUUCGUCAAGAGAGGCUUUGGUGUUCCUGUUCAUCCCUUUCUUCAAGGUCUUCUUUUGUACUAUGAGAUCGGGAUUUGCAAUCUGCACCCGAACUCGAUUCUCCUUAUUUCCACUUUCAUCCAUCUGUGCGAGGCCUAUGUUGGCAUAGAGCCGCACUUUGAUCUUUUCCGGUACCUUUUCUGUCUGAGGAAGAAGGGAGCAGUUGGAGGCUCCAAGGUUGCAGGUGGAGUAUACCUCAACCUUCGUGAUGGGAUGAAGAAUCGCUACCUGCACUGCCCAUGGAACACCUCCUUGACCGAAUGGUACAGGAAGUGGUUCUACGUCAGGGAGGAACCGGGCAGCUCCACGUUCUGCGACGUGGGGUACGUUCCCGAGAAGAGGGCGAGCUGGACUGACCGCCCAGAGUUCGACGGUCAAGUGGCGGAUCUGAUGAAGCUGAUCGACUGGUCGCGCCUGGAUGGGCUUAGCGUGGUCGGCAACUUCAUUUGCCGCCGAGUGAUGCCCUGCCAGAAGAGGGUGCACUCGGCGUAUGAGUAUGCCGGAAGCACAGACCCGACCAGGAUGCGGUCGGAGAUCCUGGAGAAGGCGGAGGUUCAACAGCUGCUGAACGAGCUGUUUAACUUCGCGGAUGGGGGCUUCACCCGUAGCAGUGAUCGGGUGCAAGCCUUCAAGUUAGGACGACCAGCACCAAAGGUAUGUAGCAGACUCCGUUUGAUCAUUCGUAUGUCGUCUGUAGUUGGCUCAUCUCUGUUACUUUUGCAGGUCGGUGAUGUCGACCGGUGCAUAGUGUUCGUAUCACUGGCACCGGGGAUGGAAGAUCCUGUGGGAGAGGUCCCGCCAGAGGAAGACCGAGCCCGCCCCGUCCCGACCUCCGAGGAGAGGGUGGCGGGGAAAAGGCCAUUGCCGGUGGAUCCCCUGCCGACGCCGGAGCUGCCGGCAGACCUACCGGCGGAGAGCAGCCAAGCGCCGAAGCGUCGUCGGCUCGUGCGGAUCGUCGUCGACGACGACGACGACGAGGAGGCUGCGCCGUCGUUGGUCCGACGGCCUCGGGGCCACCCAGACGCUGCACCGGUCACCACUGAUCGAGUGGCCAGCGGCGCAGCUGCCCCGCAAGUUGCCGAGGUGGGGGCACGGGCGCCGACCGGCCGAGCGAGGAGGAGGUUCACCGCGACCCAUCGGCGGUCGGACCUGUAAGUGUUCAACUUACGUAUUUUGGAUUUUUUUUUUUUAACUUUUGUUCCUGUAGUGCGGCGUCGGAUGUCGACCCUGGCCAAACUGCCGGCCAGGGAACGGGCGAGCCUGCCCGCGGUUCUGGGGAUGCGGCCCCCCAGACCACAGAACAGCCGACUGCUGCAGUCGCGCCUGGGAGCGCCGAGGAGCUCCCGAGCGCGGCGCCGACUACAACAAGCAGCCCGACCAGGGCUGGGGAGGCUCCCCCAACUGACUCCUCGGAGAAGGGAAGGUCUCCGACCGCUCCUCCUGCCGGGGGGAGUGAAGUCCCCCCGCCGCCCCGAGCAGGAACCUCUCCGGCUGCGGGCUCCCCAGGUCUGGUCCCAGGGACGGUGACGCCUGGGACCACCACCGGGGGUGACGCAGCCCAGGAGGAGGAAACCAGGGUGGCCUCCGACGACGAGGUAGAAGAGAUCGAGGGUCGUCCCCGUGAUGGCCGCCAACACGUGUAUGUGUGGCGCCAACGCGGGGAUCACUUUAUCGGUCAUGAGGAGCUUGCCGAGUCCGAAGAGGCCGCCAGGGUGGAGCGCGCGGCCAAGCGCCUUGUCGACGAAGUCAAGGUAAGCGGCGUUUUGAGCUGCCGCGCAUUCCUUUGCCUUGUCUUUUGCGCAUUGUUAUAUGCUUGCUUUGUAGGACGUUAUGAAAACGGCGAAGUACCGGAAACGGUGCUUUGACCAGAUAGAAGGCGUCAUGGCCGAGAACAAGGCCCUUGCCGCGGAGGUAGACCGGUUGCGGGCGGAGGUCGGAGAGAAGGUGGUCGAGAUGAGCACCGAAAAGGAGCGUCGUCUCGACCUCGCUCGUCGCCUGGCCGACCAGUACCGGCUGCAGGAAGGUUAGUCACACGCUCCGAGCAGUUUCGCAUACUUGCAUAGUUUGCUUCGCUGACCAGUUUAGGAUUCACGCAGACUUGGAGGAGGAGGUGGCGAGCCUCCAACAAGAGAAAGAGCAGCUCGGCCAACAGCUCUCCAGUGCACAGGAGUCCGGACGGCGAGCGGAAGAGGAAUUAAGUCGAAAAGAUCGGGAGUUAGCUGGUAAUGGGUGCCGCCUUGUUGGUUGCUACCUGCCCCUUUGCUUGUCUGGUAUGCCGAAAGUAACGUUUCGUUUUGUUUGCAGUGCUCAAGGUGAACACCAAAAAACACCUGGAUGAGCUGGUCAAGGACCGGGACUCCUGGAAGGUCAACUGUUGCAGGAUCUGGAAUGGAGUGUCCCCGGUCCUGGACCUGAUCAGUCCCGAGCUCCCGGAGAGCCAGCCCCGCGCGCCGCAGUUGACCCCGGUCCAAAAGGCGCAACGGGCGUGGGACUGGCUCCAGCAGUUUGUGAAGGACGCCGGGGAGUUUGCCGGCGCGCACGUCCUUAGCAUGGUACGCGCCCACUACCCCCUGGUCGACUUGAGCAGGCUGGAGAAGGGGUACCCGAAGGAAGUCGGCCCACAGGAAGCGGACGAACUUCGGGGUAGUCUGCUGGACUUGUCAUCGACAGUGAUCGGCGACAUCAACCUGUGCGGAACAGCCACUCCUCCAGACCAGCCGAGCUCAGAUAGGUCGGCCAGGGAGUUGUCGGGCGCGUCCUUUGCUGGAGAUGGGCGGUCGACGCCUGCGGUCUCGACCAGCCAGGCGCCGGUGGCCCCGACCCCUUCGUCCGGGCAGCAGGGCCAGGCGGGUGAUCAGCCCGAGCAGCUAGGCCAAUAAAGUAGUCUGUAGGAAUAGACUAGUAUCUGCCCGUCAGGGUAUUUAUUGUAAACUUUGUAUGUAAAGUUUGUAAUAAAGUUUUCUUUUUGUCAUGAGUGUUGUUUUGAGCGCUGUAAAAAUAUCUGAGUGACGUGUCACCGUAUUUGUCUUGGUUGUCGCCAAGAGCAUCCAUUGCAGGAGUUUUGCCGAGUGCUGUGUAUGACAAGGUACAGAGAAUUUUAUUGUCAAAAAUUAUAAGAUACUUACAAAAGAAAGUCGUUAAAACUUUAUGGAUAGAAACGUCGCAGUUUGUCGAUGUGCCAAGAGUUAGGUACUCGUGUUCCGUCUGGGUAUGCCAAUCUGUAGGACGUAGGUCGUGUGACCUCGGUCACCACGAAGGGUCCUUCCCAGGGAGUAGAUAACUUGUGCAUUCCCUCCUGGCUUGUUUUCCAUCGAAGCACCAGAUCACCGACCACGAAGGAACGGUCCUUGACGUUCCUGUUGUAGUAUCGCCUGACUGCCGCGAGAUAUUUUGCUGUUUGGAGACAUGAAACUAAACGCUUUUCCUCCAUGCAAUUGAUUUCGAGUUCUCUGGCGUUGUCAGCGGUCGCCUGGUCGAAGUGCUCGAUUCUAGGAGAUCCGAAGUGUAUGUCGGACGGCAAAACCGCCUCCGCGCCGUACACCAUGAAAUAGGGAGACACCCCUGUGUUUCGACUGGUCUGAGUUCGGAGGCCCCAGACCACUGCCGGCAAUUCUUUCAUCCAUCGACCGGGUGCUCUGUCGUUCUCGGUGUACAGUCUUUUCUUUAGGGCGUCGACGAUCAUUCCGUUAGCUCGUUCGACUUGACCGUUGGCACGUGGAUGUGCCACUGACACAUAUUUUAUGACUAUGCCUCUGUCAUCGCAGAAAUCCCAAAAAGUGGUGCCAGUAAACUGAGUGCCCAGGUCGGUGAUUAUGCUGUUCGGGACGCCGAAUCUGUGUAUGAUUUGAUUGAGGAACUCCACAGCCUUCUCGGAAGUUGCCUUGACCAGGGGCAUGUAUUCAAUCCACUUGGAGAACUUGUCGAUUAACACGAAAACAAACUUGAAGUUGCCCGGAGCUGGUUUAAAUGGUCCGAUCAUGUCAAGCCCCCAGCAAGCAAAGGGCCAAGACGACGGGAUGGUUUGAAUUUCAUGGGCAGGUACGUGGGUCCUCUUAGCGAAAAACUGACAUCCUUCGCAAUGCCGAACCAGUUUUUCUGCGUCGCUGACCGCGGUUGGCCAAUAAAAACCUGCUCGGAAAGCCUUACCGACCAGCGUUCUAGAUGCGGCGUGAUUGCCGCAGGAUCUGGCGUGUAUGUCCUCCAAGAGCUUGAUACCAUCGUCUUGGGGUAUGCACUUGAGCAGUACCUCGGAGCUUGCGUUUUUCCGCAUGAGUUUUCCGUCGACCAGAAUGUAGUUCUUUGAUCGUCGGAUGAGACGCUCGUUCUCUGUUUUGUCCUGAAAACCUGUCCCGUCUGAGAUGUAUUUGAUGAACGGGAUACGCCAGUCGCGCCCACCGGUUGUCGGAGUGGCGUCAUCUAUGAGCAUUGCCUCGGUGGGUUGCUUGUCGACCAGAGGGGAGCUUACGCUCGGCUCACGGAUGUCCUGGACGAAAAUACCGCGCGGGAUUUGGGCCCGAGACGAGCCUAACUUUGACAACGCAUCUGCUGCUUGGUUCUUAUCCCGGACCACGUGGAUGUACUCUAUGCCAUAGAAGUUAGUUUCCCAUUUGCGAAUUUCUUUGCAGUAGAGAUCCAUCUUCUCGUGGGUUGCGUCCCACUCCUUGUUGAGCUGGUUGAUGACCAAAGCGGAGUCCCCGUAGACAUAGAGGCGCUUAACCCCCAGCUCAACGGCUAGUCGUACGCCAUGUAAGCAAGCUUCGUAUUCGGCGACAUUGUUUGACGCCGGAAAAAGGAUCCGAAGGACGUAGCGGAGUUUGUCCUUGUUUGGUGAUACGAACAAUAUCCCAGCGCCUGCACCGUUGAUGUUCAAGGACCCAUCAAAGAACAUUGACCAGUGGUCUGAGACAUCGGGAACGGACGGUUCGUUGAGAUCCGUCCAUUCGGCAAUGAAAUCGACCAGGGCUUGGGACUUGACAGUGGUGCGACUCUGAAACUCCAGGGAAAAUGGACAUAGUUCCAUUGCCCAUUUCACGAUUCUGCCAUUGGCGUCUUUAUUGCGCAGGAUGUCACCGAGGGGAAAGCUGGUUGUUACCAGGACUCGAUGGCCGUCGAAGUAGUGCUUCAGUUUUCUUGAUGUUAUCAGGAUGGCGUAUAUAAGCUUCUGUAUUUGUGGGUACCUGGCCUUGGAUUCGUUUAAAACUUCGCUUAUGAAGUAAACGGGCCUCUGGACCUUGAAGACGUGACCUAGUUCAUCUCGCUCGACCACUAUUGUCGUGGAAACAACUCUGUCGGUUGCAGCAAUGUAAAGGAGCAGGUCUUCAUUGGGCUGAGGCGCUGUGAGAACAGGCGGUGAAGUGAGGAAGGUCUUAAGCUGAGUGAACGCAGCGUCGGCGUCCUCUGUCCAGGAGAAUUUUUCUGACGCUUUCAAUAGUUUGAAAAAGGGGAGGCCUUUUUCUCCCAGCCUUGAGAUGAAACGACUGAGGGCGGCCAUGCAUCCGGUUAGCUUCUGAAUAUCCUUGACGUUCUUCGGUGGUCGCAUGUCGAGUACGGCUUUGACUUUUGAAGGGUUUGGUCGUAUGCCGUCGCAACUGACGACGUUGCCGAGCAGUAGACCGGAAGGAACGUCGAAGAUGCAUUUCUUGGGGUUGAGCUUCCACUUGUACCUAUUGAGAGCCUUGAAGGUUCGGUCUAAGUUGUCGAUUAGGGUGCUCGCAUCCCUUGUUUUUACGACCACGUCGUCCACAUAGGCCUCGACGAGGUCGUCGCGAAUCUCGUCGUGGAGGCAUUGCUGGAUGGCCCUUUGAUAAGUGGCCCCGGCGUUUUUAAGUCCGAAAGACAUGGUAGUGUAACAGUAUGCGCCGAAAGGUGUGAUGAAGGAUGUUUUGAUCUGAUCUUCUUCUUUUAACGAGAUCUGGUGAUAACCAGAGUAGCAAUCUAGAAAGGAGAGGAGUUCGCAUCCGGCCGUUGAGUCGACCACCUCGUCGAUGCGAGGAAGACCAAAAGGAUCUUUAGGACAGUGUUUGUUGAGAUCGGUGUAAUCAACGCACAUUCUCCAUUCAUUAUUCUUUUUGCGUACAAGAACCGGAUUGGCGAGCCAAUCGGGAUGAUACACCUCUUUUAUGAAUCCGGCUGCUAGAAGCCGUGUUAUUUCUGUCCUAAUAGCCUCCUUUUUGUCACGAGCGAACCGUCGCAGUUUUUGCUUGAUUGGUCUUGCGGUCUUCGAGACGUUUAAGGAGUGCUCGAUCAGGUUUCGUGGGACGCCGGGCAUGUCUGCGGGUUUCCAUGCGAAAACGCUCAAGUUGUCCCUUAGAAACCUGACGAGCGCGUCUUCCUAUUUUGGAUCCAGGUUAGCCCCGAUGAGGGCUGUCUUCUCGGGGUUGCCCUCGACCAGCUGCACUUCUUUGUACUCCUUGGAUUUCGAAUUCUUUCUGGCUGUCUCCUGCUCAGGUAAUCGGAGCUGGUCGGGGGGCAGCUGUGCGGCUUGGUUUGCUGUUUCCGCCAUGCGGAUUGAGAGGUCAAUUGCCUCGGUGAUCUUGAAACUUUCUUCUUCGCAGGUGUAUGCAGUGUAGACGUUGCCUCUGACGGUCAGGACACCUUUCUCCGUGGGCAUCUUAAGCACUAGGUAUGAGUAGUGCGGGACUGCCAUGAACUUUGUCAGAGAUGGGCGGCCCAGUAUGGCGUGGUAGGUCCCGUCGAAGUCCGCGACUACGAAGUUGAUGAACUCCGUCCGGAAGUGAUCGGGUGUGCCGAAUUGGACAGGCAAUGUUAUCUGUCCGAGGGGAACCGAACUUUGACCUGGCAGGACCCCCCAGAAUUGGGCGUCGUAAGGUUUUAGUUGCGCCGGUGAUAUCUUGAGGGCGGGCAGGCUGUUGCGGAAGAGGAUGUCAAUGGAGCUUCCCUCGUCCACGAGCACGCGCUCGAAUCUGAUGCUAUUGAUGCAGGGAUCAAGAAUCAGUGGGAAACGACCCGGCUCUGGGAUAGCGGCCCACUGGUCCUUCCUGCUGAAUGCGAUCUCCCUGUGGGACCAGGCGGGAAAUUUCGGAUCUGCGAUCAGCCCGUCCGUGCUGUCUAUGUUGAGGCAGGCUCUCUUCAACAGCUUUCUUUCUCGCUUGGACUCAGUGGAGACCUUGCCCCCGAAAAUGGAGUGGACCACGUCGGUGGGGCUGACGUAUUGGUGUCGGGGGUCCCUGUCUUGGUCUUCAUCCUCAUCUUCGUGGUCGUGCCCGUCGCGUUUGUUACUUUUCUUGGCGGUGUCUUCUUGAGCGGCCCGCCGUGUAUAAAUAUUUUUGAGGACGCGGCACUCUUCCAUGGUAUGGUUAGACUUUGGGUGUAGCUGGCACGGUCCCUUCAACGUUUUGUUGUAGUCGUCUUGGUAGUCCCGUCGUCCAUUGGGACGUUUGACCGUGUUUACUUCGUGGUCGUAUUCGCGAGGGCGCUUUCCUCUGAAGUCGUCGCGGCUGUCGCGCCGCCGAUCCCAACCCUCUCGGUGAUCGCGGUUGUCGGAGCGACGGUGAUUUCUGUUGUCGUAGCGGCCACGACCGUCAUCUCGCCGGGAGGGCUGGUCGGUGCCUCUCGCAUCGUCUCGGAUUAGUUUUUCUGCGUCAUCAGCGUCGGCAUAGUUUUUAGCCGUGGCGAGGAGCUCUGCUACCGUUGAUGGACGCUUACGCAACAGCUUGUUCCUCAGUGCUUCAUGGAAACGUAAGCCCUUGAUAAAGGCUGAUAUGGCCUCGUCAUGAGAAAUCUUCGGGAUUUUGAGACGCAUAUCCGAGAAUCGUCGGAUGUAAUCGCGCAGAGGUUCAUUCUUCCUGUCUCUUAUCCUUUCAAGGUCAUACUUGUUUCCGGGCUGCUCGCACGUGGCGAUGAAGUUGUCAAUGAAAGCCUGUCGUAGCUCUUCCCAAGAGUCGAAGGAGUCCUCGGGCAAGCCGAGAAGCCACUGAUGACCAGCCUGGUCGAGGACUACGGGGAAGUAGUUAGCCAUGACGUGCUCAUCUCCUGCCGCUGAUCGGAAGGCGAUUUCGUAGAGGGUGAUCCAGUUCUCUGGAUUUUCCUUGCCGUCGUAUUUUUUAAGUUUUUCGAGCUUGAAAUUUCUGGGCCACACGACCUGGCGGAGGUGUGAGGAGAACUGCCUUAGGCCCGGAGGACCGUGGGUCGCAUCGUACUCGAUGCGGCGCAGGUUUUCGUGGACUGCUCUCUCUGCGGCGCGCCUGUUGAUGCGGUCCCGGGCAUCUUUGGGAGGGAUGUUGUGGCGGAGAUCCCUGUGUUGAUCUUCUUCUUCCUGGCCGCGUACGCGGUUCUGCUGGCGGCGGCCAUCGGCGUCUCGACCACCAUCGUCGCGCCGUGAGUCCCCUCGACGGUUGUCGGGGGAGCGGCUGCGGCGACGCCCGCUGGGCGAGGCCCGGCUACGAUGAGUCUGGUCGGAGGCGGCUUCCGUAUAAGAGACGUCCUGGGCUCUCUUGAGCAGAGUUGCUGUCUGUCCCAUCGCGGCGAUCAGGUGUGCUCGGAUACUGGUCCGGACUCCCUGGCAUUCGGGUGUAUCAGGAAGCCGAUCCAGGUUGGCCAUGGCGACAGCCACGUUGGCGCUUGGCGUUUUGUAGACCGGCUGGUCCCCGACCAUGUCAAAGGCAUCGUUGAGGUUACCCGGUGGCGUCUGUUGUUGCUCGUCCGCACGCCGUCGGGCGCGAUCGGCGUUACGCUGUUCGCGGAGUUGCCUCUGGUCGUCUGUUUCUCCGUCAACAACCGGUUCGUCGGCGCUGAUAUUGAAUACAAUAUCCCCUCGCCGGGGGGGGAAUAUCGGGAACCGGUCGAAACCCGGAGGGUGUGAAGGGAAAUCCAGGUCGUAGUCCUCGUCUUCGGUGUUCACAACCUCGGUGGGGACGGAGCCGGUGCUUGAGUUGGUGCUGGACACCUGGCCGUCCCGUAGCUCUCGGAUGGUCACCAUGUUGACGUGGUGACGAUUGUUCCUUGUCGGCGACCAGCCCGCUUUGCUGAAAACGGAUUGGACAUGCUGUGAGUAAACAGAGGCCGAGUUGUUCAGGCCGCAAGGAUAGUCUUCCUUUUUGAGCUCGACGGAUCGUCCUGCGGGGGUUGAGGUUAUCGUCAGGGACGUUCCCAGCCGUUCGUGUGUAGCGACACGAGUUGGCCGGCGGAAUUUCGAAAAAUCCGCUCGAGCGGCUUGGUCGGGCUGGCGUAGAACUCCAUCUAUUAGUUGGGAGACUUCGAGUAGCUUGGAGUCAGCGCGAUCGAGCGCUUGGAGGAGGUCCGAGCAGUCGAUCUCCUUUCCCUUGUAGAGCGGGAACGGUGGUCGGGAGCUUGGUGCCGUCAUGCGUGUGGUCGGAGACGGCGUGAUCUCAGAUUGGAUCUGGAUCUCUUUCGGAACCGUGGUCGCGAAACCGCCGCUGCACGUCGUCCACGUGAUCUGGCCGACGGUGAACGUGAGGCCUUCGGGCACGGUCGCCGAAGCUGGGAUCGUGACCAUCUUGUUCGCCGGAAAAGUUGUACGCACACCCCCUACCUGGCGCGCCACUGUCGACGAAAGCUGGUCGGCAGUCUACCUUGGGGUAUACCCACGGUAGUAGUUUAUCGGUAGACGGUGCGCAAACUACGAACUCGAUGGUGACGCAAGACACGGACAAGCUUUUUAUCCAGGUUCGGCCGCCGAGUUGGCGUAAUACCUACGUCCUGCGUCUGGUUGUAUUGGAUUGUGUUGAGAGAUAAUCUGUCCUAGGGGGGUCCCUUGCCCCUCCUUAUAUAGUCUGGAGGGCAGGGUUACAGAUCUAGAAACUAAUCCUAGCCGGUUACAAUUGCCAUAGAUAAUUCGAUAUCAAUUCCUAUUCUAACCGACUAGAAUCCUGCUUGAUCUCCACGUCUUGUUUCCUUGCGCGAAACUCGGGCUGUCGGAUCAAGCCUUGAACUCGUCUCGUAGUGGGCCAAGCUUCCUGGCUGAAGUCUAGCCGUAAGGGUAUAGGGGUUUAUACCCCCACAGAUGCCCAUUUGAUGUCAUGGGAGUUUUGAUUGGCUUGCAAUCUUGCAUCUUGAAUCUCUUGAGAAGAUCUUAAGUGUACUUUUCUUGAGAGAUGAAAACCCCUUCCUUCAUUUGCUUGACUUGAAACCCGAGGAAGAAGGAUAGCUCGCCAAUCAUGGUCAUCUAGAACUCCUUGGACAUCAAAUCACCGAACUCCUUGCAAAAUUCUUCAUUUGUUGAGCCAAAUAUGAUGUCAUCAACAUACACUUGGCCAAUGAAGAUUUCUCCAUUGAUCUUCUUAAUGAAUAGUGUUAUGUCGACCUUCCCGAUCUUUAAGCCCUUUUGAGGAAGUCACUUAGCCUCUCAUACCAUGCUCUAGGAGCUUGCUUGAGACCAUAGAGCACCUUGGACAACCGGUACACAUGCUUGGGUACCUAGGAUCUUCAAAACUAGGGGGUUGCUCAACAUAGACAAGCUUAUUAAUACAACCAUUUAGAAAUGCACUUUUCACAUCUAUUUGAAAUAGUUUGAUGUUAUGGUUAGAAGCAUAUGCAAGAAAGAUACGUAUAGCUUCAAAUCUUGCAACCGGUGCAAAGGUUUUACCAAAGUCAAAACCUUCCACUUGUGAAAAGCCUUUCACCACAAGUCUUGCCUUGUUGCGCACCACCUUGCCUUGAUCAUUUUUCGUGUUCCAGAAGACCCACUUUGCUCCUAUUACUCUUGCAUCUUUAGGUCGCUCUUUGAGGGUCCAUACUUGAUUACGAGAGAAGUUGUUCAACUCCUCUUGCAUGGUGAUGAUCCAAUCCGCAUCGCGAAGAGUUUCCUCUAUAGUUUUGGGUUCCUCUUCAAGAGACACAAAAGUGUGAUGUUCAAUAAAUAAAGCAUGUUUAGAACGUGUAGUAACACCACAUGAUGGACUCCCGAUGAUGAGAUCUUGAGAGUGAUCUCGAAGAAGGUGUGAUGAUCUUCUUUGCACCACUUGAGGAGCCGGUUAGGGAGCAUCAACAUCUUGUGCUUGUGCCACCGCUUGUUCAUGAGUGACUUGUGAGUCUUCAUGAGCGUCUCUCACAUCCUUGUCAUCAUCUUAUGGCACAUGUGAGGAGGAUGGCUCAUCGAUGACUUGCACCUUGCCAUCCUCCUCCUUAGGCUUGAUGUCUUCCAUCAGAAUAUUCUUCAAGACUUCCCUCAAUGGUUCACCAUCUACAUCACCAAGAUUAUCACUUGCUCCUUGGGAGCCAUUAGAUUCAUCAAAUUCAACAUCAAAAGUUUCUUCAACCAUGUUUCUGGCAUGGUUAAAGACUCUAUAAGCCUUGGACUUUGAUGAAUAGCCAACCAAGUAACCAAUGUCUCAUCUUCUUUGAAACUUCCCCAAGUGUUGGUGCUUCUUGUAGAUAUAGCACUUGCACCCAAACACUCUAAAGAAUGAGACAUCAGGCUUCUUCCCAUUGAGCAAUUCAUAUGGUGUCUUCUCUAGGAACUUGUGAAGAAAGAGUCGGUUUGAAGCAUAGCAUGCGGUGUUGAUUGCCUCGGCUAACAUCUUCUCCGGAGUGUUGUACUCAUCAAGCAUAGCUCUUGCCAAGGUUAUCAAGGUCCAGUUCUUUCUUUCUACAACCCCAUUUUGUUAUGGUGUGUAUGUCGAGGAGAACUAUAUGAUUCCAACUUCAUCACAAUAGUCUUCAAUAUUGGUAUUGUCAAAUUAUUUGCCAUUGUCACUCCUAAUCUUCUUGAUCUUGACAUCGAAUUGAUUUUGUGCCUUAUUUGUAAACUUCUUGAAUAUUGAUGCAACUUCAACCUUGUCUUACAAGAAGAAUGUCCAUGUGUACUGAGAAUAGUCAUCCACUAUUACCAAGCAAUAUUUAUUCUCACUAAGACUAGCAUAUGUAGUAGGUCUAAACAAAUCCAUGUGCAAUAGCUCAAGAAAUCUUAAGGUAGAGAGAUAGAUCUUGGUUGGAUGAGUGUUUGCCACUUGCUUGCUGGCUUGACAUGCACUACACAACUUGUCCUUCUCAAACUUGACAUCUUUCAAGCCUCUUGUCAACUCCUUCUUCAACAACUUUUUGAGUGUGCCCAUUCCAACACGAGCUAGCCUCCUAUGCCAUAGCCAACCAAGUGAAGUCUUGAUGAAUAGACAUGUCUUGAUGUUUGCAUCUUUGGAGGAGAAAUCAACAAUGUACAAAUUGUUGUAGCGGAAGCCUUUGAAUACCAUCUCAUUGUCAUUCACCUUGGUCACUAUCGCUUCUUUCUCAAUGAAUAGGCAUUGGAAACCAAGAUCACAAAAUUGUCCAACCGAAAGCAAGUUAAAACUUAGAGAUGAAACAUAGAGCACAUUGGUGACAGAGUUGUCAUUGGAUAUAGCCAUCUUUCCCAAAUCCUUGACAUUGCCUUUUGAAUUGUCACCAAAUGUGAUAUUCUCUUGAUUGUUCACAUCUUCAUUGAGUGAGGUGAACAUUUGGGGAUCUCCGGUCAUAUGUUGGGUGCAACCACUAUCAAUUACCUAAUGUGAUCCACCGGUCUUGUAGUUCACCUUCUGAUCACCCUUAGCCAUCAGGCAUAGGUGUGUAGAGGAUGAGGAUGAAGGCGAUGGUGGUGGACAUGAAGCAUCAAUUGCAAUUGUGGCCACCUUCUCAUCAUCACUAGCAUCAUUGGAGGAGUCACCACAUGAGCUCUCAAUAUUAGUGAGCCAAUCACUAACAAUGUAUGCCUUGCCAUUCUUCUUCUUGUGGUACUCCUUCUUUCCACCCUUCUUCUUGAAAGGCUUCUUUUCAUUCUUCUCAUUGUCACUUGAGUCAUCUUUGUCCUUGUUUUUUUCUUGUAUUUAUCCUUCUUAGGCUUAGGACAUUGAUGGGCAAGAUGACCAAGUUCACCACAAUUGUAGCAAUCCAUCUCGGAGAUGGGCUUUCUCUUGCUACUUGUGAAGAACUUCUUUUGGAGUCGAAGUUGACACCAUUCUUGUUGAGCUUCUUAAGCAUCUUGGUGGUUCUCCUCACCAUGAGAGCAAUGGUGGCAUCAUCAUCGCUUGAGGUUGAGGAUUCUUCAUUUUUUUGAGCGACCGUUGGGAAUUUAACUUCGCCAUGAAAAAUAGCCCCAACUUUAGAGUUAAAACUUUGGACUCAGAAUUAUAAUUUUUGUAACAAAGUUUACCUGCAAAGAGAAAAAUAGGGCGAAGAUGUAACUUUGACUUCGUCGGGAAAAAUCAACUUUGCUGCAGAAAACUUUGUCUUCACCAAAGAAGGAAAGAUUAAAGCAAGGCUAAGCGAAGACAAGAAUUUGGCUUCGCUUGACAAUUGAAGAUAGAAAGAAGAUGGAGCAAAAAUCGACUAAGUCCAAAAUACAAAGCCCGCCAGAAGAUUGGUUGACAAAAUUGAAGAAUGAAGACUUAGAUAUAGAAAAAGACCACUUCGCCCUUGUAGUUGAGAAGGGUUGUAAUUGUUUGAGUGAGGGGUAAAAUGGUCAUUUUGUGUAAAAUAUGAAGGUCAGGGCCCUAUAAAUACCCCACUGACAUGUACAGUAGACCCGGAGAAUGAAUACAAUUUUUAUUUGUGUUUAACUUUUGAUGUUUGUGUAAUGUUUGCUUGGCAUAAAAGUUACACCAACAGCGACCAAAAUACUUUUUUGAAUUUAACCUUCAUGUUUCGGAGUACGUACGUGGUUGGUCACGAGGCAGGGGGCGGGUCUUCUUGUGGCGUGGUUGGCCACACGGAGUUUUAUUUUUAUUUUUAUUUUAUUUUGAGAAAAUGUGUAGCUCACGGAGUACUAUUUGUAGGUCGGACGCACUUUUUUGUUCAAUUGUGGCCCAUGAAGUGAUUUUUGGGCCGAAUAGCCCAUUCAACCGUGCCCUAACCCUAGGCCGCUUAUAAAAACCUAGCUCCAUCCGAUUCCCAAACCCUAAGACGCAGUCGGCCGCCGCACACCGGGAGAAGCCGACGCUCCGCCACCGUAUCCGCAGAUCAGCGGCGAGCCGUAACCACGCCACACUGCUUGCCGCCCGACGAGGUAUUCUGCCGCUCGCGCGCGCUUCUCUUCCUUCUCUUUUCGUUGUGCUUUGAGCUUGUUCGUUUGAUGCGCUCCGAGCUUGUUCGUUUGAUGCCCAGAUCUACUAGUUUGUCGUCUAUGUGUGAUGAGCUGAGCCGAUUCAUGCACUGGAUUUCUAAUCAAGUGUUGUUUCCGUCUCCGCUACCUUUAUUUAGUGUCUAUGUAUGAACAUGGGUGCAGUUUGCAAUUGAUUUGUCGAGCCAUAAAUUAUAACCGUUUCGUUGUUCUAGAUUAGAUCCCGAUUCUGAUCUUUGAUAUUACGUGGCUGAGGCACUUCAACUCUGUUUUAUGUGUAUGAACUGAGCCGAUUCAUGCGCUGAGUAAUAAUCAAAGUUUUGCUUCCGCCUCCUCAUCUGCCUUUAGUAUGUACUCCGUAUAUAAACUUGAUUGCAGUUUGCAACUGAUUCUCAGCCAUAGAUUAUCACUGUUGCGUUGUUCAUUAGAUCCAGUUUCUGUGGUAUUAUGUGGGUGGGGUAGUUCCUCUUUGGAUUUUUCCUAUCCUUGAAAUUGUUUGAUUACUGGUUUAUUCCCAUGUUUGUUUAUUUCUAACUAUUUUUAGAUGAUGAUUUCUAACUGUUUUUAUCUGCUAAUUUUGAUGUAAGCAGCAGGGUAACAGUUCCCUUCAGCCAUGGGUAAGGAGAAGACUCACAUCAACAUUGUGGUCAUUGGCCAUGUCGACUCUGGCAAGUCGACCACCACUGGCCACCUGAUCUACAAGCUUGGCGGUAUUGACAAGCGUGUGAUCGAGAGGUUCGAGAAGGAGGCUGCGGAAAUGAACAAGCGUUCAUUCAAGUACGCCUGGGUGCUCGACAAGCUUAAGGCUGAGCGUGAGAGAGGUAUCACAAUUGAUAUUGCGCUGUGGAAGUUCGAGACCACCAAGUACUACUGCACUGUCAUUGAUGCCCCUGGACACCGUGACUUCAUCAAGAAUAUGAUCACUGGUACUUCCCAGGCUGACUGUGCUGUUCUUAUCAUUGACUCCACCACUGGUGGUUUUGAGGCUGGUAUCUCCAAGGAUGGCCAGACCCGUGAGCAUGCUCUCCUUGCUUUCACACUUGGAGUCAAGCAGAUGAUUUGCUGCUGCAACAAGGUAUAAUUCCAGGAAUUUCUAUCUAGUCUGGUUUAUGAUCUGAGAUGCCUGUAAAUAUGUGCUUCAAUAGUCUAGGCUGCACUCAAUUAUACUGCAUUCAAGUUGAAUACUGCAUUUGUGUUCUGAUAUUAUAGUUAAUGUUAGUUGUAUAAUAAGUUUACAUUGAAUAAGCCAUCUGCUUGCUACAUGUUUAUGUACGAUUGCAUUUUUUUUCUAAUGUUGGUUGCAUAACAAUUUUGAUAAAAUGAAACAUUGAUUGUUGCAUCGAAUAAGUCAUCUGCUUCUUACAUAUUUUUAUUAUUUUUUCUGGAUUUUUAGUUACUUAGUUUGCUACUUUACUUUGUCAAUUAUUAAUGCAACACUGAUUGCUUUGAUUGAAUAAGCCAUCUGCUUUAUAGAUGUUUAUGUAUGAUGGCAAUUUAUCUUCGUUACUUUGCAUAAUUUAAUAUGAUUUUCCAGGAUAACUUCUUCAAUAGGUGAUGUAAUUUUUCAAUUCCACCUUAAUUUAGAAAUUUUCUGUAGUUGUUGGAAUGCUUGCAAUGCUUAUGUAAUUAAAUGAUAUGGGUUUGCAUAACUGCCAUCAUAUGAUUGCAGUCGUUAUUUUACUUUUGUCAAUUAGUAGGAUUUGUUGGCAUGCACCUGUUGAGGUCAGUAUUUUUUAUAUACGUCAGGUGCCCCCCCAACAAAUAUCCUUCCUUGAGCAAGUGUAGUUGACCAGUAAAUGUUUUUGUAUUUUUACUGUUUGCUUGCUGUUUAGGUAAUCAAUCAGCUGAUGAUAUUGUUUGGGUUUUGCUGUGUUACAGAUGGACGCCACCACACCCAAGUACUCGAAGGCCCGUUAUGAUGAGAUUGUGAAGGAAGUCUCUUCCUACCUGAAGAAGGUUGGAUACAACCCAGACAAAAUCCACUUUGUUCCCAUCUCUGGUUUUGAAGGUGACAACAUGAUUGAGAGGUCCACCAACCUUGACUGGUACAAGGGCCCAACCCUGCUUGAGGCUCUGGACUUGAUCAAUGAGCCAAAGAGGCCUUCAGACAAGCCACUGCGUCUCCCCCUUCAGGACGUGUACAAGAUUGGUGGUAUUGGAACUGUUCCUGUCGGGCGUGUUGAGACUGGUAUCAUCAAACCUGGUAUGGUUGUUACCUUUGGUCCUAGUGGCCUUACAACUGAGGUUAAGUCUGUCGAGAUGCACCACGAGGCUCUCCAGGAGGCCCUUCCUGGUGACAAUGUUGGCUUCAAUGUUAAGAAUGUUGCUGUGAAGGAUCUGAAGCGUGGGUAUGUGGCCUCCAACUCCAAGGAUGACCCUGCCAAGGAGGCUGCUAGCUUCACCUCCCAGGUCAUCAUCAUGAACCACCCUGGGCAGAUUGGCAAUGGCUACGCCCCAGUGCUGGACUGCCACACCUCACACAUUGCUGUCAAGUUUGCUGAGCUUGUUACCAAGAUUGAUAGGCGAUCUGGCAAGGAGCUUGAGAAGGAGCCCAAAUUCCUCAAGAACGGUGAUGCUGGUAUGGUGAAGAUGGUUCCCACUAAGCCCAUGGUGGUGGAGACCUUCUCUGAGUAUCCUCCUCUUGGUCGCUUUGCUGUCCGGGACAUGAGGCAAACGGUGGCUGUUGGAGUCAUCAAGAGCGUGGAGAAGAAGGACCCAACUGGAGCCAAGGUGACCAAGGCUGCCGCCAAGAAGAAAUGAGGUGUCUGGCUGAUCCUGUGUUUUCUUGAGGGAUACCUAGUUGGAACUUUAAAUAUUGUCAUUCCUGUUAUUGCGCGAGCAACUAAACUGUGCUGGCAAUGUUUGUCUGGUCGAUUUAGUACUGUUAUUUUUGUUAAAACCAGGGUGCUUGACACCAAUUUUCUGUUAUUUUUGGAUCGAACAUCGGGUGUUAGCCAAUGGUUUUGAGUUUUGUUACUCUCGUUAUGUUUGCCUGUUUACAUAGCUGUUUCUAAAUAGGUGAUGAUUCGCUCGUCUGUGCCUACUUUUGUAGUGUUUGCCUGUUAACCUAUCUAGAAAUAUUGUUUUGUCUACGCUUUUAAUUGUGAAAAGCAAUUUUUGCUGAUUUUUUUUGCCUAAGAUCUUUUUAAUUUUCCUAUGGCUCAAAGCUUUUCGAAAAUGCCUUGUAGUCGUUGAGAAUUGUUUGACCACUUUUUCGAAGUAGUCAUAGUUAUUUUACAAGAUUGCAAUUGUAAAACAUGGGACUGAAAAACAUAGGAGGACAGUAUAUUGUGGGUCUUAGAUGGGCACAUGGGAAAUUGACAUGAACUUGGCAGUCCUUUUGCAUGGAUCCUACGCGCGAGCCAGGUCGAAUAGAUGUUUCAUGCCCGGAAAAUUCUUACUGAAUUUCUUGAGGUGCUUUCCUAUAAAUCAAGGGCGUCUACAGACUAAAGUAUAAAAUCCCUAGGAUUAUUGAAUACUGUAUUUUUGUAUUUUUUGUUAUAAAAAUUCUCUAUUCUAAUUUCUAAAGGAUGCCUAAAUAUUCUCCGUUGUCUUUCAAGAAAAUAAGUCCUUAAUCUUUAACUAGCAGACAUGCUCAUACGUCUUAGCAGGAGAAAAAGAGUUACGGCAAUUUAAUUUAUAAAGAUGCUAAACUUAAUUUAUAAAGGUGCUACUUUUGAUGUGCUGAACGGUUAUUACAGUAAUCUGAAAUAAAUGGUCUUGUUAAUGCUUUACAUACUCCCUCCGUUUAUAAUAGUACCAUACUCCCUCCGUUUAUGAAACAGGCUCGUUAAUGCAAGCACGGAUGGUAAUAUUGCGUACUCGGUCUAUGGAAACAUGCAAUUCUAAUAGUACCAUGUUUUAGUAUAUCAUGUUUGAUCAAUUAUAGAUUAAAAAACUAUAAAGAUUUAGAUAUUAAAUAAAUAUUAUUAGAUCAAAUAUGAAAUAUAUUUUUAAUCAAAUGUUGACUUUUUUAUCUAGCACGUAACCCAUUUCUUAUCUUUUUAUAAAAUUUAAAAUUUAUACUUUUUUAUAACUAUGAUAUCUAUAAUAUAAGUUAAUAUCAGCAAUAGUACGAUUCGAUAUUAAAUUAAAAUAUAAUAUUGAUAAAAUUUCUUUCUUUCAUUGUAAACACAAAUCCAAUGUGACCAAUAAUACGAUUCCGUAUUGAAUUAAAAUACAACAUAACUUUCUCUCUCUCUUCCAUGUCACCAAAAAUCCAAUGUGACACUGCAUAAGACGACUUAUAAUACUGCUUACACGGAUCAAUAUACUUCUUGCCCUAAGGAAAGAUAAUUCCCAUACGUCUUAAAAUUACUCCUCCCUCCAUCACGACAUGAUACGUAGUAUUUUGAUCAGAAGAAAAAUAGAUUUUAAAAUCAUAAAAUAGAUUUCAACCUUUAAUUUUUAAAAUAUGUGGUUAUUUUUUAAAAAUAAUAAUAUUAAAUUUAGAGAUAUUCUUAGUAUACAAAGAUAUCGAUACAAGUUUUAUCUCUGUAUAAAUUUAUAUUAUAUAUAACUAGGAUGGUUAUUACUUCUUUUGAGAAGAGAGAUAAUUAUGAUUUAGCAUUUGCAAAAUUGGUGACUAGUGUCGGUAAUUUUCAGUGGACAAGCACAUGGGCCACCAGGAAUCGAUCUCAGCUCUAAUGCUACAGCAGGAAGCACCGUCCAGAAAGUGAACCGCCCCUUGUGCUUGUGCUUGUGCUUGACGCUCACUACGCCGUUUGGGCCUAACCCAUCCUACCACUCAUGACGACUUUGGGCCUCACUGCACCGUUUGUGCCGUCUCCUCUGCGCCUGUCUUUUUUUUUUGUUUUUUGGCCUUUUUAAAAAAGUUUCUCACAAAUAUGCCCCGGUGGUUUGAAUUUGGAAUAUGGACCCAGGGCUUGACGCUGUAAUAUAUGGCGUCAAGUUUGUACAUGUUGUUUGCAUCGCCUAUGUGGCCAGCGUGGUGGUGACGUGGACACCAGUUUGGCGCCGUGCAUCACAGCAUUAGGCUUGACGCCAGGGAUCAUGGCGUCAAGUUUGGCGCCACAUGCAUGACGUCAUGCUAUCGAAUAAAACCGGCCCCUACCCUUUCAUCCUUAUUCUUUCUUCUUCCAGCACCUUUCUUCUUCCUCGCUCUCGGGUGAGCUCUCGGCCGAUCGUUGCCGCUGAGCUUAGCUGGCCAGCCGAACUCCCGGCCUCUGCUCCCCUCGGUGGCCCGGCGUUGCUUCCCUCAGCGGCUCGAUCGGCGGCUCGUGCUUGCUCCCCACGUGGCCGGAAGCUUUGGCAUUAGUGAAGUAAGCUUCGUUAUUUUUUUAUUUGGUUAUUUUAAAAAGUUUAAUUAAUGUGUUGUUAGUUCUUUAUGUAAAAGCAUUGACAUUUAGUAUAUGUAGAUUGUUAGUAACUUUAUUUAGUUGGAUAUUUAUACAAUAAGUAUGCAGGCUUGGCGCCAUGACCUGUGGCGUCAAGCUUAAUGAAUUGACCGGUGGCGUCAAGAUUGACGCCACGAUCCAUGUCGUCAAGCAUUUGCGACACAUCAGCCAAAACUGCCAUGUGUGUAGACAAUUUAGCGCCAUCAGUGCUAGCGUUAAGUAGUGUAUCCUUAAUUCCAUUGAUGACAACGCCAAGCCCUGGGUCCAUAUUUCAAAUUCAAACCAACAAGGGCAUAUUUGUGACAAACUUUUCCAAAAAGGGCAAAAAAAAACAAAAAAGUAUGCCUCCGCGCUCUCGCUCCUCCACCGGUGCGUGCUCGCAGCUCGCUGCUCCGCCGUGCCGGCUCCUUCGUCACGGCACCAGCGCCACCACCGCCCAACGGCAGCUAGCGCUCGCCAAAGCCGCGUGUUCUCAGCCACCGCCGAUGGACGUGCGGCCUGCGACACGAUGCGGCACCGUACCGGCAUGGGGGCCACCACGGAGCGCGAGCGUGGUAGUGUCAUGCGCACAGAGGUGACGCGAGGGUGGACCUUCUUGUCGAGUUGACGAUAGGGAGCUGGUGGCCUGGCGCGGUGGAUCCGCCACGGAACAGCUUGCUUGGGGGCGUGCACAGCUUCUACCCCUGGACGGCCUAAUACCCGUGCCUGACAUCAAAGUUAUUCGAACCGGACCGAAGAUUGAACCGGUGAGGCCGUCAGUUCAAUGGUUCAUUGGUCCAACCGUUUGAACCGCCGGUUCAAUUGUUUUGAACCGAUUAAUAUAAUAUGAUUUAAUUAAUAAUUAACAUUAGAGGAGUGUUUGAAGAAUCUACUGUGUGUGGAAACCCAGAAAACAAAAAAAAAAGUGAGCCAACUUAUGGAUUAUCACAUGAUUAAAAAUGUUGGAUUCAGUCACAAAAUAACCUGAUCUGGACAUUCCUAAUAUACUCUAGCACUAAACAGAUAGCUUCACCAAUGACCAAUCAUCAAAUCAAAUAUAACUAAAUAAUAGAAAGCUAAUAUACAAAACCUAAAAGUUAAAACUUGAAAGCUCAAGCUCAGUAGCUCACAAUUAGCCAUGUUCUCUCUUUCUCUUUCCGUCGUCUCGUGGAGCAGAGUGCAGCUAGCCGCCGCUCGCCUGCAGCCCACGCAGUCAGCACGCCGUCGUGCUGCCUGCCGUCGCGCCGCCCGCCGCCGCAGCAGGCAAUAGUUGCUGCCCGCCCACGCCCAGCGCACGCCUGACCUGAGGCCUGACCCACGCCGCCACGCCUGCUGCCCUGCUCUCGAUGCGUCGUCGCGCACCGCCCGCUGCCGCAGCCCAAGGCCUGAGCCUGACCCGCGCGGCCGCGCCUGCUCCCUCGUAGCAGCCGUGCUUGCUGAAAGGUCCUUGUUUUGUUAUGGUAAUUGAGUGACAACUUAGGUGGACUAAUAAUGUUUAUGUGAGAUACACAGGAGAUUAGUCCACAGGUGAUGAUGUGAUGAUGGAGGAGCUCAUUACAUAUGAGACAUGACAUGAAGUCAUGUGACCAAGGUGGAGAAGAUCAAGAUGAGGCUUGGCUCGAUGGACCGGUUGCAAGAGUGAAGGGCAAGUCGGAGGCUUUGAAGCGAGGGACCGCAUGUGACGGUGAAGCUUGAGCAAGACUUGGUGCCGAUGGACCGAGGCAACGGUGAAGAGCAAGUGAGGUCAAGAUCAAUGAACCAAUACGGUCACGUGAUGAUAUGAAGUGGAUCAUAUCAUUUGGUGAUUGGUUGGUGCAUGUGUUGCAUCAACAUUGGAGGAGAUGGAAUGGAAUGCGCAAGACAAAGGUAUAACCUAGGAGCAUUUCCAUUUCAUCGGUCAUAGGUGUGUAGAGAAGUUUAUGACCAGAAUUAGGAUAGAUGGCCGUACUAUCAAGAGGGGCAAACUUUGCAUAUCGGUCAUCUAGUGCCACUUGAGCGAUCUAACUUUGCAUACGUGUUAGGAUCGAGUGGCGUGGCAAGUUGAGAGGCUAACUCCUUUGGGAAAACGUUUGUGAAAAUGCUAACACACUUGCACAUUGUGGUGUACACUUGGUGGUGUUGGCACAUUUGCAAAGGAGGUAGUGUUCCUAGGGUUGAGAGGGGUAUGGGUUCCUUUCUCCCUCCCGCCGAGAUUGCGAGGCGGGAUUCGGUGCUUUUGAGAAAAUUAAGUGCAUAUUUUCUAUUGUGCCGGUGGGAAAUUUGGAGAAUUCAUGGGAGUGUUCUCGCUGAGAAACACUCACCGGACGCUGGUGUUGGCAGCAUCGGACGCUGGUCCAGAGCGUUCGGUGUGGUGUCAGUCUGUGGCUCAGGUGUGCAGAGCGCAACGGACACUGGCACCGGACGCUGGGCGGUUACUGUUUGCGCGUCCGGUGUGAAGUGACGUCAGCAAGUGUGCGCGAGGAGUUUCAGACUGGAGAGCACCGGAAACUGAGGGUGCGUCCGGUGGCUUGCGUCCGAUGACCCUGCGAGUUUGCGGAGCUCUCUACGCACGGGUCCGGUGUGCACCGGACGCGUCCGGUGUGACACAGUAGAGCGUCCGGUGGUGCUGUACAGGCACGCGUGCGCAGUAGCCGUUGGCGGCAACGGUCGAGUUCAAACGGCUAGUGACAUGUGGCUGACGCCUGAGCACCGGACGCUGGGGGUUGAGCGUCCGGUGGCUCCCUUUGAGCAUCCGGUGCCCACGUGCUUUGCCCAGUGAAGGGGCAACGGCUAGUUUAGCCCUUGGGGCUAUAAUUAGAAGUGUUGGCCAGCCUUGGCUGGUGCUGAGCACCCUUGGGACUUAGUGUCUAUGCUUGGGGAGUGCUAGUAAAGCCUCUAACUCACAUAUGCUUGAUAGUGAUCAUCCGAUUGUGUGAGUGAGCGAUUCUAAUGUGUUGCAUUGAGAGAUUGCAUCGAGUGGCACUAGGUGUUCGUGUUGCAAGCCAGUGGUGCUUGUUACUCUUGGAGGUUGCCACCUCCUAGACGGCUUGGUGGCUUGUGACUCCAUCGAAGUACGCAAGGAGAUUGUGUGGUUCUCCGGAGAAGAGAUUGUAAGGGGUACGGUGCUCACCCCGCGGGGAUCGCGAAGAGCAACUCUAGUUGAGCGAGACGUGAAGAGCGACAAGUGGUCCGGCCGGGUCAAGUGCUAGAGCUUGUGGUAAGCACUCCACGUGGGAGAGUGUGACUUGCGGGUCACCACUAGCAAGAGGACCGGCGGCAACCUUGGAGCUUGUCUCAACGGGGACGUAGUUUGGUGGCAACCAAGUGAACCUCGGGAGAAAAUCAUCGUGUCAACAUUGUUCUUCCCGUUGGUUUGCAAGUCACUAACACAAGCUUGUUCUUACUUUCAUAUACUUGUGCUUGUGUAGUUGCUCUAGUAAUUAGUUAGCUUGUGUAGCUUGCUAGUUAUCUUCUUGCUUGUGUAGCUAGAAGUAGUUUUCUUGCGUGACUAAUUUGGUUUGUGUAACCUUGAUUAGUCACAUUGCUUAGUUUGUGUAGCUAAGUAUGUUGCGCUCUCUAAUUUGGCAUUAGUUGCCUUGUUAUUGAGCAUGCUAGUGAGCUUAGGCUUUGUGCGCUUUGCCUCACUAGUUUGUGUAGGAGCUCCCCCGGUUUGCAAAGUACUAGUGGCAUAGGUUUGUGUGACCUUGCUUCUAGAAUUGGUUAGGUGAGCUCUUGCUAAGGUAGCACCUUGCUUGCUUGUUUAGGAUCUUUUCAAGGUGCUAGAGAACUUAGAUAGAGGGGUGUAGUCUUGGCUAGACUGAUAGUUUUAAUUCCGCAUUUGUUUCGUUUAGCCGGCGUAAUAAAUUUUAGAAAGGACUAUUCACCCCCCUCUAAUCUGCCAUCUCGACCCUUCACUUGCCCGCAGCUCGAUCCGCCGCCGGCCGCCGCAGCUCAGAUCGAUGGAUGCGCCGCCGCCAAAAACGAAAAUGGCGGCCAGGAAUAGAAAUGGGGAAUUUUUUCCCUCCCACAUGCGCCCAGUAGCCCUAAAGGGCACAUUGAGAUGUUUUUCCGAUAAUACUCCUGAGCUCACAGAGGGUAAUUUUGCUAGAAAACUGCCCCGGUUCAUAUGGAACCGCCCGGUUCACCGGUUCGACGAAAAACCGGCCGGUUCCACUGGUUUUUAGUGGUUCAAUUACACGGGCGAUCUUUUAAGUGAACCAGACUGGUGGAGGCUUCGGUUCGGUCUUUUAGAGGUCGAACCGCCGGUCCGGUCCGGUUCGAAUAUCUAUGCCUGACAUAUGCUUGCGUGAAUAGUGAAUGCCAUUAUGCCAACCAAGUGCUGAUAUUUUCUUUUGCUAUAUUAAUAUAAUAAACAAUAAGUACUAAAAUAUUUCUAUAGUGAUAAGGUGAAGAUAUAUCUGACUAUCUAUUAUGAUAUGCUAAUCAAAUGAGUUCUAACAUGCAAUCAAAUAAAAUCUAGUACUAUAGCAGAGUGGCUGCUCCUUCCCUCCAAGCUAGAAAAGCUAUUUUGGAAGUGGUCUAAAAUAGCUGAAAAAUGCAAAAAUCAUGGCACGAAUCACAACCUUAGGGGAGUGAAAGAGGUACUACAGCACCAUCCAAUGAUAUCUCUAUUGUAGUAGUGCCAAACCUAGCAUUUGCACAAAUAGGAAUGCUGGUUUGAAUUACCAAAGUGCAAGGAAUCAAAUAAUGUUGCAUUCCUUAUCUUGAAACCUACUUCCUCACAUUCUUCAGGUUAUCUGUGGGCUGAUGCGAAGCUGAAGAUACAUGUGCAACACAGAGAACGUAAAAAGCAACUGUUCAACAUAGGUGUAGCUAGUUUCUGAAUAGUUGAAUCAGAUAUCAUGAGCAUAAUAAACACCUCCUUCGUUGUGAAGGGUGUGCCUACGUGAAACCAACCCAAAAGCAUACGUGACAGGAUAUCAUGAGCAUAAUAAAUACCUCCUUCGUUGUGAAGGGUGUGCCUACGUGAAACCAACCCAAAAGCAUACGCGACAGUUGUCUGUUCAAUAAGAAUAUACAAGAUUUCUGUCAUGAGCAGCCAACAGGUGCCAUGACGGACGGGCUGAUAGUUCGACCCGGUUAUUUUUAUAAGUUUAGUUAUCUUUAUAUUUGUAAUUUAUAUUAGUUCUAUAUAGAUUAAUUAGCAAAAGAGGUGAAAUAGAAGGGACAUAAAUAUCUAUAGACUCUAUUGAUAUAAUUAAGCAAUGAAUUAUGAAGAAACAAUUCUAGCCUCCUUCAAUCUCUCAAGCUCUUGGCAAAGCAUAAGGCCCAGCUAUCCCAAAAUACCCAUCCCCAUUAUAUCUGGUAUCACGAGUCCGGCGAUCCUUGUUGUUCCGCUCCACCUUCCCAAGUCCGAUGAUCCUCGUCGUUCCGCUCCACCUUCCCAACCGCCACGCCAUCUCCUCCACCACCAGCAGUCGCCGGCACCCUACCACCACCACAUCCUAUGCCAUAAUUCCAGAUGGAUUUUUCUUAAUUUGAUGGAAAAUCUGAUCCUCCCGUCUUCAUCAACCAAUGCGAGACAUACUUCAACCGAGAGCGCAUAAUUUGGCGGAUGAUGCCUGGCUGUGGUUCCUCCAAGUCCAACAGGAUGAGGGCACACCGACGUGGCACCACUUUACUAAGCUGCUACACCUGCGUUUCGGAUCGCUCCCUGUUGUGACCAUUGUCCUUGCUAAUAUGAUGCGCCGGCUCCAAGAGGACAUGGAUCGCGUCACUAUGAUGAUCAACCGCGUUUGUGCUCAACUGGAGAAGUCCAGGCAUGAACGCCUUGUUGCGGUGCGGUUACAGGCGGUAGCGCGAGGAUUCCUAGUGCGGCACGCCACAAGGAAGCUGCGUGUAGCAAUCCAACCUGCCCUACUCACUCCCGAUCAUCAUCUCCAAUCCCUGUUGCCGCCGUCCACCCUCGUCGUCGUGCCGACCACUCCAACAAGGGGCUCAGGCAAGAGCUUCUAGCCGCAAGAGCUUCCGGUGGUGGCAGCCUUCUCUGGUUCAAGGGGCUCUGGCCACAACGACCACCAGGGCGACCAACUGGCUGCUCGUCUCUUCCCAUGGGAUCCAGGACACUCUCAACUCCUUCCUCGACCACUAUCACUGCAGCUCGAGGAUGAGCUGGUCCUCAAGGGAGGGGGAGAUGUCAUAUAUGGCCGGCCAACAGGCUGCCAGGACCGAUGGGCUGAUAGUUCGGCCCGAUUAUCUUUAUAAGUUUAGUUAUCUUUGUAUUUGCAAUUUAUAUUAGUCCCAGAUAGAUUAAUUAGCAAAAGAGGUGAAGUAGAAGGGACAUAAAUAUCUGUAGACUCUAUAUUGAUAUAAUUAAGCAAUGAAUUAUGAAGAAAUAAUUCUAGUCUUCCUCAAUCUCUCAAGCUCUUGGCAAAGCAUAAGGCCUACUUAUUCCAAAAUACCGAUCCCCAUUACAAUUUCAGUCACAUUUAGGCACACUUAUUUUUUUUAUCUAUCAUCAUUGAGUAAUUUCUAUGGAAGAGUUGAUGGUCUUAGAGGUGGCUUGAUGGACUUUGAGACCAUUUACAAACCACUCAAAAAGUUAUAAAAAAGGAAGUCACCCACAUCAAGUUAUAUAUUUAUGCAUCCAUUUAUAUUGGGCCGAAUAUGUGAACCAAAAAAUAAUAUGAAUUUUACAAAAGAUUCAGAAUGCAUACCAAGAGUUUGCCAAAUGACAUUGCUAUCCUUGGAAAUUUGGCAAAACAAGAAAUUUUACUCUCCAACAGAUUGGCAAAUCAAGUUGGAAAACUUCUUCUCCGCACGCGCAUAUUUCCACGUGCGUAUCCAGUGCCCAUCGCGGACUGCCGCGCCGCAGUCAGUCAUUCCCGCACGCAAGAGGAAAGCCAUCCAGUCAUCUCCUUCGUGUGCGCAAGGCAAUCGGCUCGAUUGUCUCCGUCAUGCGUACGCAAGGCGAUCAGGCUCGUCUCCUUCAUGGGUGCAAGGCAAUUCGCUCGUCUCCCUCAACCGCACAAGGCCACCUGCGUGUCUCUGAUCCUUCAAGCGCGCAUGGCCGGGCUUGGCCCCGAUGGCUGCUGAUCAGGUUUUUCCAUAUGUUGGCUUUGAUGAUUGGUUCAUAGUCGUUGGUAGUGGAUCUCCUUGUCCGCUAUUGGUAAUCAUAGUGCUGCCCUUGAUCUGGUUGUGAAGAUAGUUUUUUUUCAACAUAAGAUGGCCAGCCGUAGUAGUUGAUGCCCCCUGCGAUGAAGACAGGGUCCGCGCCGGCGUUGCCCUUCUCCACGCGAGGUGUCUCGCGGCGUUCAGGAAGAUCGCGGUGGCCAGGUUACGAGUCAUGGUGAAAACAGUUGAUAGGAUUGGAUGUGGGCCUUUUAUUCUAUUUUUAUCAAGUCAAAAUGGCAAACUAUUGGAAGAGACUACCUUUUCACUUGACAUAUAUUUUAGAGAGUUGUCAAAACAAAAGAUUUGCCAAGUGAAUUUUGGCAAACUCUUGGAUAUGGGGAUGCCUAAUUGGCUAAAUCACCCGGUUGGAUCAGUUAUGGAAAACAUAUUAUGGUAGAACACCUUUUUAUUGCCCAUACAACUUGGCUGCUAUUUUGGGGAUUAAUCACAUCAAAUAAUCCUGAAAGUUCUAAAUUAGACUUGGAAACGUUUUAUUGUGAUAUAGUUACUUUAUUUGUAUUUAUUAUUUAAUACUGACCACACGGUUUUUAAUGUAGAUGUUGGUCCGGGAGAAAAAAGCAGUUCCAGUUUAUGUGGUUAAGAGACCAGUUCUUCCUUGAGCUGCAAUAAUAAGAAGCAAGUGAAUAUGUAAUUAUUUGUUGAAGCAAUGCAUAGAAGUUCGAAAAUAGAAAAUUGGGAAGGAAUCAUAAUGCUUCAUAUGUCCAAAGUUCAGCUGCAACCAUUUGUCACUCUCAUCUGACCUACUCUGUCAUCAUUUGCAACAACACUCCCCUUUCUCUAUUAGCCACUACAUGAAUAACAUUGUCAUAAUCCUAAACAAUGAAUAAAUGAUUCUAGAAAAACAAAAGGUUCACUAAGUGUUCACUUUGACUACAAAAUAAAAUUGAGUGUUUCGCAUGCCCAUGGUACAGCAACACCUUUUUCUUAUUCUAGCAAAUUAUUCCAAAUCAUAAACCUACAGAUACGAUCGUAGGUUAUGUUAUACAAAAAUGAUUCCAAAAACAUACUUAUUACGGUGACGUAUGCAGAUUUAAAAUAUUAUCUGGUACUCAUGGAUAAGAAAAAUGCUAUAUGCGUUUAAUGAAGACUGUCAAUAACUAAUUUAGGUGAAUUGAGCUAUCAGCGAUAGUGCGCUAGAUAAAAAAAACAAUUCUUUCAAUUAACAAAUCAUGAGAUGUAAAUAAUCUGGAUGAUAUUUGAUAACAGUAGUAAUUUUAGUUAAUUAGAUUAGAGUAUGAGGUAUGCAUGCUUUGACCUUUAACUGAGCUUCCUAACAAAUAUUGAUCUUGCAUAUUUUUCUUUCCAUCUGAUGAUCGAUGUCCAUGGCCAGUAUUCUGAUCUCCUGAGCCAUUUUGAUCAUGGUGGCUAUCAACCUCUAUCCGACCACCUUUCGCUUGGAUGAUUAUGUGGAUUUUAUUUAGAAAGCAAAGCAUGGAAAUCAAAUUGGUCUGGACUAAGGAUUUUUUCUAUUGAUUUAUAUUCCUCUUGAAUGAAUUGAAAUUCAAGAGACACCAAAUUGAUUAUGAUUAAAUAAAUUGCCCAUGUAUAUUGAGUGUUAAAAUUCAUAAAAAUCUAUAAGGUCUCUGAAUAGGCCCACGAACUCAAACUGAAUGUACCUCUGCGACAGAGUAGACGGCACAACACAUGAUAUACUAGGCUCAAAAAACUGAAAAAAAAAAUCGCAGAAACUGGAUCUCAACUCUCAACAUUAUAGCUUCUCAGUUCACAAUUUUUGCAUGUAAAGCAAAAAUAUUGAACCUUCCUAGGAUAAUUCUCUUUCAUGUAGAUCUGCCAGAGCGAGAGAGGGAAGGUGGAGGUCGUGGGCUCGUGGCUGGUGGGGAACUGGGGAUCUUCGCAAUGGUGCCAAAGCUUCAGCGUUCACCUCGCGUCGCACCAUAGUUGCUCGACUUCAUGCUGCUGCUGCCGAGGAAAGGAAGAGGACGGGAGUGCACUGACAUUUAGCAGUUGUCUUCCUGUUUUUUCUUGCUAGUAAGUUGAGAGAAAAUGUUUGGACAAGUAUUCCCAGCCCUAGUAUUUACAACUUUACAAUCUUUUGCUUCACAUCGUCUGGUCUUAUCAAGAACAAAAAUCAAUGAUUAUUUGAUAGCAUCGGUUGAGUACUCACAAUGAGAUCAACUUGAAGAUCACCUUAGAUAGCUUGAAUUUAUCCAAUGCACGGAGGCAAUUUUGCACAAAGUGGUAAAAAUCAAUGCAAUAAGUGUCAUCAAGUGAUUUUCUUGAAAUUUUUUCGAUGUCAGCUUCUGGCUUACAAUGCAGUCAAGACGAUGUAGUGAUCCAAUCCUCAGGGAUUAAUAUUUUCUAAUGCAAGCUAAUAAGUUGCUAACUGAUGUAAGCUAAUAAAGAAAAACAUUUGAACAAAUAAGCAAGCUAGCCUUGGCAGCUGGAGUAGGUCCAAUGUGGUUACCAUAGAGAGACAGUUAUACUAGAACUGGGACUAGAUGAUUUACUCAUGGAAUCAUGGAUUUGCCAAGCUUGUGAUCUAAAAACCGUGAGAUGUAUUAUCAAGGGUUAAUAUUUUAUCUCGUGUUCCAAUCAUGCAGCAUCAAUGGCCAAUGUGCCAUCAUCAUGUUCGAUGUCACCUCAAGGAUCACCUACAAGAAUGUUCCCACCUGGCACAGGGAUAUCAGCAGGUAAAAUUUUAGCCUAUUGCACAUGCCCCUUGUUUCAGUAUCCUGGAGUAGUAUAAUAGCCAUUUUCUCGAAUUGAUCUGGUACAUCUAUUAUUGUGCAUAUUAGGGUGUGUGAGAACAUCCCGGUUGUCCUGUGCGGCAACAAGGUGGAUGUGAAGAACCGGCAGGUGAAGGCCAAGGCAGUGACUUGCCACAGGAAGAAGAACCUCCAGUACUACGAGAUCUCUGCCAAGAGCAACUAUAACUUCGAGAAGCCUUUUCUGUACCUUGCAAGGAAGCUCGCAGAGUGGGUAUUGUCGUUAUUCUGUAGCAACUAGCAAAUCUACAUUGUACCACACCUAUACAUCUGCCCAAUUUUCUCUUGAUUGCAAUGCUAUGGUAUAGCAACACCAAACGAUUGGUGAUCUGAUACAUGACUGUAAAUGCAGGAACAUGGACGUCAAGUUCGUCGAAGAGUUAGCCCUCGUCCCUGUCGACGUGACCAUGGACGUUGCAGCGCAGCAACAGUAAGUCAUUAUUCAAGCAAACAUGUACCUGAUGACGACACUAAUUUACCCUGCUGCAUAUACAUUGUUUAUAUUAUAAUAGUAAUAAUGCUGAGUGCUUCUCAGAUCAUGGAAUGUUUUUUAUGGCAUGCAGGAUUGACAAAGAGAUCGAACUUGCUGUAGCGAUUCCCCCUGUCGGAUGAGGACGAUGAUAACAUGGAUUGAGCUCAGCCAGAUGCUGUGUCAGGCGGUCAGGCCGUCGGCAGUAGGUUAGUAGCUAUCGGCUGCUUUAGUGGUUACAGAUGUGUGUCCGUCUCAACUCUCAAGCAGGGUGAAGCUGUAGUGUAUCUAGGGGGUGCAGAUGCACCUCCCAAAAUUUCGAAAAUCAAUUAUAAUCACUAAAUUUUCAUCAUAUAUACAACCUCCAUGGCAAAAAUAUAUAUACCCACAAGGCAUGUGUACCUCUUCAAUUUUCUCUAGCUUCGCUACUGCUCUUAAGGAGACGUCUUGGACUUGGUUGAGUUGUUUGGCUUGCUGCUUGAGGAAUCUGAUGGUAUUCAAAUAGGAAUGAUAAGUUCGUUUAUGCUUCAUGCUAAAAAAAUCAUUUAUACUUUAUUAAUAGGCAAUAUCCCUUCUCUCUCUAUCUUCUAUUAUUAUCUUUUUCGUGGUGCGGACAACAUGGGAGAAUUUGACUGGGUACUAGCCUUCUUGCUCAACAGCAUAUCAUACAAGCUAUUCACAGUAGUGGAGUUGGGGAUCACUCGGGAUUUUUACCAACAUAUCACCGAAUCAAACACCUGUUCAUUUGGCCUAAGAUGCAAGAGGAUAUACAGAGCUAUAUUAAAGGAUGUUUAGUUUGUUAGCAAGCUAAGGUUGAGCACACCAAGGCUCCUAGGCUGCUUCAGCCCCCAUUCCAGACCAAGCUUGGAAAGUCAUUUGUAUGGAUUUCAUGGAAGGCUUGCCAAAGUCUCAAAGAUUUGACACCAUUUUGGUUUGGAUAACUGAUGAAACCCAAAGUACUAACCUCUAUGUUAAUGUGUGUAGAUUAGAUAAGGUUAGUACAUAUCAAGUGAUAGAGCAAGAGAUGAUCAUGGUGAUGAUAGUGAUGACCACAAGAUGAUCAAGUGCUCAACUUAAAAAAGAAGAAAGAGAGAAAAACAAAAGAUCAAGGCAAAGGUAUUGCUUAGGGUUUGGUUUUGGUGAUCAAGACACUAUAGAUAGCGUGAUUAUGUUUAGGAUACAUAGUCAUACUAUAAAGAAGGGAAUUCUUUGGCUAAGCAGUCUAUCGAGUGUCGCUAGGUGACUUUGUUCAUGUGCAUGCAUUUAGAAUCUAGUGUGCUAACUUAACCCUUGAAAAUAUUUGUGAAAAUAUGCUAACACAUGUGCACGAGGUGACACACUUGGUGGUUAGCACUUUUGUGCAAGGGUUGAAGAGGUGGAGAGGAGUUGGGUCUCUCUCUCUCCACCGAGCUUGCGAGGUAGGAUUCGAUACUUUUGAGAAAAUAAAAUAUAUAUUUUCUAUUGCACCAGUGGAAAGUUUGGAGAAGUCAUGAGAGUGUUUUUUACUAGAAAAAUACUCACCGGACGCUGGCUCCGGGAGCGUCGGACCCUGGGCCAGCGUCCGACGUGUGCUGGCUAUGUGGCGCAGAUCUAUAGAGUGCAUCGACACGUUCGACGUGUUCACGUCAGACGCUGGCCAAGCACUAUUGAGCGUCUGGUGCGUGCGGUGACAUCAGUAGAUCUGUGAGCGGGGUUUUCCAGUGUUGUGCACAUCAAACGUUGGCUGCAUCCGAUGCCCUACCGUCUAACAUGUCUGAUGCCUCCUCGAGCUAUUUCUAAACUCUCUGUGUAGCGUCCACUAUGAGGUCCGUGCAUCCGGAGUGUAGCACCUGAUGCGUCCGACGCCUCUUAAUUCAUCGCUUUAAUGUUUAAGUGACCAUUGGAGAUCAACGGUUCACAUUUGACUAAGGACACGUGGUAGCGAUCCAGCGGUGUUGUUAGAGGUUAGGGCGGCGUUGGACGCUGGGUAGCAUCGGACACCUAAGCGUUGGUGCGUCCUACGCCUCUGAUAGAGCACUUCCCUAGGGGUAACAACUUUAUUCUUUUAAAUACAUGUUGGUUGGCUUGGGCUCACUUUCUUGGCAUUUUGAUAUACUUGACAUCCUUGUGAGCCUAAGCAAACACCUUCCACUCAUCUCUAUCAUUGAUUCAUCAUCAUAGUGAGAUUGGGAGUGAUUUCAAGUGCAUUUGCUUGAGUGAUUGCAUUUAGUGGCACUUGAGGAUUGUUGUGGUUGCGACUUUCUUGUUACUCUUGGUAGUUACCGCCACCUAGAUGGCUUGGAGCAGUGGAGGAGCAUUGUCAUGAAUUGGUGAUUGUUCUUGGCCAUCUCCUAGUGAGUGUGAGGGGUUCUUGUGCCUUUCUUGGUGGAGCACCAAAGGUAACUCUAGUAGAUUACGCGUGUCAUUGAGCUACCUCAACUGUAGGUAGGUUCUUGAGGUGUCCUAGUGAGGACGAGGUUCGUGUAACACCUUUUAGCCACCAAACCACCAAGUGUUGGUUGACACAACGAGGACUAGUGUGCCGGUAAGCACGUGAACCUCGGGAGAAAAAAUAGUGUCGCAGCUGUGAUUGUUUGAUAUUCUCCCAGUGAUUAAUUGUUCACAUUUUGGUGAUUGGUUCAUCCCCUACACGAUGGUAUAAAGAUCACAUCCUAUCCUUUUACAUUCUCGUAAAGUAGUGUAACUAGUUUUAGUUGCUACCUUUGUCUUGUAUAGCUUAGUUCACUAGUGUAGCUUGUAGUGACAUAACUCUUAUGUGCCUAGUGAUCUUAGUAACUAGAAUUGCUGGGAUAGGUGGCUUGCAAACCCUCUAUUAGAGCUAGAGCAAAAAAUUUCGCUUUGUUAUUUACUAACUCCUUACUCUAGAGUUUGUAGAUUUUUAAAUAGGCUAUUCACCCCCCUCUAGCCAUAUCAGGACCUUUCACUCUUGUGGUCAGUUCUAAUGAUUAACUCUUGAUGUCGCAAAUAAGCCCUCCAUUUCUCCACAACCAUAAUUAUUGCUAAACAUUUUUUUCAUAAGUUGACAUGGACUGAUUCUUAGAGCAUACAACCUUGCUCAAUUAGGCUAUAGGAUGAUUAUUCUACAUCAACAUAGCCCCAAAGCCAAUGUCACUAGCAUCAGUGUCAAGGAUAAAUUACUUUUGUAAAUCAGGUAGUGCUAAAACUGGUGCUUGCACUAAAGCCUGUUUCAACUGUUGGAAAGCUGUAUAGUAACUAUGUCCAAACAUAAGGAGCUCCUUUCUUCAAUAAAUCAACAAGUGGUCUACUGAUAAGCCCAUAAUGUUUUAUGAAACUCCUAUAGUGUCCUGUCAGGCCUAGAAAACCACUGAGCUCUUUCAAGUUUUUGAGAGUUGGCCAUUGCUGAACUGCCUGAACUUUAGCUAGCUUAGUUGAGACACCUUGAGCAUACAUGUAUGACCCAAGUGCUCCACUACUGACUGAGCAAAUGUGCACUUAGACAUUUUUCCCAUAGAAUUUGUGCUUCCUCAAGAUAUCAAACACCUGCUACAGAAGAUGAAUGUGCUUUGAUAGAGUUGAUGAACAAAUCAAUAUAUCAUUCAAGAAAACUAAUACAACCUUUCUCAAUAUGGCAGCAAAAAUGAAGUUCAUCACACUCUGAAAUGUGGCUGGUGCAUUAGUUAGGCCAAAUGGCAUCACUAAGAACUCAUACAAUGCAUUAUGAGUCUUGAAAGUUGUUUUGUGUGUGUGAGCCGCUUCCACAAAUUGAAAGGUCCAAAUGGCUAGAGGGGGGUGAAUAGCCUAUUUGAAUUUUCUACAAACUUCAACUAGACAAGUUGAUUAGUAAAACAAAAGGCGAAGCUAUUCUAGCACUGGCACAACUAAGCUAUGCAAGCCACCUACACAAGUCUAGCAAGAAAGCUAAACACUAGUUACAACAAGAAAGCACAACUAGAAGCUUGCUACACUCCUAAACAAGAUAGCUAAGCUAAACAAGCUACACAACUAGCAAGGUAUGCUCAUAAGUAAAGGAGAGGGAAGUGAUUGUUAUACCAACGUUGUAGAGUAGAAAUAUAGCCAAUCAAUCAAUCAAUCACAAUUACAAGAGAAUCCUCGGCAAGAGAUGACAUAAGAUUUUUUACCGAGGUUCACUUGCUUCCCGGCAAGCUAGUCCUCAUUGUGGCGAUACACCCACUUGAUGGAUCACGAGCUAAUUGGCAAUCCAAAGCUAAACCCUUAGCGGGUGCCGCACAUCCACUCAUAAGAUGGGGAUCCUCCAAGCCACGAGCAAUCCACUAGAGUAGCCAAUUGCGAUCUCCCGCGGGGAAGGCUCAAGAACCCCUCACAAAUCACUUGGUGAGGCUCGAAACAAACUCCAAUCACGAGCUCAACACCACCGCUGCUCCAAGCCGUCUAGGGUAUCGGGAAACAUCCAAGAGUAAUAAGAAAUCCGCAGCAAACUCAAGAAUCAAAUGCCACUAGAUGCAACUCUCAAAGCAAUGCACUUGAAUCUCACUCAAUCUCACUAAGAUUAGCAAUCAAGCAAGAAGAUGAGUGGAAGGAGUGUUCUCUAGCUCAAUGUAUGCCUCAAGUAUUCAAAUGUGCAAGAGUUAACCUCCCAAAGCCGGUCACCCUCUAUUUAUAAGCCCCCUCAAAGAAACUAGCCGUUGGCUGUUUUCACUGGGCUGAAAUCGGGGGCACCGGACGCUACCAAGUGGGCACCGGACGCUUGACCCCUUGCGUCCGGUGCUCUGGAGUUAGCCACGUGUCAUUCUUGAAUCACGCGCGUCAGUCUCUAACGGCUACCUGCAAAACACCGGACGCUCUGUAGGUCCACACCGGACGCGUCCGGUGCACACCAGACUAAAACUCACGGAGGUAUGCAAAUACUCGGGGUCACCGGACGCUGAGCACCAGACCGUCCGGUGCUCACCGGACUCAUACCCAGAGAGGUUUGCAAAACCACGCGGACACCGGACUCAGAACACCGGACGCUCUAACCUGCGUCCGGUGCCUGGCGUCCGGUGCCUAACCCUAGCUGAGCCAGGCAGCCUGUACACCAGACGCACAGGUGCAGCGUCCGGUGAGUGAUUCUCAGUGAGAAAUACUCCCGCGACUUCUCCAAAUUUCCCACCGACGCAAUAGAAAAUAUACACUUAAUUUUCUCAAAAGCGCUGAAAAAUCCUAGGAACCCACACCCCUCUCAACCCUAGGAACUCCACCUCCUUUGCAAAAGUGCUAACACCAACAAGUGUCCACCACCAAAGUGCAUGUGUGUUAGCUUUUCACAAAUAUUUUCAUCAAAGGAGUUAAGUUAGCACUUUACUAGAUCCUAAUGCAUAUGCUCAAGAUAUGGACCUAGUAGCACUUGAUUCGAGAGAUAACCGUUGUUGACGGUCCUUAAGUACUAAAAUUAACCAUCAACUAAACAUGGAAAAGGAUCAAUAUGCACCAAACAUCUAGAAUUAGGGUUUUAUCUGACAGAAUUCCACGAGCUUUGGUGUUUAUCUAUUUCUGCAGGGGGUUAUCAGAAAAUAGGGAGAGAAGGCCCACAUGUCAUGUUUACAACGAGAUAAUUACGUGUCGCACAAUUUUCCUUAAUCUAGAAGAGUCCAGAAGCCACGGAAACGAACGGGAGACCAGACGGGCUCAGGGGCAGAGCGCUCGCCCUCCCCCCUUGGGCGCCCGCCCUGGCCUCGGGCCAAUCACAAUCAACUUCGCAGAUUAUGCUCCACCGACCUAAAGGAUCAAGGAAAACCGUGCGAUCAAUGUCAGUUUGAUCCGACGGCCCAAAUUCACUUGAAAGGACUAUAUAAUCAAGGCCUCUCCACCCCUGGGGGAGAGAGGAGAAAUCAUUAUCAGAGGUAGCCAUCAAAGUUAGGGUUUAGAACUUCUCUCCCACAGAGAAUUAGAAUUAGCUACUCCCUAAUCCUUCAAGUUUAGAGGAUUGAUUAGAUAGAAUUAGAGAAGUAGAGCACUACGCUCUAGAUUCGGAUCUUCGUUAAUAAAGAUUGGUAUUAUUUCAUAUCUUUCUCUAAUACUUUGUUCUAAUUACAUUAUGUCUCUAUUUAUUAUGCUCUUAGUUUGUUCUAGUUCUAUAUUUGAUAUAGUUAUGAUUGAUAAUGAGUUUAUGUAUAAGUUUGCAAAGCGCUUAGCUCUUGACUCGAGGGAGUUAAGUGGUAGAUCACAUGUGGGCGUGGUGCUUAGAUGUUAUUUACCUGCAAAUGUAUCCUAUUGGCCGGGUCGUGUGGUAGUUCGCGAUAAUGACAGCUUCGUUGAUUCUUAUAUAGUCCACCCUCCGUUGAUAGGACAGGCAGAAUUUGUAUUGCGGAGUAAGUCUUGCGAUGCUCUGGUUUACUUUAGCAAUGUUCCUUAUACAUGAAUAAAGAGUCUUUUAUGCUAUAUAUGAUCUUGUAGAUAACUAGAGUAGGUUGUGACUUAGUAGAUAGUAGAUAAUUUAGAAUCCCUUCUCUAGCUAAUCCGACGUCACCUUACAUAUAUGAGGAGUAGUCUAUUUUCUAAUCGCUGUGUUAUUUACCCAUGAACUUAUAUUUCAUUAUCAUUAUCUUUAUGGUUUACCCCCUGCCAAAGUAAGUGACUGUGUGACGAGUUCUUCAUUAGUAAUCAUGUUCUUGCAAGUUUAUCUCUAGUCUAUGCCUUGAUAGAUUUAAUCCUUAUCUUAAUUUCACCCCUGUUCUCUUGAGCAAAAUUAUAAAUAACGAUACCUGGAAUACUUUUCUGGUGAAAUGCUACAAUGAGGUGUUUUAUCUCUGCGCUUGCGGAUAGAAUAGAUUAUUUUCUAGGGAGCCUUUACAUUCAUAAAUACCUUUGUACACUCUGGCACCAUGCUAGGGAUGACAACCUAGUAUCCAAGUGGUGUUAGCUAGUGUCAACAACCGUGAUUUCCCCUCUUGAUAGUCGGCUAUCUAUCCUUAACCCGGUCAAUCACUUCUCUACUCAUCUUAGACCGGCAAAAGUAAAACCCUAUGUUUAUACCUUUGCCUUGAUAACUUUGCUCCUCAUCUAUCACCAUGAUCUCCACAUCAUGCUUCAUCUCUUUGUAAUCAUGUGGCCACCUUUCCAUGCCAUCAUACACCUUCAUCACAUGUGUUGCUAUGCCUAACUCAAAUCACUUAAACACAAGGCAUUAGCAACUUGGUGUCAUUAAUUACCAAAACCAAACUUGGGCUUUCAAUAUUUGAUGAUAACCAGCCCUAAAAUCAAGCUUGGUAAACCAUUUAGAUCCAUGUAGUUCUUCUAUCAGCUUCUCCACUACUGGCAUAGGAUGUUUGUUCUUCACUAUCCAUGCAUUCAGACUUCUAUGGUCUACACAAAACCUCCAAGAGCCAUCCUCCUUCCUUACUAACAAGACUGAAGAAGCAAAGGCACUAGUGCUAGGUUUGAUGAACCCAUUCUUUAGCAUUUUAGCAAGUUUCUUUUCAAUCUCAGUUUUCUAUAUAGGAGAAUACCUAUAAGGUUGAGUGUUCACUGGUUGGGCUCUAGACAGUAAUGGGAUUUGAUGAUCAAACUGUCUUGCUAGUGGCAAUGAGUUUGGGGUUUGGAAGAUAUCCUCAUACAAAGAAAUAAACUGCUUAAUAUCCUAGGACAUUGUCUCAUCUUGAACAACAAGGAUACCUUCAACAACACUAUGCUCAACAAUUUGCUUAAAUUGGAACCAUAGACAGUGAGUGAUUGCCUGCCUCUUGAGCAAACCUCUUAUCUUCAGCUCAUUAGUAGGUGGACAGUGAGACACCUCUUGAGUCAAACCCUUCAGCAAGAUUCUAUGCCCAUUAUAAGUGAAUUUUCAUGUGCUCUUUGGACUAAUGUAUCCACAUAGGGCUACAAGCUUCCAACCAAUCCUCUCCUAGUAUCAUAUCAAAGCAUUUCACAUUGAAUUUAAAUGUAUGGCCUUGACAACUCCGCCUCAGGUUUGGUUACCUCUUGCAUAACAUUGGAGUUCCAUCGGGUGCCAUAUACUGAGUUGGUUCACACGUGGAUGAAGGAAUUGACAACUUCUAGGAUAACUGAUCACUGAUGAAUGUGCCAAAACUUCCAGAAUCAAUAAGGAUCAGUACUUGCAGGUUCCCAAUUUGUCCACACAACCUCAUUGUCUUUCUUUUCACCCCACUGCUAGUGAUAGUAUUCUCCACAACCAAUACUGUCUCCUUAGAUUAAGUAAGAUCUAGAGCAUCUAAGCAUCAAAAUCCUCGAAAGCCAGAGAAAAUUUUACACCCAGGGUGGAAAAUGAUAUUUCCAAACAGUGUGUAAAAAGUCAGUCGUAUGAUGCGUGAAGGGAUUGCACCGAAUAAGUUUCGAACUCAUACCACAGAUUCCUUGCUGGUUAUCGAUUACAUAUAAAUGCUAAAAUUAAAUAGCCAAACUUGAAUUCCCAACAAACUAUCUUUACUGAAUCUAUCUUUUUUUUCAUUUCCAAGAAAAUUACCUUUUUGGGUUGCUUGAACGGACCAAAAGAAUAAAGGACCCCUUUUCAAAAGGGAGACGAGCCCUCAUUAUUAGAACAAAAAAAUGGUUGGUCUAUUAGAUUUAUAUUUGAUGUCUUCAGUUAUAGUUUAUAAGACAUUGGAGUGUAAUUGGCAUCUAAAUGUCUAUACGAGCAUAAUCAUUUCAUGUAAAUUAAACUAGUUCGUAAGUACAGACCUUUGUCAAGGGUUCCCUUUUUUAAGUCACGAACACUAUAACUAAAUGAAACACGUAUUGCAAUGAUACGCUCGUGAAAAAAAUAAUAUAAGCAUAAAUUUAAACUUCGUAAAUCUAGUAUCCCCAUAUCUCUCAACUCUUAUUGCAAUUUAAUUUGCUCACGACGCCUCCUCUCUCGACCUUUUCUUUUUUCCAUCGUCCACUCACCCGUUCUACCCACGCUAGUAUACCGAAAGUUAUAUUUUUUGAGCGACCAAUAUACGUACUUUCUUGAAUUUAAUUUUCAUGUUUUGUUUUAGUUGGCCACGAGGCAGGUGUCGGGUCUUAGGGUGUUGACGUGUAGCAUAUGGAGUUGUUUUUUUGAAGGAAGAAGUCCAUUUUAGGUCCCUCAACUUUCAUGAAAGUCUGUUUUUCAUCCUUGAACUUCAAAACCGGGUAAAAUACAUCCCUCAACUUUCGAAACCGUGCAUAUUACGUCCCUGACAUGGUUAUGAGCGGUUUUGAAGGCUGUUUUGUCUUUUUCAUUUUUAUUUAUUUUGGAUAAAUAUUUGUAAAAUUAUAGUAAAUCACAUAAAAUUCAUAAAAUAGUAAAUCUGAUUUUGUUAGACUCCAGAUAAGUACAUCUACACAAUGAACAUAUAAUAUGGUAUGCUUUAAUAGAAAAUUUUUGUUGUAUCUUUAGAUCUGUGUUUUUCUAUAAUUAAUUAGAAUAGUUCAUAGCUAUAGUUUAUAUGGUCCAACUAUGAUUAUUUUUUUAUGUUGGGAUAAUUAUUAUAUGUUUAAAUUGUGGUAAAAAUCUAAUACUCAUUAGAUCUGUAUAACUUAGUUAUAGAUUUAUUAAGAUUUAACAAGCAUAAACCUAAAUAAAUCUAUAACUAAGUAAUACAUGAUUCAAUGAGUAUGAAAUUUUUACUACAACUCAAUCAUAGAAUAAUUAGCCCACCAUAUAAAUUUCAUCACAAUUGGACCAUAGAAACUAUAGCUAUAAUUAGUCUAAUUAAUUAUAGAAAAGCAUAUAUCUAAAGAUGCAUCAAAAAAAUUUAUAUUAAAAUAUACUAUAUUAUAUAUUUAAUAUGUAGAUCUACUCAUCUGAAGUUCAACAAAAUUGAGUUUUCUAUUUUAUGAUUUUUAUGUGAUUUACUGCGAUUUUUAAAAAAAUCAGCCAAAAUAAAUAAAAAGAAAAAGACAAAACCGCUUUCAAAACCAGGUCAAGGAUGUAAUGUGCACGGUUUUAAAAGUUGAGGGAUGUAUUUUGUCUGGUUUUAGAGUUCAGGGAUGAAAAUUAGACUUUCGUGAAAGUUAAGGGACCUAAAGUGGACUUUUUCCUUUUUUGAAAACGUGUAGCACACGGAGUAGUACGUAUAUGUAGGUCGUACGCUUUUUUUUUCAUUUGUGGCCCAUGAAGUGAUUUUUAGGCCCAAUAGCCCAUUCAUCCAUGUCCUAACCCUAGGGCGCCUUCCUUAUAAAAACCUAGCUCCAUCGUGUUCUCAAACCCUCAGACGCAGUCGGCCGCCACAGACCGGGAGAAGCCGACGCGCCGCCACCGAAUCCUCAGAUCAGCGGCGAGCCGUAACCGCGCCACUCUGCUGCCGCCCGACGAGGUAUUCUGCCGGACGCGCUCGCGCGCGUGCUUCUCUUCCUUCAAUUUUCGCUGCGCUUUGAGCUUGUUCGUUUGAUGCGCUUUGAGCUUGUUCGUUUGAUGCCCAGAUCUACUGGGUUUGUCGUCUAUGUGUGAUGCGCUGAGCCGAUUCAAGCACUGGAUUUCAAAUCAAGUGUUGUUUUCCGCCUCCGCUACCUUUAUUUAGUGUCUAUGUAUGAACAUGGCUGCAGUUUGCAACUGAUUUGUCGAGCCAUAAAUUAUAUAACCGUUACGUUGUUCUAGACUAGAUCCAGUUUCCGAUCUAUGAUAUUACGUGGUUGAGGCACUUCAAUUCUGUUUUGUGUGUAUGAACUGAGCUGAUUCAUGUUCUAAGGUGCUAAUCCAAGUUUUCCUUCCGCCACCUCAUCUACCCGUAGUAUGUACUCCGUAUAUAAACUUGAUUGCAGUUUGCAACUGAUUCUCGUCCAUAGAUUAUUACGUUACGUUGCUAAUUAGAACCAGUUUUCGAUCUCUGAUAUUACGUUGGUAGGGUACAUCCCCUUUGGAUUUUCUGGGGUUUGUCUAAUUACUGGUUUAUUCCCCUAUAUUUAUUUCUAACUGUUUUUAUCUGCUAUUUUUUAUGUAAGCAGCAGCGUAACAGUUUCCUGCAGCCAUGGGUAAGGAGAAGACUCACAUAAACAUUGUGGUCAUUGGCCAUGUCGACUCUGGCAAGUCGACCACCACUGGCCACCUGAUCUACAAGCUUGGUGGUAUUGACAAGCGUGUGAUCGAGAGGUUCGAGAAAGAGGCUGCGGAGAUGAACAAGAGGUCGUUCAAGUAUGCGUGGGUGCUUGACAAGCUCAAGGCUGAGCGUGAGAGAGGUAUCACAAUUGAUAUUGCCCUGUGGAAGUUCGAGACCACCAAGUACUACUGCACUGUCAUUGAUGCUCCUGGACACCGUGACUUCAUCAAGAAUAUGAUCACUGGUACUUCCCAGGCUGACUGUGCUGUUCUUAUCAUUGACUCCACCACUGGUGGUUUUGAGGCUGGUAUCUCCAAGGAUGGCCAGACCCGUGAGCAUGCUCUCCUUGCUUUCACACUUGGAGUGAAGCAGAUGAUUUGCUGCUGCAACAAGGUAUGAUUCUAGGAAUUCCUGUCUAGUCUGGUUCAUGAUCUGAGAUGCCUGUAAAUAUGUGCUUCAAUAGUCUAGGCUGCACUCAAUUACACUUUGAAUACCACAUUUGUGUUCUGAUUCAGUAACUAAUGUUGGUUGUAUUAUAAAUUUGGCAAAAUGAAACACUGUUUACUUACAUUGAAAAAGUCUGCUUCCUACAUGUUUAUUUAUGAUAGCAUUUUUUCUGCAUCACUAUGCAUUCUGCAUUACUUUGCAUAAUCCAGUAUAAAUUUUUCAGGAAUUUUUUCCCAAUAGGCGAUUGAACUUUGUAAUCCACCUUAUUUUUGAAAUUGUCUGAAGUUGUUGGAAUGCUUGCAAUGCAUAUGUAAUUGAAGGAUAUGGGUUUGCUUAAAUGUCUUUAUAUGAUUGCAGUAGUAACUUUGUUUACUGCUUUACCUUGUCAAAUAGUAAUGGGACGCUGAUUGCUUUCAUUGAAUAAGCUAUCUACGUUGUACAUAUGUACGAUAGCAAUUUAUCUGCAUUACUUUGUAUAAUAUAAUAAGAGUUUUCAGGAUAAUUUUUUUUCAAUAGGUGUUGUAAAUUUUUAAUCCCACCUUAUUUUAGAAAUUUUCUUAAGUUGUUGGAAUGUUUAAAAUGCAUAUGCAAUUAAAGGAUAUGGGUUUUGUUUAAAUGUCUUCAUAUGAUUGCAGUAGUAACUUCGUUUACUGCUUUACCUUGUCAAAUAGUAAUGGAACACUGAUUGCUUUCAUUGAAUAAGCCAUAUACAUUAUACAUGUUUAUGUAUGAUAGCAAUUUAUCUGCAUUACUUUGCAUAAUAUAAUAUGAUUUUCCAGGAUAAUUUUCCCAAUAGGUGAUGUAAAUUUUUAAUCCCACCUUAUUUUAGAAAUUUUCUUAAGUUGUUGGAAUGUUUGCAAUGCAUAUGUAAUUAAAGGAUAUGGGUUUUCUUAAAUGUCUUUAUAUGAUUGCAGUAGUUAGUUUACUUUGCUUUAUAUUUUUACGUCCUGCACGAGUUAACAUGAUCAAAUUUGUGAAGUAUGUUUAUCUGCCUGGUGGUUGUUUCUGUUGACCCCCAACAAAUCUCAUUCCAAGUGUAGUUGACCAGUUAGUUUUGAUUGUUAUGUUCUUUGAGUUUUACUGUUUGCUUGCUGUUUAUGUAACUUAUCUCAAUCAACUAAUGAUAUUGUUUUGGUUUUGCUGUGUUACAGAUGGACGCCACCACACCCAAGUACUCGAAGGCCCGUUAUGAUGAGAUUGUGAAGGAAGUCUCUUCUUACCUGAAGAAGGUUGGAUACAACCCAGACAAGAUCCACUUUGUUCCCAUCUCUGGUUUUGAAGGUGACAACAUGAUUGAGAGGUCCACCAACCUUGACUGGUACAAGGGCCCAACCCUGCUUGAGGCUCUGGACUUGAUCAAUGAGCCAAAGAGGCCUUCAGACAAGCCACUGCGUCUCCCCCUUCAGGACGUGUACAAGAUUGGUGGUAUUGGAACUGUUCCUGUCGGGCGUGUUGAGACUGGUAUCAUCAAACCUGGUAUGGUUGUUACCUUUGGUCCUAGUGGCCUUACAACUGAGGUUAAGUCUGUUGAGAUGCACCACGAGGCUCUCCAGGAGGCCCUUCCUGGUGACAAUGUUGGCUUCAAUGUUAAGAAUGUUGCUGUGAAGGAUCUGAAGCGUGGGUAUGUGGCCUCCAACUCCAAGGAUGACCCUGCCAAGGAGGCUGCUAGCUUCACCUCCCAGGUCAUCAUCAUGAACCAUCCUGGGCAGAUCGGCAACGGCUACGCCCCAGUGCUGGACUGCCACACCUCACACAUUGCUGUCAAGUUUGCUGAGCUGGUUACCAAGAUUGAUAGGCGAUCUGGCAAGGAGCUUGAGAAGGAGCCCAAAUUCCUCAAGAACGGUGAUGCUGGUAUGGUGAAGAUGGUUCCCAC